GCCAUUUCUGCUGCCAUAAUUGGAGCAAACAAAUAAUGGGUUUGUGGAGAUAGUGAAGAUGAGGAACUAAAAAUCAAAACUUUGAAGAUUUUGUGUGUUGUGAGGACUAAGAAAAUGAGAAAGAAGUGUCAUUUAGAUGAGUUUGUGUGAUAGAAUCUCAUCCAAUGAAAUCUUUGAAAGUUAACUGAAACAUGACAUGUGGCAUUUGUUGUAUGUUUCUUAAGGUUACAUGAUUGGUUGUGGUGAUUACAUGUUGUAGAUGAGAACUUGUGGAUUCCUUUUAUUCUCAUUGGAUACUUGUUUUUUUAGUUUUGGUUUAGAUUGAUUUGUUUUAGAUUAGAUUGUUUUAGUUAUCAGUGCAAAAUGAAAGUUGUUUUUAGAUUAUUGUGUGCUAAACUAUCAUGAGGAAUUAGUUUUGGGAUUUUUUUUUUCAUUUUUAAAAAGGUUAAAUUUUUUUUUAGUAACUACUAAAAGUAGAGAUUUUUAAGUUUAGUUAUAAAAAAUGUUUAUUUUUAAUCUCUACUAAUAAGAUGCAUCUGUUUGCGAAUGAAUCUCAUUGUAGAUUUUUCAUUCUAUAAUGUUGUAAUCUCCUAUUAUAUAAGAAAAUUAUAUGUUCCGGAAAAAUCACUUUUUGCCCUUAUCUAUAAAAAUACCAUUACAUUAUUUUUGGGGUUUUUCAUGUCUAAAUAAUACUUUAUCUAACCAUCCACCCAUUUCUAAUGACAUAAUCACAUUGGUAUUACCAAUUAUUCCCUUCGUUCUUUUAUAAGUGUUAUUUUUUUGAAAAAAAAUUGUUUCUUUUUAAUUGUCACUUGCAAAAUUCAAGGUAGUAUUAAUUGUAUUUUUGUCAAAAUUAUCCUUAGAUAAUUAUUACAUAGAGAGAAAAAGUAAAAUGAAUAUAAUAAAUAAUUAAGGGUAUUAUAGGUAAAAGAAGAAUUAUUGUUUAAAAAGUAACAAUAAUGAUUAACUUUCUUGGUAUGUGUAAAAAGUCAAAAAAUGACACUUAAAAAGAAACAGAGGGAAUAGUUUCAAAUUAUACACAUAUAUGAUAGUGUUAUGGAAUUAUUGUUUCAAACCAACUAGAUAUGUUUUACUGUUAACUGAUUUCAGGUUCCAAUGUAAAAGAUGUAUCACUACUACCCAUGCCCUUUUUCACUCUCAUUCUGUCAAAAGAAAACGUGAUGGGGUGAAACCAUAUUCACUUUUCCCCUCUUCUGUCUCUCUCCAGUAGUGAUACAAGAAGAACUCUUUCCAUUAGUCUGCUCCAUUCGCCUGAUUCUGAGAUUUCGAAGGUAAGGAAAUGGUGUAUUGGGUUUUGAACCACCAUAUGUGUUUUCUUCUUCAUCUGGAAAAAAUGUUCUACUAGGUUUUGAAAUAACAUUUCUGUUUUAUUAUAUGUUUGUGGUCUAUUGGGUUUUGCAACACAAUAUGCUUUUUCAUCUAAAAUGUCUUUAAUGAACUUUAUGUAUUUCUUUUUAUAUUUCAUUGUUGUGAAGUAUCUCAAAGUAAAAAAGUUGUUGAUUUUGUUGUUGUAUUGUUUCUGAAAUAAUUUUUUCUACAUAACAACUUUAAAGGUUGUGUUUAAAUCGCUAAUGUCAUUAUUUUGUAGUAUAUGAUAAAAAAUGUUUAAGUUGAACUUUGGAUCCCCUUCAUGUAUUUUUUACUAGAUUUGAAGUUAGAAAGUUGCUUAUUUUAUUGUUGUAUAAUGUAUGAAAUAAAUUGUUUAUCUACAUAACAGCUUAGACGGUUGUGUUUAAAUUGCCGAUGUUAUUGUUUUGUAGUAUAUCAUACAGAGUGUUUAAGUUGAAGUUGUAUUGGUGAAGCUAAUGACCAGACUGAAAAAUGCAGGCUGCAAGUAAUGGCAAGGCCAUUUGAGAAAAUAGCUGAUAUUAAUGAGACAAAAGAGUUACGGAAAGUUGCAGUAAAAAUACACCACAAAUGGACUGUAAUUUCUAACAACAAGAGCACAUUGAGCUUAUAUUCGUUGAUGCAGAAGUAAAUAGGUAAGUAUUCGCUUUUUGUAUCGAACACCUACAAGAUAAUUAAUCUGCUCAUUAACGAAGAUGUCCCGAAUAUAGUUGAAUUUCGAAAUAGGUAAUAUGUUCUAUGUAUCCGCUUAAUUGAAUAUAUUUUAUUGUGUUGUUUGGUUUGAAAGACUAUCAUUGGACAUCAUCAUGAAAAUUCUAUUGUUUGGUUUGAAAGGCUGCCAAAGGACAACAACAUUGGAAGUUCAAGUCAGCUGACGUCUACACAAUCUAACAUGUGGUCACAAAAGUCAUCUGGCUCUCAAAUGACUUCAUAAGAUAAGUUCAUGUCAAAUGCUACGCCUCUCUGUCUGCGAGAUAUAAUAAACCUUCCUGAUGUAUGUUUUUAAAAUACUUUCAUAGUUAUUAUUAGUCUCUACCAUUAACUCAUUUAUCACAUGCACCAGUUGUCAUGGUGUGUUACCAUAGAAACCACAAAGAAACUGAAAGCAACUGGAAAUGGUUGGUACUAUUUGGCAUGCUGUAAAUGUCCAAGAGUAGCAAAGGGGGCCUCUCCGUCAUAUACAUGUUCUGAUGGAAAUUCAUCAGAGACUAAAAUUUAUAGGUAUUUCUUUUUCAGUACAUCAAAUUCAUAUGAUGGUUGAUGCAAAUAUGAAAUGAUAGGUUGUAACAUUAUAGGUAUAAAAUUGAGGUUGAAAUAGUUGAUAAUGGAAUUUCAAGCAUUUUUGUCUUUUGGGAUCAUGAGUGUAAUGAAUUGUUGGAAAUAUAUGCAUCUCAACUCCGCAAAACAAUGUUGCAGGUUUGCUUAAAUUGUUUUGGUCUUCUGAUUUUUCAAUUCAUUACAUAUCUCAUACAUAUUUAUAUGAUUUUGAUUUAAACUAGGAUGGUAUUAGCAAUCCACUUGAAUUUUCAUUGGUCCUUGAUAAUUUAAUUGGGCAUGGAUUUGCAUUCAAAGUUAAAUGGCAACCAAGGUGGAAAAAUGCAAGUGUCAUGACGGUCGUACAUGACAAAGAAACUAUUCAUAAAUUACUAGCGCAAUGGGAAGUUUGUAAGGUAUAUCACAAUUUUAUGUAUGUUGGUUUUAUUAUAGGUCGGUCUAUUUCAAAUAUAAUCCAAUUUGUUUAUUUUACAUCAGCCUACUACGAAUGAAGUUAAACUAUUUGAUGAUCAACUUAACCAAGUAUAUAAAUAUCUUAGUACAAAGUCUUUGUUGUUUCAGAAUUUGUUAUCCCCUAUUUUGUAAAAGACAUGACAUUUCUAUGUUUUUAGAUAAGGGAAAGUGUUGAUGAAACAAUGUUGGCCGAGGAAUGGAAUAUCAUAAAUGUAACAACAACGUCGUACUGUUAAUAUGCACUUAUGUAUAUAUCUGCAAUCACCUUUAUAUUAAUGCGUUAUUUUGCAGGAUUUGGAAAUCACCUCUAAAUUGAAUUCACAACUUUUGCCUUCUGAUCUAUUUGCAAUCAUGGUUGAAUUCACAUCUUUAACAAUACUUUAUUAUGACAUGUCACACACACACACACACACACACACACACACACACACAUAUAUAUAUAUAUAUAUAUAUAUAUAUAUAUAUAUAUAUAUAAUAUAUAUAUAUAUAUAUAUAUAUAUAAUUACGUUGUUAAUAUAUUAAGUUGGAUCGUUAAUGUUUAUCUUUAAUUAUGUUCAGAACUAUACAACCCUUGAAAAAGCCAAGGCAACAACAUCACCACCAGUAACUCCAAUCAAUGAAAUAGUUAGAUCAACAACAGCACCACCAAUUACUCCAAUCAAUUCUAGGAAAAGGCUUGCAGUUCAUGCUUCAAGCUAUUCUGCCACUUUGAAAGAAUGACCCGAAGGAGAACAAUCUACAACAAGGCUACGUCGCAAGCAUGUGAAGAUAGAGAAGAAAUAACCAAUGUUAUGAUGUCCCUAUGAUUUUCAAAGUCUAUGUGUGUUGUUUCAUAUUUUGUGUCAAUUAUCUUUUGUAAUAUACAUUUUGGAUGUAUUAUGUAUGAAGAUUUGAUCCCUAUACUAUUACCCUAAUGACAUCGACUUUUAUAUUAAUAUCUGAGGCGAUCACAUUUAUUAAAUAUAUUUCAACCGACUCUUACAAAUAUUCAUACAUAGACAUGUUGAUAAUAACUUUUAAGAUAUCUAAAUACAUGUUGCAUGUGUACUUCAUGUCGUACUCAUAAUUUCACAUAUAUGAUAAUCUUCUAACCAUUCUGGUUACCAACAUAUAUGACUCAUUAUCUAGGUUGUCAAAAAUGAAUCUUAUAAUAUUCGUGCUCCAUGACUUGAUCCUACCAACUUUUAAAAUUAUGAUAUAUAGGAAUCCUACUAUUAUACCAAUAUAUUUUGUAAUUAAUGUCCUUACAAUACUUGUAUAUUCAUGAAAAAUUACUAAAUAUGCUGUCUUACAAUGCAUUAUGGUGAAAAGUAGCUUUUGGUAAAUUUCAUCUACAUCUACACGUUAAAGGAGACUUAUACAGUUACACAACCGCUUGGAGAGUUCUGAGUUUCAUUUAAUGACGGCAUAAAAGUUAUGAAUUUCAUUUAAUGACGGUAUAAAAAGUUGUAAUUGCCUGCCCAGUAGUAGGUGUAAAUGUGCACGCAACUUAAGUGUCAAAACUCUACUUAUUACUACUAACUAGUAAGAAACUCAUGCCUAUGCACAAGGUACGUUUUUGGGUGGGAUAUGGUUUUGGGCGCGCAUUUGUUUGUAGACUGUCAUAAAAAUUGAAAGUUGAAAAUAGAAAAAACUAAAGAAUAAUAGUAAAUUUAAGUUGAAAUAGUAAUACCUGUAGAAGAUGAAAGGUAAACAACAAUAUCAAUAAUAAUAUAUUUAAAAAAAACUAUUGAAACUUGUAUUAGAUAAAUUAAUUGUUUAAUUUUUUUAACAAAUAAGACAAUUAUGCUAUAAGAGAGAAUACAAUGGUCGAUAAAUUUCUAUUAUUCAAUAUUUGAAUCAGUAGUAAAGUUGAUCCCGUUUAUAACAAUAGUAUUUGUUUUCGUAUAUAAAAAUGUUUUAAUCAACAAUAUAUAUUUUUCCCGAAUAUAAAUAUUAUUUUUGUUUUGACAUUAUUUAUAAAUAUAUUUUUAAUCAAUAGUAAAGUUGUUUCCAUUAUAAAAAUAUUUAAACCAAAAUGUUAUUUUUGUUUUGACAAUAUUUAUAAAAAUAUUUGAAUAAAUAGUAAAGUUGUUCCCGUUUAUAACAAUAGUAUUUUCUCCCUUAUAUAAAAAUAUUUUUAUUAACAAUGCAUUUUCCCCGUAUAUAAAUAUUAAUUUUGUUUCCUAGAAAUGUAUAGAAAGUCAAAAACAUUGAAAAGUUAUAAAGUCAGCUAUGGCCAUCCUAGAAAAUUGAAGGUGACAUAUGCAAAAAGUAAUCAACCUAUUAUAUACUUGAAAGAGAUAAAAGAAAAUUAUUCUUAUUAUAAAAUAGAAAGUCAGCUAAUCUGCAACCUAUUGAUGUGAUCAUGAAUAAUAUUUGCAUCAAAUUAUGAGAUUAGACAUAUGGAAAACAUGGUAAAAAAUACAUGAUUUAGACAACAAAAUUGUUUGCAGACUAUCAUACAAAUAAAAAGUUGAAAAAAUAAAAAACUUAAGAAUAAUAAUAAAUUUAUGUUGAAAUAAUAAUACAUAAUAUGAUUAAAAAUAAAAACUAUUGAAACUUGUAUUAAAUAAAUGAGUCAUUUUACUUCUUUUUUAUAAAUAAGACAAUUAAUUUAUAAGAGAAAUUACAAUUUAAAAAUAUAUAGUCAAUCAUUUUAAAGCUCCCUUAAUCUUUUCACAUAUUUAAAAAAAAUGUUUCAUAAAUUUAUAUUAUUCAUUGUUUGAAUUAGUAGUAAAGUUGUCCUCGUAUAUAACAACAGUAUCUUUUUUCGUAUAUACAAAUAUUUGAAUCAAUAAUGUAAUUUUUCUCGUAUAUAAAUAUUAUUUUUGUUUUGACAUUAUUUAAAAAAAUAUUUGAACCAAUAGUAAAGUUGUAUUCAUAUAUAAAAUCAUUUGAAUCAACAAUAUAUUUUUUUCGCAUAUAAAUAUUAUUUUUGUUCGACAUUAUUUAAAAAAUAUUUGAAUCAAUAAUAGAGAAAAAGGGUGAUGCACUGCCAGUGUAAAUUUAUUUUACACGGUCAACUAAUGACGACCAUGCAUCUCGUCAAAUCAGACUGAAAAAUUUAAAAUACUGGUAUAACAUGACGAAAUGAUAUAUUAUUAUUGGAUGACAGCGUAAAACUAUUUUACACUGUCAGUGCAUCACCAAUAAACCCUUAAUAAUAAUGUUAUUCUCAUAUAUAAAAAUAUUUGAAAAAAUGAUGUAUUUUUCUAAUAUAUAAAUAUUAUAUCUUGUUAAAACAACCGCUUUUGUAGGACAACCAACCCAAACCAUACUCUUUUUCGUUACCUAUUAUUUUUCAAGUGAAUGAAACUACCGCCAUAUGGGAAUAUAUUAUACCUCUAUGAUAUAUUGAUAUUGAUGCAUGUAUAUACAUUUCUCAAUGCGGAAUGCGAUUUUUUUACAAAAAUAACCCAUUUUUUCAAGGAAAUUCCCAAAAUACCCCUGGUUUCAAAAAAAUUCCCAAAAUACCCCAGUUUUAGGAGGAUGCGCCAAUUCAAUUGACGACUCCUCUUAAAAAUUGAAUGGAGGCGUCAAUUGGAUUGGCUAGGGCACAUGCCCUAGCCAAUCCAAUUGGCGCCCCUGUGUAUAACUUGAGAGGAGGCGCCAAUUGGAUUGACGCCUCAGUGUAAAAUGCAAUUUUUUUGUUAUAAAUAGAUGUGUUGUGUGAGUCAUUGUUUCACAUCUCAUUUAAUCAUUUGACAAUCAUGUUUGGUAUUUAUCGCAGAUACAGAAAGGUGAUUUAUGCGAGAGACAAACCUCAGAUGCUGAUGCUGUUCUAGAACAUCACUAUGUUCGAUCAACUGAAGAGGGAGCUGGUUCGUUGGUUAGAUUGGAAAAUACCAGAAGGGAAAAAAUUAGAAGUAUUGAGAGACUCGACAGUAUCUUUGGUUGGGUGCAAAUGAAGACUGAUAAGGAUUCUAGGGAAAUGAUGUUCGGUCGAGAUGGCAUCAACUUGAUUGUUAUAAUCAGUUAGAAAUAUUUCUGUUUUCAGAUAGCUUAUUUUGUACUGAUGUUUGUUGUGAACCUCGUUGUAACAAAAACUUAAUGAAAUAUAAUGAUUGAAGGUUACAGAAAUACAAUGUUACAAAAAGCUUAAGACCCAGAUGAUGCUCCUCGAUUGGGACAGUUGUUCUUGUUGUGUCCUGGUAUUACGACAGAUACUACAUAAUCUUAUCAUUUUAUCUGUGGAAUCCAUUUUUGUCCUGAUACGUGUGUUAUUUGGCCUUCCUUUUUUCUUUCUACGCAUCUCGUUGUUGUUCCAAACUAUAUCACCUUCAUAUGGAGGCCAGUAUUCCUCCAUUGGUAGUACCGAGAAGCUUUGAUUAUAUACAUUCAUGAUGGUGACGACCUUGUACACAUCAGAUACAUGGUUGUAAGCGUCUUGACGAGUAUAAGCGCAUGCUACAAUGACAUGGGAGCAAGGAAUGCGGAAGACCUGAAAUUUUCCACAAUCGCACCAACUUCUAUUUAGUCUAACAACAUAGGCUAAAUUUGGUCUCCCCUCGUUGUGGUCCAUUAUUUCCUGGACGCUGAAAUUUUGCCUAUGACGGUCAAAGACUGUUACAGCGUGUGUGCUAGCUUUGAUGCUCUCCUCUAUCAUGACUUUCAUGCAACACUCACUGAAUACUUGCCCGAACAUUAACACCGCACUCCAUCUUUCACCUCUGGUUGCGAACGUAGAAGCCAACCUAUAAUAGGUCGAUCUUACCAAGGCGGUUAUUGGCAGAUUUCUAAUUCCUUUGAAUACCCCGUUCAUGCAUUCCAGAGGUUUGGUUGUCAUGUGGCCAUCUAUAACCUCUGUCAAAUGCCCUUGUCCACUGUUCUACUGGUAUGUUAUUUAGCCAUCUCCAUGCGUUUUCAUUAGAUAGUCUAAUUUCAUCACGAUAAUAUUGAAAUGACGCUAAGUUAGAGCAUACCCAACAUUCACCACCUUCUUGCGAAGAUUCUUAUCUUUUAUUGCAGCAUGAAGUUUUGUGCAAUAUAUAUAAUGCAAUAGACAUGGGUAGAAGGAGGAUCAUGCCAUCCGUUGUCAUGGUUGUUGUAGGCACUUCUCAAUGGCAGCAUGUCUAUAGAAAUCAAAUAGAGAUUGGCUUGUGGAGCCACAUGCGUUCUGAGAUGUCGAAGAAAGAAACCCCAUCCACCAGCCGUUUCACCUUCAACCAGAGCAAAGGCAAUGGGAAAGACAUUGUUGUUGUCGUCUUGUGAAACCGCCAUAAGCAAAGUACCCUUGUAUUUUUCGUAUAACCAAGUGCCAUCAAUUUGAAUAAUAGGUUUGCAGAAUGCGAAACCUUUUAUGCAUGGGUCAAACGCCCAAAAGAGACGGUGAAAGAUUCUAUUACCUAUAACACAGGUUCCGUCUGGCAUCAUUGCUUGAAAUGUAUCCAUAAUUGUCACAGUUCCUGGGACAUAUGUUUUUAGGGCCCAUAAAAACCGUGGCAAUUCUUUGUAUGAAUCCUCCCAGUUGCUGAAUACCUGUUCAAUAGCCUUUGUCCUUGCAAUCUAGGCUUUCUUGUAAGAUGGAGUAUAAUUAUAUGUUGUUCUGAUAUGGGAUAUAAUUAUAAUCACCUUCACUAAUGGGUCUUUAUUAACCAACGACAGAAUGUCUUGACAUAUCAAUGCAACGCUUAGUUUACGGUGAUCUUGUUCAACGUUAGUUGCAAUGCAACUGUGAGGUGGGUCUAUUGAAGCGAUCUCCCAAGAGUCGUUUUUCUUUUUGUAAGACGCAUCCAACUGAAACUUACAAAGUAUGUUACGACAUUUGAUAACAUACCUUCUUGAAUCAGUGUGUUUCACUGUAAAAUCAACAGAGUUUUUCAUGUGGAAUUUUUUGAUAGCUCGCACACAUUCUUCUUUGGUACGGAACAUGUCUCCCACCUUUAAUUCGCCUUCUGAUCAUGGAUACAAGUUAUAGAAAACACUGUUGGAUGUAUCAUCGUCGUGCAGAUCCAAAUUUGUCAUAUGUUGAGGCGGACUGUAGACAUGACUAAGAGGUAUUGGUGGUGGUUGAUCAUCAUAUUCAAUGUCGUUGUUCAACAUCUGAUCAAACUGUAUCUCGGUCUCCUCUUCUUCUUCAUCAACGACGUCGACUUCUGCUUCUGCUUCUGGGUUGACGUCAUCUGACCAUUGUGGAUCAAAUUCACCAGAUACAUCUUGACUGGUCAUUUGAGACUGCUGAGACGGUAUACAUGGUUGAAGAGUAAUGUACAACUCAAUAUAGUUGCAGCCUGAGUGUUCAUGACUAACAAACAUGUAUUCAACAUCUUCAUCGUCUCGUACCUUAAGCGGGAAAAACUUGCAUUGACUAUUCUCAAAAAAUAUUGGAUUUUGAUAUGUGAUCUUUGACACAAUACCCGAUCCUAUACAGGAUUGUAUUCUUUUUUUCAAAUGCAAGAAUAUUGCAUUUCUCUUGAUCGUAAGUCUAAUGGUAUCAGUGUUUCAAAAACAAAAACCAUAUAACCCAGACUCGUAUGUUUCACCGUUGCAGUGAACAUUGCCACUGUAUUUUGGUGAAGAUGACAUUGUGCAGAUGAAAACCAUUUUCUUGCUGCAGAUGAAUGUGAGUGAUGUGUCUUGGAUGUUGAUAGUAAGCCACUUAAAUAGGGAAAUGAUGUGUCUCACAUGCUAGCUAGUUCGAAGUGAUGUGUCGCACAUGCAAGCUAGUUCAAAAUGAUGUGUCAACCAUGCAAGCUACUAAGAAGUUACAUGUUCAGCAUGCAAGAGAGAGGACAUCCAUGUGUCAGACAUGUAGACACACACUCUAAUUGAAUUGGCGCCCGUAAGAAGUCCAGUGACAGAGAGUCGUGUCCGAUUGUUCAGGUCAGUAGCAUCAACUUUCGGGGGUUUCCAGAAGAGCAAGUAGAGGGGUGUGUCUUUCAUCCAAUCGCUACAAGCUUCAUCAUUCAUUCGGCAUGAAUGUCCUCUAUCUGUAACACACAGAAUACCACACAACUAAUUAUUUUUAAAAAAAACAUAAUAAAAUACUGAAAAAUACUAAGAACAAAAACAACAAAUAAUAAAAACACCCCCACACUUGAACUAAACAUUGUCCGCAAUGUUUAAUCCAAGAUAGAGACGGACUCACAUAGGUUCACUUUGGUGGUGGAAAUUGCAAUAUCAGACGUUGCAUCAUCGCAUGCAUCUCCUCCAUAUGAGUCCCUUGACGGGAUUGCUCUAGGCCUUGGCGUGUUUUCUCCGCUCAGAGAUCGCCAAUUUUUGUUUGCAUCCACGACCAUUGGUCUGGCGUCACAUAUGACGACCCGACACCUGAGUGCAUGGUGUCCUCUGGUGGAGUAACAAACUGCUCCUGUUCUUGCAUCUCUUCCUGUACUUCUUCCUCUGGUGGGUCACCUAUGGCAAAUGUGUCAACAUUGUGCUCGUCCAUAUCAUCUUGGACGACACUCUCAUAUAGCCAAUUGGCUGUGUUGGAAAUGCUAAUUCGUGCAGGGUCAGGAAGAGCCAUAAUAAACUGACCAGAACUCAUUAAGGCAUAAUAAUCAGAAAUUUGUGAAAUCAUACCUUGUUGGACCAAUGCGUUCAUGUCUAAUUUGUGCUUACUUGCCACCGACAUCUCAUUAAAUGCAGCAGGGUGAUAUCCAAAAUGGUGGGAAAUCUGUAUGAUGAUGCCUCCUAUGCAAAUUCCCCCUUUGGCUGCUCUCCCCACUCGACUCAAGUAAUCCGCUGCAAAUGCUGCAACGCUCACAGCUACCCGGUUUACCAUGGCAAACAAAAAGAAGAGUUCCCUUUGGGUGGAUACACCUGUGCUAUCACCCCUACCAAAAAGUGUGAAAGUUAGCACCUUUUGGGCAUACCUGAAGUAGGGGUUCUGAAUGCCAGAUGCCUUCGCCCCUUUGGCCAUAUAAUCGGAUCAUCCCGUGAUGGCCAAACAUAAACUCUUAGCAUCAAAACUAUCUGGUACGGCUCCAGGGACAUAAAGGGGUAGGCGGAGAAUUUCACCUGGCCGCUCCACUGUCAACUCGUGGUCGAUAUUGUAUAACCUGAAAGACAUCGUUCCUCCAAAUUACAUCGUUGUACCCGUCCAACCUUUUUUCAACUUGAACUCAUUUGUGCUCAAGAAUUAUAAAGUGAUGCGGUCAUAGGUUUGUGCUUCACAAUGCACAAAUUCAAGCAUUCCGAGGACAUGGAACAUCCUAUCCAAUUCUUCCGACAAACCCAAUUGAAAUAAAGUAUCGGAGCAAAGGUACCUUGUCGGAGUUAUUUUCCGUUUGAAGUGAGAUGCAUACCUUUGUUCAUGCUCCGGGUUGUCAAAGAUGAUAUCAUGUGAUUUCGGAUGACGGAUGGUUCGCUUCCGCGGACGAGACGAUUCCGCCUCUGUUUGCUUCCCUUGGGAAAUUCUCUUCGGUGGCAUUAUUGAUUCCUGCAACAAAAUUUAUCAUCCAAAAAAAAGUAUGGAAAAAGGAAAAACGAUUACCGUAGCCUUGUAGAGGAUGGAGAGUAGAGCAACUUUUAUGAAGGGUGCCAUCAAUUUGGACGGAGUAAGGUAUUAAAGUUGGCUUUUAGGUGGUUUGGAUAUGGAGGAAGUUGGAAAACAAUGUGGGAAGGAGAAGGAUUAGGUAAAAAUGAGAGAGGGGGGGUGAAAGAAUCAGAUUUUAUUGGUAGGUUAAGGGUAAAAUGAGUUUAAGUGGUGGAAAAUCCGGGUGGGAUCCACACAAACACAAAAAUCCAAAAAUUUGAAAAAUAUAGUUGUUGGGCCUUACACGGGCCGUGUCAGCUGACACGGAUGGCCUUGUCAGGCCACUUUUUUUUGUGAUUCCUUCAGUAGAGCUGACACGGUACGUGUCAGCUGACACGGACGACCGUGUCAGCCUAUUGUAAAAUGUUGUUUUCCAACUGCUUGCAUGACACGGUCCGUGUCAGGUGACACGGGCACCCGUGUCAGGGGCCUGUUUUUCUUCAAAAAUUUCUAAUUUUUUUGGUUUUUUGUUGUUACCAUAUUCUCUGGUAUCCAUCAAUCUUUAUUGAUUUCAACUCAACCCUUCUCUUCUGCACUAUGCGAUGUACCUGUGAACCUACGAAUAAACCUGUAAACACAACAAACAUGGAAAUAGUUAGAAUAAAACCGCGUGGGUUGCCUCCCAUGAAGCAUUGCAUGUAACGUUAUAGAGGGGUAUUCGUUACCUUUAAAUUUGUUGACUAAAUCAAAAGUAAAUCAUACAAUUCGAGUCGCCACCGCACUUCUAUUUAUCCAAAGGAAAGGUUAGAAAGCGAACAAAAACCGAGAAGUUUUAUCAAAUCAAAAACUAAUAAAAAUGCCAGAGAUCGGGGUAAGGGGGUUGGUUAUGCAAUGGGAAGGUUUUAAGCACCCAAAACAUCCUAGGUACUCCUAGGGAGCCCUUUUCACAAUUUGUUGUAAGGUAGGUUGGUAUUUGUGAAAAAUUUAUUUGUGCAAACAUGAUUGGGGAGAUGAGAGAAGAAUGUACAAAUUAUUUACAAUUUUUAUGUUUGAAUGGAUAAACCCACUGCCUACGUACCAUCUUAAAAAAGAUUAGGAUCAAAACCUCGUAGUUCGGGGUAAAAAUCUCAAAAUGAGUUGGUGAAUUGAUUGGUCCAAAAGCCUUAAGGUCUUUUGUUAUCCAAGGGAGAAAACUCAACCUAAAACCACAAAUCCACCAUGUGAGGAUAGCUUCAACAUGCUAGUGAGGGGUUAACCCUAUAAUAAGCAUGGAAGACUCAUUGUCCAUCACUAAGGAUAUAGGUGAGUAUUACAUCUACCUCAAGGAUAACUCAAACCUAAUAGCUAAAGGUUAUGAAAANNNNNNNNNNNNNNNNNNNNNNNNNNNNNNNNNNNNNNNNNNNNNNNNNNNNNNNNNNNNNNNNNNNNNNNNNNNNNNNNNNNNNNNNNNNNNNNNNNNNNNNNNNNNNNNNNNNNNNNNNNNNNNNNNNNNNNNNNNNNNNNNNNNNNNNNNNNNNNNNNNNNNNNNNNNNNNNNNNNNNNNNNNNNNNNNNNNNNNNNNNNNNNNNNNNNNNNNNNNNNNNNNNNNNNNNNNNNNNNNNNNNNNNNNNNNNNNNNNNNNNNNNNNNNNNNNNNNNNNNNNNNNNNNNNNNNNNNNNNNNNNNNNNNNNNNNNNNNNNNNNNNNNNNNNNNNNNNNNNNNNNNNNNNNNNNNNNNNNNNNNNNNNNNNNNNNNNNNNNNNNNNNNNNNNNNNNNNNNNNNNNNNNNNNNNNNNNNNNNNNNNNNNNNNNNNNNNNNNNNNNNNNNNNNNNNNNNNNNNNNNNNNNNNNNNNNNNNNNNNNNNNNNNNNNNNNNNNNNNNNNNNNNNNNNNNNNNNNNNNNNNNNNNNNNNNNNNNNNNNNNNNNNNNNNNNNNNNNNNNNNNNNNNNNNNNNNNNNNNNNNNNNNNNNNNNNNNNNNNNNNNNNNNNNNNNNNNNNNNNNNNNNNNNNNNNNNNNNNNNNNNNNNNNNNNNNNNNNNNNNNNNNNNNNNNNNNNNNNNNNNNNNNNNNNNNNNNNNNNNNNNNNNNNNNNNNNNNNNNNNNNNNNNNNNNNNNNNNNNNNNNNNNNNNNNNNNNNNNNNNNNNNNNNNNNNNNNNNNNNNNNNNNNNNNNNNNNNNNNNNNNNNNNUGUACUGGUACUCUUGCUGUUUGGUAGCCCCUAUAUCAGCAUUAAUUGUCCAUCUUUGUGUAUUUUAGGAAACCUUUUGAUGUGGUGUUCUUAUGCUAGGGAUUCCAACAUUGAGCCAAAUGUGAAGAACCAUUGUCAUGAGCAUCGAAAGUAGGAGAUACAAAAGCAUUUGGAAGAUUCCUAGGAUUCUGGUUUUGAUUGUGUGCUUGAUUGCUUUGAGUUAUUUGCUUUAUUUGCUUACUUAUUUCCAAAGGUAUGGGAGCUACUGGAAUCAUCACUAUUGAUUCAAGAAGGGAAACUCCAUUUGUGGUUAGUUAUUUCUCUUCCUUCAUCUUAGUAUGUUUAGGACUUAGCCAUUCUUCUUUCUUCCCUCCACUCUAACCCAAGCCAAAACUUUUGUGCAAAUAUUAACAUUUUGUUUCAAAAUUAGAAACCUAAGCACUAUGCUUUGAUUUUCAAACUUCUUUUCAUAACACUUAUUUGAAUGAAUCCUUAAGUCAACUUUGACCAUAUUUUGUAAUACUUUUCAUUGGUAAAUACAACUCACUCAAUUGUUUUUGGGUUUCAAUGGCCACUUUUGCCAAAGCCUUUUCAUAAACAUUAGCUAUUAGGUGAGUUAUCCUUGAGGUUGAUAUAAUACUCACCUAUAUCCUUAGUGAUGGACAUAAGACUUCCAUGCUAUUAUAGGUUAACCCCUCACUAGCAUGUGAAGCUCUCCUCACAUGGUGAUUUGUGGUUUUAGUUGGUUUUCUCCCUUGGAUAACAAAAGACCUUAAGGCUUUUGGACCAAUCAAUCACCAACUUAUUUGAGAUUUUUACCCCGCGACUACGAGGUUUUGAUCCUAAUCUUUUAGAUGGUACGUAGGCAGAUGGUUUAUCCAUCAAACAUAAAAAUUCGUAAUAAUUUGUACAUUCUUCUCUCAUCUCCCCAAUCAUGUUUGCACAAAUAAAUUUCACAAAUACCAACCUACCUACCAAAGAUAGAUGGAAUCAAGGUCAAACAAUAGUAAACAGAAGCAAAAUGAAACUUAGAAGUUAAGAAACAAAUAAAAUAUUUUUGGUAUUUUUCAAAAUUAAAAUAAUACUUGAAUUAAAAUAAACAAUUAAAGGUUAAAAUUCAAAUCCAUUUCAAAUUAACUUUGAAAAGUCCAAAGGGAUCAUCCUAAGUUCAACAAGGUCAAACAAAGUUUGACAAAAAAUUUCAGCAUUUUUAGAAACCAGAAACUAUUUUUAAUCAAUUAAAAAUGCAUAAAAAAUAACCUAACUGAACUAAAAUAUCAAAUAAAUCAUAAAUCAAUUAAUAAAUUGAUGAGAAUAUUUUUCAUAGAUCCAUCAUCAUUCAAAGAGGUUAAGAAAAUAUUUUUGCACUUUUUGAAUAUUGGAAACUAUUUAAAAUGAAUUAAAAAUAACCAAAAAAGAGAAAAUUCACAAAAAAUAUCAAAUGAUCGAAUAAAAAAUAUUAAAAAUCAAUUUUAGAAACUAGAAAUUAAAAGAGAAAUAAUGCAAUUGGUCCCAUAUUUUUUGGAAUUAAAAUGAAAGAGUUAUGAUUUUUUGAAAUAAAAUGGAAUUAAGAAAAUAAAAUGGAUUAAUUCGGAAAAUAGAAUAAACCACGUGCGUUGGAUGGAAUCUCAUUAAUUGACCUAGCACAUCUAAUGGUCCACAUGCGCGCGCUCACCAUGAGUCCAUGUCAAUGAGAAACAUCCAGCAUUAAAUAAAGUCAUAAGAUCUGAUGGCUAUGAUAUAAAUUGGAGAUCAGAUCCUAGGAUCCACAAUUGAUCUGGCAAAAAGACGGUGGUGUACACCACCGUCUUCUCCGGUGAGCUUGUAUUUUCCGGCCAAAGUUGUCGACAUGAAAACUUAACCAAAUGAAGCGAACCUCAUAUCAUUGGAAAGCUGGGGUGAUGUACAUCACCCCUGUACCAUUGGUUUUCCUUCUAGAUCCCCAUAGGAAGAGAAAUCAAAAGAGGAAAAUAAUGGAGUUCAAACUGAACUUGAUGAUUUUUCAAAAUUAAAAGUACAAUUCAAAUGCCUCUGAUGAGAGGACUUCAACUAAACCAAUAAACACAAGAAACAAGCAAGAAUCAAUGAGUUUCGAAGAAAAAAAGUUUGGUUAUCAAACUUGGAAAUGUAGAUCUGUGGAGCACGAUUCCUCUCAACUCUUGAUUGCAAUUUACUUUUGGGAUGAAGAUGAAGCAAGGCCAAGGAAUUUUAAGUCCAGUGAUCAACCAAUGAAGUUGACAAUUGGAUCUGAGGUUUUGAAAUGAAAGAGAGAAAUUUCUUUAGGUGAGGUUUUGGAUUCAAUUUUGCAGCAUAUCAGGUGCCUUCAGGUUGGAAAAUAGUGAAGCUGAGCUCAUGUAUUUAUAGCAAGGCAAGGUGGAAGCAUGGGAAAAUCAUGUGCAUGAGUGAAGAGGGCCUCCAUGCAUGGGCCUAUACAGGCGCAUGGAGGGCCCAAAUUCAAUGCCAAAUGAGUAUUCAGGUGUAAACAAAGUGAAUUGGACGUGUACAUGCAAUUGAUUUGGAGUGUGCAAGAAGUUUUCAAAUGGUUUCCAUAAUUGCACCAAAAUCUUCUCAUCUUCGAAACUAGCCCUUACCAAAAUGAAACAUGGCCUUGUGGGUAAUGGUUGGAAAGGUCUUGACACGAGAAUCAAUUGUUAUGUUGAACAAAACUUCAUUUGGAAUUGGGAAAUUAGUGAAAAUUGGUCAUAAAGUUCAAGGUGCAAAACAUGUGCAUGUGAAAAUUUCCAAAAUGGACCAACUUCAAGCCCUUCUGUAUGUUGAACAAAACUUCAUUUGGAAUUGGGAAAUUAGUGAAAAUUGGUCAUAAAGUUCAAGGUGCAAAACAUGUGCAUGUGAAAAUUUCCAAAAUGGACCAACUUCAAGCCCUUCUGUUUCAAUGAUAAAAGCUCCAAAUUACAAAACCUUCAACAUAAAAGUUGUAGAUCUUUUCAAGAAAAUCAAUUUGGACUCAGAUUUUGAAUCAUUUGGAUUUUUAAUGAGAAAGUUAUGGGCACUUGAAGUUGGACUUUUUCAAGAUUCAAUGGCUUUGGUCCAAAGUGACCUAUAAUGUUUUACAUUAUCACAUGUGUUUUUUUUAGGAUUAUGAAAAUUUGUUCAACAUAACAAAUGAAUUAGACAUCUUAAAAUUUCCAAUUCAUUUGAUACCACCUCAAAAUCAUAAAAAAUGAGUGAGUUAGAUCCUUGGGAAGUUGACCUAAAAUUAGGGUUUCAGUCAAAAUGACCUAUAAUGUUUUGAAAUGAAUGAUGACCUUCCAAGAUUCAAAUCAAUUUUUGAUGAACAUUAAAGUUGUUCAUAUGGUUCUUAAGAACAUUUUUUUUCUUGGGGUAAUCUUCAUUUUACAAACACAUUAAAAGUUAGGUCUCAAUGUAUUUCAAAAUAGUCAGAUGAAUUGACUAAUCAACUUCUCAAGUCCAAACCUCAAACCUUGAUGAAUUGAUGAUUGAAGACACUCAAAUAAGCUCAAAUAUGCAUGAAAUGAUGAAUGAAAGAACUUACCUUGAUUGUAUUUGAUCAUGGGUUGAGGUUGCUUCAUGAGCAAGGCACAAUUGAUGCACAAAUGAAUUAGGGUUUCCUUGGGAAACAAUCCUCAAGCCCUCUGGUUUUCUUUGAUCAAAUUGAAAAAUUGAGAUACUAGGGAGGCAUAUAUGAUAAAUGAGAUCUUUGGGAACCAUUGUCAUACUUGCUUUCACUUUCACCUGGCCAUAUCAAUGAGCAUAGGGUCUCCUAGGAGCCUCAGAUCUUAUGAUUGCUCAAGCUACAAAACAAAAGAAGUUAGUGACAUAUUUUUGUAAUUUUGGUUAGUAAACAAAAUAAGAAAAGCAAUAAUAUACAAUUCAAGCAUGCUUGGUGGUCUCAAACCAACUCACAAGUCCCACCCAAAGGUUAAGGAGCCAAGAUGCUAUGAUCCUUGAGGCAAGUGCAAAUGCAGUGAUAUGAUGCCAUGAGGGAUCUUAGGGUCAAAAUUAUGGUCUUACAAACGUCGCAUGGCUCGAUGGUCGUCUUCCUCAUCCUUGGAGACGAACAUUAUCAAUCAGACCACUUUCAUGUCCCUUAUAAUAAUGUUUCAACAUUUGUUCGUUCACCUUGAAUGUAUCCCCAUUAUUUGGAUUUUUCAGUUCGAUAGCUCUAUGGGGAAACACUUUGUGAACCACAAAUGGACCCGACCACCUGGAUUUCAACUUUCCUAGAAAUUUUUUUAAUCUGGAGUUGAACAAGAGCACCAGUUGUCCCUCGACAAACUCCUCUCUCUACAGCUUUUGAUCGUGCCAUUUCUCUGUCUUUUCUUUGUAGAGCUUGGCGUUCUCAUAUGCUUGAUUCCGAAACUCCUCUAACUCAUGGAGUUGAAGGAUUCGGGACUCACCCACUUUAGCCAGAUCAUAAUUCAAGAAUUUGGAUGCCCAAAAUGCUUUGUGCUCCAACUCUAGUGGCAAGUGACAAGCCUUACCAUAAACCAACUGAUACGGAGACAUACCUAUGGGCGUUUUGAAAUCCGUUAUGUACGCCCAUAGUGCAUCUUCUAAUUUUAGUGCCUAGUCUUUCCUAGAUGCGCAAACAGUCUUUUCCAAUAUUUUCUUUAUCUACCUGUUGGAACAUUUCGACCUGGCCACUCAUUUGAGGGUGAUACGGAGUGGCGAUCUUGUGUUUAACAUUAUACUUCUUUAGAAGAUUCUCCAUCAGUUUGUUCAAAAAGUGAGUGCCUUCAUCUAUAAUAAAUGCUCUUGGCACCCCGAAUCUGGAAAAGAUAUUGUUCUUCAGAAAUGUCACAACCACUUUAGAGUCAUUGGUGGGCAAUGCUACAGCUUCCACCCACUUUGAUACAUAGUCAACUGCUACCAAGAUGUAAUUUUUCCAAAAGAUGGUGGAAAUGGCCCCAUGAAGUCUAUUCCCCAGACAUCAAACAAUUCAACCUCCAUCAUAGCAUUUUGCGACAUUUGAUUUCUCUUAGAAAUAUUUCCCGUUCUUUGACAUCUAUCGCAUUCUUUGACGGUGUCAUGGGCAUCUCUGAACAAUGUGGGCCAAUAUAUGCCUGAUUGAAGAACUUUGGCCUCUGUUCGGUCACCAUUAAAGUGUCCUCCAUAAUCUGAAUCUUGACAAGCUCUAAGUACAUCCCUUUGCUCCUCCUCCGGGACACAUCUUCUGACCAUCCCAUCCACCCCUCUUUUGUAUAGGAAUGGGUAAUCCCACAAGUAAAACCUGCAAUCAUGAACAAACUUUUUCUUUUUGUUAGAAUCAAAAUCGUUGGGGAUUACACCCCCCCACCAAAUAAUUCGCGUAGUUUGCGAACCACGGGAUACCGAUAACAACGAGGAUGUGUUCAUCAGCGAACUCAUCCUUUAUCGGUAUCUUUUCUUCUGUUUCUUAAAUUGGUGACAUGCGGGAUAAAUGAUCUGCCAUUAUGUUUUCACACCCUCUUUCGUCUCGGAUCUCUACAUCAAAUUCUUGGAGGAGUAAGAUCCACCUGAGAAGUCUCGGCUUAGAGUCUUGUUUAGCAAACAAAUAUUUCAAAGAGGCAUGGUCCGUACACACUACAACCUUCGAUCCUAACAAAUAUUGCCCGAACUUGUCAAAUGCGUAAACCACAACCAACAACUCUUUUUCAGUGGUUGCGUAGUUCAUCUGUGCAGGGUUCAACACAUGACUAGCAUAGUAAAUGACAUGUAAUAACCUUUCUCUUUGUUGUUCUAAGACUUCCCCCACAACAAUAUCACUAGCAUCACACAUGAUUUCAAAUGGAAGAGACCAAUCGGGGGCAAUAACAAUGGGUGUUGAGAUCAGUUUUCUCUUCAAUGUCUCAAAGACCAUGGUGCAUUCUUUGUUGAACAGAAACACCUUAUCUUUAACCAAUAGAGUGGUCAGCGGUUUUGCAAUUUUUGAAAAAUGUCUUAUGAAACUGCGGUAAAAGCCUGCGUGUCCUAAGAAACUCCUGAUACCCUUCUCAUUAACAGGGGGUGGUAGUUUAGAUAUCACUUCCACUUUUGCUUGGUCAACUUCAAUUCCCUUGUAGGAAAUUUUGUGACCCAACAAUAUCCCCUCACGCACCAUGAAGUGACAUUUCUCCUAGUUCAGAAUUAAAUUCAUUUUCUAUCACCUGUCUAAAACAAGAGAGGGAUUAGUUAAUCAGUUAUCAAAUGAGGAUCCAAAGACCGAGAAGUCAUCCAUGAAGACUUCCAUAUGCUUUUCGAGCAUGUCGGUGAAAAUGGAAUUCAUGCAUCGUUGGAAGGUGGCUGGAGCAUUACACAACCCGAAUGGCAUUCUUCUAUAAGAAAAAACACCAUACGGGCAUGUGAAUGCUGUCUUUUCUUGGUCUUCCAGAGCUACAACAAUCUGAUUAUACCUGGAGUAUCCAUCUAGAAAACAGUAGUAAUCAUGUCUGGCUAACCUCUCUAACAUCUUGUCAAUAAAUGGUAAAGGGAAAUGGUCCUUCCUAGUUGUUGUGUUCAACCUUCUGUAGUCAAUGCAAACAUGCCACCCGGUUAUGGUCCGAGGAGGAAUUAACUCAUUUUUUUCAUUCUUUAUUACGGUGGUCCCCCCUUUCUUAGGGACAACAUGAAUCGGGCUCACCCACGAGCUGUCAGAAAUAGGAUAUAUAAGACCCGUGUCUAACAAUUUCACCACCUCUUUCCGAACUACUUCCUUCAUUACAGGGUUGAGUCUUCUCCACGGUUGGACUACCGGUUUGUGGUCGUCUUCCAUGAGAAUUUUAUGCAUGCAAACAGUAGGGCUAAUACCCUUCAAAUCUUCAAUUGCCCAUCCAAUAGAAUUUUUGUACUUUUUCAAGACUUGGAUGAGCUUUUCUUCUUGGAUAUUCUGAAGGCUCGAGUUUAUGAUAGCAGGACAUUUUACUCCAGGUUCGAGAAAGACAUAUUUAAGAUUGUCAGGAAGUUGUUUCAACUCUAUUUCCUUCUUUGGUUCUUCAUUCUCCUCACUGGAGGGAGGUAGGUGUAAAUCCUCCCACCGGCAUGGUCGAGAUCCUUUCCAUGGGGGUUGUGCGUCCAACAAGGCUAGCACUUCAGAUUCCCCGUUAUCCACCUUUUUAUCCGAGGUUUGAAAGAGCUACAACUUUGAUGAAGGAACUUUUUUCAUUUGAAGUCCAUAGAAAAAGUUAUUCAGGGUGAAAGAAGUGAACAUUUGACUUGGGACUUAGAAAAUUUUCAAAUAUGUUUGAUUUCCCAAACUUCCACCUCAAAAUUCAUCAUGAUCCAGGCUUCAAAUGAAAAAGUGUUCAACAUGAAAUUGUUCCCCUUUAUCUGACCUUUUCAAAAAGUCCAAGAUCAUCUCAUUUGGCCAAAGAAUGAAGGACUUGCGCAUGAGUGCAAUGUGAGGUACCAUUUGGAAGAAAUUCAUGAUCCAAUUCAAUUCAACAAUGCAUGGCUUAAUGCAACACUUUUAGCAUGACAUGUUCACACUUUUGGACCUUUGCCAAUCAUUCUUUGGGCUUUGUACACACCCAUGGAAGCUCAUGUAGGAAGUUGCUAAUUUUGGAAAUUAAAAUGAAAGUGUUUGGAAAGCAUGUGCAUUGGUUAUAAAUAGAGAAGCAAUGUGAUCAGAACUUCAUCAACACCUUGCCCAAGCUUUGCCAGAACAAAUCAUACCCUCAAUUGCAUAGAACUUCUGAAGAUUUCUUUUGAAAUCGAGCUUGAACUUCAUCUUAUGUUUGGAAGUUCAAACUCCAAAAACUCACUUCCCUAUUCAUCUCAAUCGGUUUCUACAAGCAAGAGGAAGAGAAAGCAAGCAAAUCCAGAUCAAGAUCAAGUGAAAUUGAAUCAACUCGAAGGUGAUUUUUCAGAAACUUCAUCUUUUCGAUUCUUUCUCAAUUCUUCACCAUUAUUUGUGAUUUUUGGUUGGCUGAAGUCCUACCAAUGUAGGCAAGAAGAUUGAGUUUCUUUGAAAUCAAAUCGAAGCAACUCAGUUCAUGAUCCUCAAAAUUCAAAUCCUGGUAUCUUUUUAUAUAUUUGGAAUUGGAGAAAAUUGAGGCCAGAUUUGUGCUCCUGAGCAUUUUUCCUUCAAAUUAGUGUAUUCAUUUUUCAUUUUUCAUAAAGUUAAUCCUGAACCAGACCGGCGGUGAUCACCGGAGAAGAUGACCGGAGCUAGGGCUCCGGUGGUGCAUUGGCAAAGUCCAAGCCAUCUGAUCUGAUUCAAAUGUUUUAAUCUCAAGUGUUCAUUAUGAUUACCACGCGUACAACGCAUUGACCAAGGCAUAUGGUGGAACGGCACGUGUGGCUGUCAUACCCCAAAAUUUGCCCGUUAAUCUUGCAAGACAUUUUUCAAGGCACUCCAACUCAUUUUUCAAGACAUUGAUCUUAAAGGAACAAAGACCCAGCACACAGGUGGCCAAAUCCAGAAAAUUCACUCCAACUCAUUUUUCAAGACAUUGAUCUUAAAGGAACAAAGACCCAGCACACAGGUGGCCAAAUCCAGAAAAUGACUUAAACUGGCUUGCUCGCUAGGCGAGCAAAAUCCUUCGCCUAGGGAACCCUUCGCUGCACCACUCGCCUAGCGAAGCUUGCGAAUACCAGAAAAUUUUGGGCUUGAUUCUGAGCCCACCAAGACACAAUUAUUAUAAAUACCAGAACUUCAUACACAGAAAGAGAUACACAAAGAGACAGAGGGUGGACAGAGAGGGAACAUGCAAACCCUAACAGAGGCAACCGGAAAAACCCUGGAGGCUAACGAAGAGAAUUCAGAGUAAACCCCGGAUACCCCGAAGGAAACUCAUCUGCACAAAGGUUACCUCCGCCCCACUCAAUCUGGUACAAACCAUAAAAGUGAUCUGCAAGUCCAACGGUGCAAUUGCAAUUGCAAACAGGUUUGUCACACCCCCACUAUUUUAUGCUCCUAAUUCGACAUCUUCAAAUACAUGAGGCAUUAUGAUUGAAUUUCUAAAUGUAUCAUUAGGUUUUACAUAUGAGUUUAAUUCGACAUCUUCAAAUACAUGAGGCAUUAUGAUUGAAUUUCUAAAUGUAUCAUUAGGUUUUACAUAUGAGUUUAAAUAUGCAUGAAUGUGUAACACAAUAUCUUGAAUGUUUAACCAUGUAAUUUUUGUAAUGGAUGCCAUAGGGUUUGGGGUUCCUAAAAUCGCACUGUUAUCAAAGAAGAACUCAAAACCUGCAGCCGUUCGCCAGCACUUCGCUGAGCGAACAUGUAGCGAGGGUUCGCCAAGCCUUCGCUAGGCGAGGCAGUAGCGAACAUGACAGUAUUUGUUUUUUUUCAUUCGCAUUCUAAUCUGUUAUGUACUUGAUUGACAUGUUUUCUAUUGCAUCUACACGCUGUUUGCCUGACACUAUUAUUGUUGUGAUUCUUUUGUUUGGUGCAACUCGUGGUUGCACCCUAGCUUGGUAUUCUAACCUGUUUGUUGAAUUUUUGUGAGGUUUCACAUACUCCUGAAGAGACAGUUUGCUAGGUAUUCCACUUUAUUUGUGGGAUACCCUUGUGAAGAUUCAUUGCCUUCGAACAUAUGAUCUGGGCCCUCUCUUUGUUACCUUACGAUAUUACGGCCAUGUCCCGCGAAUGUGAGGAUACCCUUAGCAAAGACCCUUCGGUUAAAUCAUCAUAGUCCCUCGGAUGUUGCCUUCGGAUACAUGACUUUGUCCCUCGAUGACCCUUCGUGGUAGCCUACGGUUAAAUGAUGAUCGUCCCUUCGAAUGCUAAGGUAUCCUUACAAAUGUUGCCUUCAAUGACCAAUCGACGACCCUACGAUGUCCCUUUACAUCCAAAAGAUAAGACUACUUACUUUCUCAAUAGUAAGGACAUUUUACCCUCUAAGGAUAGGAAAUACUAAUAAGAAAGACCUGUGAAUGUACUAACUCUUAAAUGCUGUGCCGCAGCUUAAUCACCUCCACUUUCCAAAACAUCUAUUUAGAAAAUCACCACUUGUGUAUACACUUUCGAACCAAUAUCCUUGCCGAGUUCACUUUUUUCCUAAACAUCUUUCAAAAUCAAACGAGAUAAACACUUGUGUAUACAUUCAACAAGAAGUCAUUUACAAAGUUAACUCUCCUUCCAAAAUAUUUCUCUAAACACACCACAUCUCUCAAACACCUUUCCUGGAACAAAGAACACAACUAAGUGAGCUAACCACAUUAAGAGCCCAUGGAUAACCAUGGAUACAACAGGGUUGCUAACACUUCUCCUUUGUAGUAAUGUACUCCCGAACCCAAAAAUCUAAUUCAAGGUCGUUUCCUGUUCUUUCCGCCUUCCUAUCUGGAUAAAAGAAAAUCAUGGGAGCGUACUCUUGCUAUCCGCGAAAUUGCCUUUCAACAGUCAAAACAGAGCAAAGUCAUUCACCGUAUUGACAGACUGCGACUCUGGCUGGGAUCCUUAAAAAAGAGAGGUUACCUUAAAAAAAUAAAAAUAGAUACUAUAGGCAUUUAGUUGUUCAAAGUUGUUCCUUGCCUGAUUUACUUUUAAGGACUGUUUGGGUACUCUGAUGCAUUUGAUGAAAGAUUCCUACACCCGUCAUAUUAGUUGUACCUAUGGUACAGUAUCAAAGAGAUCAUCGCUGACCGUCCCGGCGUAUGACUGGAAUGGUUUAAAAAUGAUGGCUUACGGUUAAUGUGACAGCUUUGGAUGUCCUGAUGUCCUCAUUUACUUAGGCUAAAAUUGGCGUCCGCGGUGUCAUCAAGCAGUGUAACCACGAACCUUUAGCAACCCAAUUGACUCAUCCUAGCCAUCUUCGAAAUUAGUGAGAUAACUGACUUCGGUUCCGACUGGGGUUGGUUGAUACUCGAUACUACACUCUUUGAGAUUGGACUUUAAGGAAAUUUUGGUCAACCGCUUGGUGUUGCACUGAAGUGGGCUUAAGGAAAGGUCGAUGAUUUGAGAUCCUUCUAGAACCCGGUUACUAUUCUAGGACAGGUGGAACCAACCAAACUUCAGUGGGGAGGGUACUUACCUAUGGAACUCAUGUAAGCCUUAAAACCCAGGAAUGAUUGCGGUGUGACUUGUUUGUGUUUGUUAGUUACUUAUCAUCAUAACAUCAUAACAUCAUAACAUCAUAACAUCAUGACAUCAUGACAUUGUACUAACCAUUUCAAGGACUUAGGGAUUUAAUUUUGCUCUGUUUUGUAAGGCUAUGGCUUCCAGGAAGACCAUCCGGAUCAAUCUUGUAGCGAUCUCUCCUCAACUCAAGAGUUUAGUGUCAGAGCUUCCCAAUCAUGCUCAGUUCAUCAAGAAACAUGGUUCUCUCCUUAAUUUAGUUACUACCGGUUUCAAAGAAGAUAUGAUGAGAGUUCUAUUCCAGUUCUUCGAUCCUAAACAUCAUUGCUUCACCUUCCCAGAUUAUCAGUUGGUACCCACAUUAGAAGAAUUCUCCAGACUGCUUGGGAUACCUAUCCUUGAUCAAACACCUUUCAGUGGUUUAGAAAAGAUUCCAAAGUCUGAAGAAGUCGCCGCGGCUUUACACAUGACAAAGUCCGACAUUAAAACUAAUUGGGUAACAAGAAGUGGAGUUAAGGGUUUACUUGCCAAAUUUCUGAUAAAUAAGGCCCGAGAAUUCCUAAAAGCUAUGAGUGUCCAUGCUUUCGAAGAUGUUCUAGCAUUACUAAUCUAUGGUUUGGUGCUAUUUCCUAAUCCGGAUCAAUUCAUAGACAUGAAUGCUGUUAAGAUAUUUCUCACUCAUAACCCUGUGCCCACCUUGCUUGGAGACAUUUUGCAUUCCCUUCACACUCGUACUAUGAAAAGGCAAGGGACUCUCAUGUGCUGCGUACCUUUAUUAUCUAGGUGGUUUAUUUCGCACCUUCCUCAAUCAGUCUUGAAGAAUGAGCAAAAUUUGAAAUGGUCUCAAAGGAUAAUGUCGCUCUCCCAUUCAGACAUCCAUUGGUGUCCCCAACCCAAAGAAAAUGUUAUCAUCAUUGACCGUUGUGGAGAAUUCUCUAACGUACCACUCCUGGGGAUAAGAGGAGGUAUUACUUAUAAUCCUGCUUUAGCCCUACGUCAGUUUGGUUAUGCUCGAAGAGAUGGUCCACAUGAAAUAAUUAUCCAAGGCACUGUGUUUGACUAUGACAACGAUUCUCAAGGUCUCCGUCAAAGGUUUGUACGAGCUUGGGGCAUGGUGAAAAGAAGCACUUUAGGACAGAAAAACUCUAUUCCUAUGGAACCUUAUCUCAGAUGGGUACGCACAAGAGCUCGUGAACUUGUCAUGCCAUAUCUUGCAGUCGGACCGCUGAUUGUUGAACCAGGAGUUGAAGGAGGUACUCCUCAGAUCAUUCCUUAUCCAGAUAUGCCUACCAAUGUUGAAGAAUUGAAGAGAUCCUGGAUCCAGUUGAGAGAGGAAAGGGAUACUUUUGAAGCCCAGCUCUGUGCUGAAAGGAAGAAAGUGUUAGAACUUACCAGCCAGCUUAAUGAGGAACGAAGACUCAAUGCAUAUCGUCGCCCAAAAAGAAGCCAUCCCUGGGAGACUUGAACUUUCAUUGUAUUUUUAUUAUUUUUUGUAAUGAACAUUGAUUAAAGAAAUUAUUAAAUAAAAUUUCCCUUUUUUGGUGGUUUACGCAAAGUUAAAUUGCAAAAGUCCUUGAAAAUAUUUCAUACAUUGCAUAGCAUAACAUAACAUUGCAUAACAAGUAUUCUAAAGGAUCAGUGUUCUCACGGUCUUCAUUGCAAACAGAAAGAUGGCUCUCGAACAAACUGUCAAAGAUCUCCAGGCUCAGAAUGCUCAAUUCCAGGAGAUGAUCUUGAACUUAUCCAAGGGGCAGGAGGAGCUGAAGGCUCUCUUGCUCGAGAAGAAGAAAGACAAGAAAGCUGUGAGUUACAUUAACCCGGGAAGAAGGCUUAAAGGACAGGCCGCAGGAGUCAAGAUUAGAAUUCCGAAGGAUCAAGAAGAGGAGACAGAAAAUGAUUCGGAAGAGGAGAAUGGUGACCCCUUCAACCCUGAGGACGACGAUGAAGAUUAUGAAAAUGAACAGUACUCUCCAAAAGAUGAUAAGUAUAAGUUGCUGGAAGAACGCAUGCUAGCUAUGGAGGGUCAGAAGGCGCCCGGUCUGGAUUUCGAAGGCUUAGGUCUGGUCUCUGAUGUGGUCAUUCCCCGCAAAUUCAAGGUCCCCGCUUUCACUAAGUAUGAUGGUGCAUCUUGUCCUCAGAUGCACCUGAGAGCUUAUGUGAGAAAGAUUCAGCCGUAUACCACUGAUAGGAAGCUAUGGAUCCAUUUCUUCCAAGAGGGUCUUUCUGGCACACAGUUAGAGUGGUAUUAUCAGCUCGAGAGCUCUAACAUCCGCACCUGGACUAAUUUAGCGACAGCUUUCUACGAGCACUACCAGUAUAAUUCGGAAUUGGUGCCUACUCGGCUACAGUUGCAGAAUAUGACUAUGGGAUCUAAAGAAAGCUUCAAAGAAUAUGCUCAAAAAAGGAGAGAUUUGGCUGGCAGAGUCAAACCCCCUAUGACUGAUCGAGAAUUAGUGGACAUGUUCAUGGGUACACUGACUGGCCCAUUCUACAGCCAUAUAUUGGGAAGUUCCUCAUCGGGUUUCAUUGAACUUAUAUUAACAGGUGAACAUGUUGAAAGUGGCAUUCGAAGUGGAAAGAUACAGGUGGCUACCUCUGCAAGUACCAAAACGUCCUACCAGGGGAGGAACGAAUCAAAUGCUGUGUACGGUCAAAGGGGUCAUAACAAGAAAAAUCGUGACCAUACUAUUGGAGCAGUUAUGAUUGCAGUACCGCCAUCUCAAGACUUCCAAGACAGAUAAGACAGGCCAAGAAGACAGUUUACAAAGAUCAAUAUGACUUUAGCACAAGCACUGCAGGGUAUGCUAAAAGCAAAUUUAAUUACUCUCAGAGAUCCUCCUGCAAAUCCCAACACUACUUCUCCUCGUUAUAAUCCCAAUGCCAGGUGUGCAUAUCACUCCGAUAGCCCCGGGCAUGAUAGAAACGAUUAUUGGCUGUUGAAGAAUAAGAUUCAGGAUAUGAUCGACGCGGGGGAAAUUGAUUUUGAUCCUCUAGAGACUCCUAAUGUCAUCACUGCUCCUCUGCCUCAUCAUGACAAGACUGUUAAUGCUGUAGAGGAUGUGGAUAGCGAUUGCGACUUGGGUAAUUGGAUCUUCCCAAUAAUUGGUGGCGGACUCAAUAAUUGGAAGGCUGAAGACACUAUCCCGAUUUCCUUUAGUCAAGAGUAAUUGUUAUUGCUAUUUUAGUGUUUCAAAUUUUGUAAUUUUUUUAAAAGCAUUGUGUCUAUACCCGGGGCACAAUAGCUAAUUUUUCAAGGGUUUUGUCCUUUUCAUAAGCAUAUUCACAUUCAAUAAAUCAAUGGACUUUUUGCAUUCAAAUAUUGCGCUCUUUAUCUUUCCUGUCAUCUUUUAAACAAGCUAUCGAAAGAAUGUGUGUGAGUGCAUUGUUUAACGAGAUCCAUAUCCACUCUGGAUCCUGUUGAUAAUAAUUCUGCUACUGUUCAUUAUGACUUUGAAAAUCCGAUCUACCAAGCCGAGGAUGGAAGUGAAGAAGAUUGUGAAGUACCUGGAGAGCUUGCCAGACUGUUACUGCAGGAAGAAAAGACCAUACAGCCGCAUCGAAAUUGUAAGUCUGGGUACUAAAGUGGACAAGAAAGAAGUCAGAGGUUUCUUGGGACACUUGAAUUACAUUGCCCGAUUUAUCUCCCAUUUAACUGCUACUUGCAAACCCAUCUUCAAAUUACUGAGACAAAAUCAAGAAGUAUCUCCAAGAACCUCCAAUUCUGAUGCCACCAGUUGAAGGAAGACCUCUAAUCAUGUAUUUGACCGUGUUAGAAAAUUCAAUGGGGUGUGUUGGGUCAAUAUGACGAGUCUGGUCGAAAAGAGCAUGCAAUAUACCACCUUAGCAAAAAGUUUACCGACUGUGAAACAAGAUACUCACUGCUCGAGAAAACUUGUUGUGCUUUGGCUUGGGCUGCUCGCCUGACUAAGACAGGUUAUGUUGAAUCAUACCACUUUAUUGAAUUUCGUAAGAUGGGUCCUAUUCAAAUAUACAUUGGAAACUGCUCUCUCCGAUGAAUGCAGGGUGCAGGAUGAUUUAACAAGUAUGAUAUCUAGUUACUACCCAGAAGGCAAUCAAAGGAAGCGUGGAGCCAUGAUGCUGGCUACAAUGGAUGACGAAGAGUCCCCGCAUCCCGUGAACACGGACAUAGUUAAAAAAAUACUACGCAUGUACACCCGGCAAGUCGAAAACCUGAAAAGGCGGCUUGGGCAAAAAAGGAUAUCCUGGUGGACUGAAAACCUGAAAAGCCGGUCCAGGCAAAAAUUAGGGAUUAAAGCGUAUGACUAUGUCCCGUUCUCGGCCAACUUCACCCAAGUCAAAGGGACUGAACAAGCCAAUCACUUCUAUCCGACAGCAGGAGAUGAGAGGCUUGAAGACAUAAUGACAGUAGUGGAGUUAAAAUCAGUAGGACUUUUUUCUUCAUAGCUUUUUCUUUGUUUACUUGACAAUUUCCUCUUACUAGGAUUUCUGUCUCCUUGUACUCAAAUUGCCUGUUUGUAGGCCCUCUUUCAAAAUCAAUACAAUUCUAUUUCCAAAAAGAUGCUUCUGUUUUACUUUCUCUGUUUUGUUUUCAUAAACGUCCAUUGAUUUAAUUCAAAUUAAUAUAUGCAUUUGAACAUGAUUGAUGUCUACCGAAAAUACAUGCAUAAAAUAGAAAUAGCAGUUACUAAAAGACUUUAGGGUCAAAGAUAAAGUCUAACCAUGCUUUCCGAUGAAUCCGGUUGCUAAUCCUAUUCCCCAGCAAAACCAGUUAUUUCCCAGAAGAAAUUGGCAUUACUAGACAGACUGGUCAUCUCUUUUAUCCCCCAGCCAGGUAGCAAAACCAGUUAUUUCCCAGAAGAAAUUGGCAUUACUAGACAGACUGGUCAUCUCUUUUAUCCCCCAGCCAGGUCCUGUUGAAUAUUUCUACCAUCAGACAAGAAAUCAAAUAUCCCCAGCUAAGGAAGGGUCAUCAAUACAAAUAUCUCCAACCAGAAUAUGGGGAUUUAUUUUCCCCUGGCAAAAAUUUUCAGACGCAUAAUUCAUUCAUACAUCAUUUCACAUCAUAUACAUGCAUGCAAUGUUCACAUUUAUUUUCACAAGCAUAAAACAUCUCAUGCAUCCAUGAUAUGGCAUGAGGCUAACUUUUUUUCAGGUUAAUUAUCCUUCCGAUACAGUCAAAAUAAAGGUUCAUUUAGACGGACACCCUCAUCAGUUACAUUUGAGAUUCAGAUGCAUCUUUCAGAUAUAAUCCAUAUGAAUAUUCAUUCUGACAAGCAUUCUGAUAUCCUCCUAAUGAUGGCAUCCUUAAGCCCAUCCCAGACAUUUAUUGCAAAUACAACAUAUACAAAUAUUAUCAGAUAUAGCCUAACGUACGGUUCAUUCUGAUUCAGCCUAACGUAUGGUUCCUUCAACUGUUCCAAUGCGGUCUAGCGUACGAUCCAUUUGGAUGUUCAUCCCCUCAGAUACUACCUAGCGUACGGUACAUUCUGAAGUGUAGUCUAGUGUAUGACUACCCCCUUUUAUCAUCAGAUACAGCCUAACGGACGACUCAUUCUGCUACUCAGAUACGAUCUAGCGUACGAUCCAUUCUGAUCUUCAUUCCUCAGAUACUGCCUAGCGUACGGUACAUUCUGAAGUGUAGUCUAGCGUACGACUACCUUUUAUCAUCAGAUACAGCCAAACGGAAGGCUCAUUCUGCUACUCAGAUACGAUCUAGCGUACGAUCCAUUCUGACCUUUAUUUCUCCAGAUACAGCCUAACGGACGGCUCAUUCUGCAACUCAGAUACGAUCUAGCGUAUGGUCCAUUCUGAUUCUUACUUCAUCAGAUACAGCCAAACGGAAGGCUCAUUCUGCUACUCAGAUACGAUCUAGCGUACGAUCCAUUCUGANNNNNNNNNNNNNNNNNNNNNNNNNNNNNNNNNNNNNNNNNNNNNNNNNNNNNNNNNNNNNNNNNNNNNNNNNNNNNNNAUAAGGAUUUCCCCCCUUACCUUGUCAAUUUGAUGGAAACCUUGACUCCUCUCGCUUUUCCUCUCCUCUUUCUCUAUUGCCUUCAGUGCUCAAGUGAAUUCUAAUUCUCACUUCCUUCACUCUUACUAUUUAUAAUAGUAUUCUAGUUGGGCUUAAAUCAUCUAAUUUAAUCACUAGGCCCAAUAAUACCUAAUAUUUAAAUACCUCUAUUUAAAUUUAAAUAAUUAACCACUCACUAUACACACUAGGUUAAUUAUUAAUUAUUUAAUUAUAUCUCAUAUCAACUAAAUAAUUAAUUACCACACUAAUUAAAUUAAUUAAAUCCAUUAUUAUACUACCUCACAACCGCUUAAUUACUUAACACUCCAAAUAAUUAAAUAUAAUAUAAUAAAAAUAAUAUAAUAAUUAAUUCCUAAAAAUUGGGUUGUUACAACUCUCCCCCACUUAAAAGAUUUUCGUCCUCGAAAAUUCCUCAGACGAACAACUCUUGAUACAAUUCCCUCAUCUUAUCGUCGAGUUCCCAAGUAAUAUUUCCAUGCACCGGUAUCACUAAGGGAAAUCAAGGUGUACUCUUAAUAAAUCACAUACCUUGGAUUAGUCCAUCAUCGGUAGUGGUCUCCGCACUAGACAAUGCAAACACCUUUCGCUUUACUUGCUCCUUCUUCGGCUUAUCACAUUGCGAACUAAUGUGACCUUUCUCACCACAGUUGAAAGAAGUUACGUUUGAACCAACUUGUCAUACCCCAAAAUUUGCCCGUUAAGUUUUCAGGACAUUUUUCCAAGACAUUCUAAUCCAUUUUCAAGACAUUAAUGUUAAUGGAACAAGGGUCCAGCGCACAAGUUACCAAAUCCAGAAGAUGACCUAAACUGGCAUGCUCGCUAGGCGAGCAAACCCUUCGCUAGGCGAAUCCUUCGCUACCUCACUCGCCUAGCGAGCUCACGAAUACUAGAAAAUUUUGGGCUUGAUUCUGAGCCCACCAAGACACAAUUAUUAUAAAUACCAGAACUUCAUACACAGAAAGGGGGAGACGGACCCAGAGACAGACGGAGGACAGAGAGGGAACAAGCAAACCCUAAUAGAGGCAACCGGAAAAACCCUGGAGGCUAACAAAGAGAAUUCAGAGUAACCCCCGGAUACCCCGAAGGAAACUCAUCUGCACAAAGGUUACCUCCGCCCCACUCAAUCUGGUACAAACCAUAAGAGUGAUCUGCAAUUCCAACGGUGCAAUUGCAAUUGUAAACAGGUUUGUCACACCCCCACUAUUUUAUGCUCCUAAUUCGACAUCUUCAAAUACAUGAGGCAUUAUGAUUGAAUUUCUAAAUGUAUCAUUAGGUUUUACAUAUGAGUUUAAAUAUGCAUGAAUGUGUAACACAAUAUCUUGAAUGUUUAACCAUGUAAUUUCUGUAAUGGAUGCCAUAGGGUUUGGGGUUCCUAAAAUCGCACUGUUAUCAAAGAAGAACUCAAAACCCGCAGCCGUUUGCCAGCACUUCGCUGAGCGAGCAUGUAGUGAGGGUUCGCUAAGCCUUCGCUAAGCGAGGCAGUAGCGAACAUGACAAUAUCUGUUUUUUCAUUUGCAUUUUAAUCUGUUCUGUACUUGAUUGACAUGUUUCCUAUUGCAUCUAUGCGCUAUUUGCCUGACACUAUUAUUGCUGUGAUUAUUUUAUUUGGUGCAACUCUUGGUUGCACCCUAGCUUGGUAUUCUAACCCGUUUGUUGAAUUUUUGUGAGGGUUCACAUACUCCUGAAGAGACAGUUUGCUAGGUAUUCCACUUUAUUUGUGGGAUGCCCCUUGUGAAGAUUCAUUUUAAUUAAUUGACUGAUUACAUUGCCUUCGAACAUACGAUCUGGGCCAUCUCUUUGUUGCCUUACGAUAUGACGGUCAUGUCCCGCGAAUGUGGGGAUACACUUAGCAAGGACCCUUCGGUUAAAUCAUCAUAGUCCCUCAAAUGUUGCCUUCGAAUACAUGACUUUGUCCCUCGAUGACCCUUCGUGGUAGCCUACGGUUAAAUGAUGAUCGUCCCUUCGAAUGCUAAGGUAUCCUUACAAAUGUUGCCUUCAAUGACCAAUCGACGUCAGAUACAGCCUAACGGACGGCUCAUUCUGCAACUCAGAUACGAUCUAGCGUACGAUCCAUUCUGAUUCUUACUUCAUCAGAUACAGCCAAACGGAAGGCUCAUUCUGCUACUCAGAUACGAUCUAGUGUACGAUCCAUUCUGACCUUUAUUUCUCCAGAUACAGCCUAACGGACGGCUCAUUCUGCAACUCAGAUACGAUCUAGCGUACGAUCCAUUCUGAUUCUUACUUCGGCAGAUACAGCCUAACGUACGGCUCAUUCUGCAACCCGGAUACGAUCUAGCGUACGAUCCAUUCUGAUUCUUAUUUCGUCAGAUACAGCCUAACAUACGGCUCAUUCUGCAAUUCAGAUACGAUCUAGCGUAUGAUCCAUUCUGAUCCUUUAUCCCCAAUGAAGUCGACAGCCUAAUGGAUAACUCACUAUACGGUCUAGCGUACGACCCGGUGUGGCACCCAUGUCUUCAAAUUGGUCUAAUGUACGACGCACUCUGAAGCUCUCAUCAUCAAACUUCUUGGAUGGCAUCUUUAAGCCCAUCUCCAUCAAGACUAACUUUUAAUUAACAAGUGCAAAUUUUUGGGGCAUUCUAAGUGUUCAAUAAUCUUCCACCUCCGAGCAUCCACGAAAUAAACAUACAUACUUCUUAACAUCUCUCGUCUAAGAAUAUUGACAGGGCGGCAGCUGUCAUACCCCAAAAUUUGCCCGUUAAUCUUGCAAGACAUUUUUCAAGGCACUCCAACUCAUUUUUCAAGACAUUGAUCUUAAAGGAACAAAGACCCAGCACACAGGUGGCCAAAUCCAGAAAAUUACUUAAACUGGCUUGCUCGCUAGGCGAGCAAAAUCCUUCGCCUAGCGAACCCUUCGCUGCACCACUUGCCUAGCGAAGCUUGCGAAUACCAGAAAUUUUUGGGAUUGAUUCUGAGCCCACCAAGACACAAUUAUUAUAAAUACCAGAACUUCAUACACAGAAAGAGAUACACAAAGAGACAGAGGGUGGACAGAGAGGGAACAGGCAAACCCUAACAGAGGCAACCGGAAAAACCCUGGAGGCUAACAAAGAGAAUUCAGAGUAAACCCCGGAUACCCCGAAGGAAACUCAUCUGCACAAAGGUUACCUCCGCCCCACUCAAUCUGGUACAAACCAUAAGAGUGAUCUGCAAGUCCAACAGUGCAAUUGCAAUUGCAAACAGGUUUGUCACACCCCCACUAUUUUAUGCUCCUAAUUCGACAUCUUCAAAUACAUGAGGCAUUAUGAUUGAUAAAGAUUUACAUAGUAAUCCAAAAUGUAUACUCAAUAAAUAUGCAUGAAUGUGUAACACAAUAUCUUGAAUGUUUAACCAUGUAAUUUCUGUAAUGGAUGCCAUAGGGUUUGGGGUUCCUAAAAUCACACUGUUAUCAAAGAAGAACUCAAAACCCGCAGCCGUUCGCCGGCACUUCGCUGAGCGAACAUGUAGCGAGGGUUCGCCAAGCCUUCGCUAGGCGAGGCAGUAGCGAACAUGACAGUAUUUGUUUUUUUUUUCAUUCGCAUUCUAAUCUGUUCUGUACUUGAUUGACAUGUUUUCUAUUGCAUCUACAUGCUGUUUGCCUGACACUAUUAUUGUUGUGAUUCUUUUGUUUGGUGCAACUCGUGGUUGCACCCUAGCUUGGUAUUCUAACCCGUUUGUUGAAUUUUUGUGAGGUUUCACAUACUCCUGAAGAGACAGUUUGCUAGGUAUUCCAAUUUAUUUGUGGGAUACCCUUGUGAAGAUUCAUUUUAAUUACUCGACUGAUUACAUUGCCUUCGAACAUAUGAUCUGGCCCCUCUCUUUGUUACCUUACGAUAUUACGGCCAUGUCCCGCGAAUGUGAGGAUACCCUUAGCAAAGACCCUUCGGUUAAAUCAUCAUAGUCCCUCGGAUGUUGCCUUCGGAUACAUGACUUUGUCCCUCGAUGACCCUCCGUGGUAGCCUACGGUUAAAUGAUGAUCGUCCCUUCGAAUGCUAAGGUAUCCUUACAAAUGUUGCCUUCAAUGACCAAUCGACGACCCUACGAUGUCCCUUUACAUCCAAAGGAUAAGACUAUUACUUCUCAAUAGUAAGGACAGUUUUACCCUCCUAAGGAUAAGAAAUACCUAUAAAGACCUUGGUGAAGUAUAACUCCUUAAAUGCUUGCUCGCAGCUUAAAACACCUCACACUUUUCAAAACAUCUUUUAGAAAAUCACCACUUGGUAUACAUUCGCACCAGAAUCAUUGCCGAGUUAUAUUUUUCUAAACAUCUUUCAAAAUCAAACGAGAUAAACACUUUGUAUACAUUCAUACAAGAAUCAUUACAAAGUUAAACUCUCCUUUCAAAUAUUUUCUAAACACACCACAUCUCUCAAACACUUUCUGGAACAAAGAAAACAUAAGUGAGCUAAGCAAUUAAGAGCCCAUGGAUAACCAUGGAUACAAAGGGUGCUAACACCUUCCCUUUUGUAUAAUGUACCUCCCGAACCCAAAAUCUAAUCAAGGUCUUUCCUGUUCUUUUCCGCCUUUCCUUAUUGGAUAAAAGAAAAGUCGAUGGCGACUCUUGCUAUCCGCGACAUUUGCUUUCCAAAGCAAAAACAUAAAAGUCAGUUCACCGUAUGACAGUGGCUAUAAUAUUUGCCACCUCAAUUAAUGAGGGAGAUCUGAUGGCCCUUGUUUUUUUUUUGUAGUUUCCGAUUUUUCAUUUAAUCCACUUAUUUUUAUUAAUUCAUAUAAAUUCACUUUUAAUCCAAAAAAAUAUGGGACUAUCACCAAAAAUCUUUAAAUAUUUCCCUCUUUCAUUUUUUGAAUUAAAAUUAUUUUUUGGAUUAAUUUUGAUAUUUUUCAUGAAUUAAUUGUUUUUUGCACAUUUUUAAUUGUUUAAAAAUACUUCUGACUUUUCAAAAAUCAUGAAAUUUUUUGUCUAAGGUCCUUUGACCUUGUUUGACCUAGGAUAAAUCUCUUGGCCAUUUAUUUGGUGUUUUGAAGAGGUUUUUAGGUCCUUUGACCUUGUUUGACCUAGGAUAAAUCUCUUGGCCAUUUAUUUGGUGUUUUGAAGAGGUUUUAGGUUUUGACCAAACUAAAUUUAAUUUAAAUGCAUUUUUAAUUUGAUUUUUAAUUGAUCAAUUGUAUAGAAAUCAUGUUGAGCCAUAUUUUUAUUGACUUGUGAUGUUUGACUAUGUGUUUGGGUCUUGGUCAAGGUUGAUUUGACUUUUGUUAAGUUAAAAUCAUUGGAUUUAGGGGAUUGAUGAAAUUUACAUUUCAUCUCCCAAAAUGAAUGAACGAUUUUAAUUUAAUAAAAUUCCUCCCAUGACCAAUUUGUGUUUCUCGCAUUUGCUAAGGCUAAUUGGUUCAUCAAUAACCUUGUGUUAGAUGAACCAAUACAAGUAUGCAUGAGAUAGGUCCAUCCUUUUGAUCUUUUCUUUUAGUGUGUGGUAUGUUUUAGGAGUUUGGUCCAUUAUACCCAAUCUCUAACAUGUAUUAGCACCUAAAUUUUUCUUUCUGGGCCUCAGGUAGUUGUGAAUUCUACAUAAGUCCAAUUACGAUUGCUUAACAUAGAGCUAAAUUUGACCCUAAAGGCAUAGCAUUCUAGUAAGUGAGAUUGUAAGUCUCCCAUAUUUCAUGGUAUUAUGUGGAAACUUGGCCUUUUUUCCUUCCUUUGGAAGAUGUCUUGGUUCAAAGAUCCAUGCUUGGGUAUAGAUGGUUGAGUGUUCUCCAAAGAAUGACUUAAUCAAUUGAAAAUCAAAACAUCACUAACAUCUAAUCAACUAACAUUUGACUAACUUGUAUUAAUAUUGCUUUUAUUUUCAAGUCAUUUACUUCAUGCGAUUUAAUUUCAAGUCAUUUACCAUUCAUUUGUCAUUUACAUAGCAUUUAAUUUGUUUAUGUUUAUGUCAUUUUUUUCACUUUGCUCAUUUGAGCCAUAUAUUGUGAUUGUAUAUAUAUGUUUGUUUAUUUUGUUUGUGUUUGUGGUCUUAGAACCUUAAAAUACUUAAUAAACAACAAAAAUCCUAAAAAAUGUUUGUGUGGACUGUUGGGUUUGAUCUGAACUUUUGGACUUAGAAUUAGGCAACACUCUAUGUGCAAAGGACUUGGCCAAUGCCAAUAUUUUUGAGACCCAGUAUUUGUGAUUUGAGCUUUCAUCUGAUGCAAGUAUUGGGAUCCACAUGAAUUCAUCUGCUACAUGGUCUUGAUGCAACUGUUAUUUUGAUAUCUUGCCUAAUGUCAUUAAAAAUCAAGGAGUAUUUCAUCUGAUACAUGAGAAGACAAAAAAGACUGUUAGCUAUGGAUUUGCUUGCUCGGAUGUGGCUAUCUUUAUUUGAUGCCUUACUCUUCAUAUUGCCAAUUUCUUGCUGAUUAUUUCUUAAUUCAAAGUCCAAAGGGAAAGUGGGUUUUCUAUAUGACAUUCUUGUCUGUUGGAUUGCAUCCCAUUUGUCAAAUUUUUUCAACCCUUAACUUUUAAUUGUAUGCUUAGGAUUAGUCUCUUCAUCUCCUACCACUUCUUAAAUUUCAAAAUCUCUUCCCCUUUUCAAAAACUUUCUUUGCUUUUGAUUUCAAAACUGAGACUCUUAUUGCAAAUUAGAAACUUUGGCCUUAUGCCAUUGAAUUUUUAAACUCUUUUCUUAAAUUAAACUUGUAAAUGAAUCUAAUCAUAUUGACUUAAAAUUUCCAAAGACAAAAAGAACUAACACCAAUUCAAACUUUUGGGCCUUUUAUGCUUCUUUUAAACUUAACUUUUGAUUAAAAGCAAUCCACUCAUUUUGAAAUUGAUACCACGAACUGCGAGGUUUUGAUCCCUCAUUCUUAUGUUGGUACGUUGGCACAAGUCGGAAGGUCUUGUCAAACACAAAAACAUAAUCUAUGAAUUCUUUUCUCAUCCCCACACUCUAUUUGUUUCAAACAUCUUUUAUACCAAAAACACAUACACACAUAAAAAAGGGCUACCUAGGAGUACCUAGGACACUUUGGGUGCUAACACCUUCCCUCUGUGUAACCAACCCUUACCUGUAAUCUCUGAUAUUUUAUUAGUUUUGAUUUGAAAACUUCUUAUCUUUGGGUUUUGUUCGUACUUUUCCCUUUUCCUUUGGAAACAAUAAAAGCGCGGUCGUGUCUCUGGUUUUAUUGACGUUAAGUUCAUCCAUAGCUUGAUGGUCAUGAAUUUACCGCUAUAGGUAAAAGUAAGGUACUCGCAAAUUGAAAAGAAUAUUACCAAUUACUAGGUAAUAGACUUUUGAGGGACCAAAAGCAUCUAUCUAGGUAAGAGCUAGAAAGAAACUGUCAAAUAAAGACUAUACCCGAUGAGGAUAUAGCUCAGGGGGAGUGGUUCCAUGCAGACAAUCAACUGGGGAGGAAGCUGAAAUGAUAAUCAUCCACGAGGAAAUAACUCAGUGGGGAAUGAGAAAGGUUAAAUUCUUUCUGCUUAAGGGGCUUACACUCUACAACUGAGGGAGGAUAGACGCACCAAAUAUGUAUGGAGAAAUAAUGACACCAUAGCAGCGGAUCAGAAAAUAAGGAAUCAAAUGCAAUAGCAUGCAUAAUGAAAUAUCUGAUGUAUGAAUGUAUAUGUAUAUAUGAUUGAUGAUUAUGCUGAAAAAACAAUCACAAAGGAUACAAUAUCACUGAUCUGAAUCAUCGCUACAACACUCGGCUAAUCUCGACCAGAUGGAAACACCAACUAGAAAAAAAUGCUAGGGAUGAACACAAGUCAUCCAUCUCUGACUAACUCAAGCCUUGGCUGAGGAAAAAGAAAAGAUCUGCUGAGGAUCUGAAUUGUCAACUCUGCGGGGAAUUUUAGGUCAACACCAUGUCAAAUGGGAGACAACCUUGCAGAGGACCACAUCAAACACCGCUCAAGAAUCAACACUGGCGGGGAUCAGGAGUGAAUUCCACUGGGGACUUGCAGGGGAUAAAACUCUGUGUUGGAUCUAUGCAAACCGUUAAGAAUAUGCGCCUACAACCCAGCUGGGGAGGCGAUUACAAAUUCAUCUGGGGAAACUGAUUUGCCGUUGGGGAGGAAAAAAUGACCAAACCAACCGAUUGGGGAAGACCAACAAUGCUUCUCACUUUAGAACUCACCUGUUCUCAGACUGCUUUUAAUAUUCCUCACUGAAAUCGAUUUCAUUUUUUAAAGUAAUUGCUUUAAUUUAUUUUAAGAAAAAAUGAUUUUUUAUUUUUAUUAUUAAUUUCAAAAUUAUCAUCAUAAAAUUCAAUUCUAUUUAGCUGAAAAAUAAAUAAGAGUAGAAACAAUUGGAUAAAAAGCUCAACUUUAUUUAAUAGAAUGGUAGUCUGUAAAUGACAAGACUCCAUAUAUCUUUACAAAAGUUGAAAAAUGGUAAUUUACAUGGAAAAAGGCUACAUUGAAUACAAUGAUCACUAAUCCUUCUACCAACUUCAAUAUUCAAUGUGCUCUUAGCUUCGACUGAGAAUGAUGAAUCAGAAUUGACUGACUUACUCAAAAACCGCCCCCCAAGACCGGAGAUCAACCGAGUACAAUUACUUACCAUGAUCCCUAAUUUUUGCAUAGAUUUCCCUAAGGUGGGGUACUCAAUCUAUCGGGAUAAAUUUUCUUUUUUUAUGUCUCUAAUUUUUGCCUGGAUCGCCCUUUCGGGUUUUCAAUCCACCGAGGUGCUCAUUUUUGUCUAAGCUGCCCUUCCGGGGUUUCAACUUAGCGAGUUGUUCUUUUCCUUUUGUAGGCGAAAUAUUUCUUGACUGCAUCGACAUUCACAGGACGAGUGAACUCUUCACCAUCCAUAGUUAUAAGAAUCAAAGCAUCGCCUAAAAAGGCUCUCUUAACAACAUAUGGGCCUUCAUAAUUAGGAGUCUAUUUGCCCCUAGCAUCUGGUUUGAAAGAUAGAAUCUUCUUGAGCACAAGGUCACCUUCUCGGAACACACGAGGCCUGACCUUCUUAUCAAAUGCCUUCUUCAUUCUUUGCUGGUACAACUGAACAUGGCACAUGGCAGUCAACCUCUUCUCUUCAAUCAAAUUCAGCUGACCAUAUCUGGUUUGACACCAUUCAGCUUCAGUCAACUUGGCUUCCAUCAAAACACGCAAUGAUGGGAUCUCAACCUCUACUGGGAGCACAACUUCCAUGCCAUAAACAAGUGAGAAGGGGGUUGCCCCUGUUGAAGUGCGGAUGGAUGUACGGUACCCAUGCAAAGCAAAUUGGAGCAUCUCAUGCUAAUCUUUGUACAUCACAACCAUCUUGUGAAUGAUCUUCUUAAUGUUCUUGUUCGUAGCUUCAGCAACCCCAUUCAUCUUAGUUCUGUAUGGAGAAGAAUUAUGGUAUGCGAUUUUGAAAUCUUUGCAAAGAGCUUCCACCAUAUUAUUAUUCAAGUUCGAUCCAUUAUUAGUGAUGAUCUUGCUUUUGCACACCAUAACGGCAUAUAAUCUGAUUCUUGAUAAACCUCACAAUAACUUGCUUGGUCAUAUUUGCAUAUGAUGUCGCUUCAACCGACUUUGUGAAGUAAUCAAUAGCCACCAAAAUGAAACGAUGUCCAUUCAAAUCUUUGGGCUCAAUCAUGCCAAUCAUAUCAAUUCCCCACAUGGAGAAGGGCCAUGGAGAGGAAAUAACACUCAAUAGUGUCGGAGGAACAUGAAUUUUAUCUGCAUAAAUUUGACACUUGUGGCAUUUCUUCACAAACUUGCAACAGUCAAAUUCCAUUGUCAGCCAAUAGUAACCUACUCUCAACAUCUUCUUAGCCAUAGCAUGUCCAUUGGAAUGAGUACCAAAGGAACCUUCACGGACUUCAGUCAUCAAUAAGUCUUUUUCGUGUCUAUCCACGCAUCUGAGCUAAACCAUAUCGAAGUUUCUCUUAUAAAGCAAACCACCAUUCAGGUAGAAAUUGCCAGCUAAUCUCCUCAAAGUCUUCUUAUCUUUCAAAGAUGCCCCAGGCAGGUAAAUCUGACUUUGGAGAAAACACUUGAUAUCAAAAUAUCACGGCUUUUCAUCUUUGACUUCUUCAACAGCAAACACAUGAGCCGGCCUAUCAAGACGCAUCACAGUCAGAUUAGGAACUUCAUUCCAAAAUUUCACCACAAUUAUUGAAGCCAACGUUGCAAGAGCAUCUGCCAUCCGAUUUUCAUCUCGAGGGAUAUGAUGAAACUCAACCUUUGUAAAGAAAGUUGAAAUCCUCCUCGCAUAAUCUAUAUAUGGUAUCAAACUGGGUUGAUUUGUCUCCCAUUCACCUUUGAUUUGAUUCACAACCAAAGUUGAAUCUCCAUAGACAUAAAGAUACUUGAUUCUGAGAUCAAUGGCCUCUUCAAGCCCCAUAAUGCAAGCUUCAUACUCAGACAUGUUGUUUGUACACUUGAAAGUUAGUCUAACUGUGAACGGAAAAUGAGUUCCUUGAGGAGUCAUAAUCAUUGCCCCAAUGCCAUUACCAUACUGAUUAACAGCUCCAUCAAAUACCAUGCCCCACCGUGAUUCAGGUUCUGGCCCUUCUUCAAGCAAUGGUUCAUCACAAUCUUUCAUUUUCAGGUACAAGAUCUCUUUAUCAGGAAAGUUAUACUGUACUGACUGAUAAUCUUCAAUUGGUUGGUGAGCCAAAUGGUCAGCCAAGACACUACCUUUAAUAGCUUUUUGAGAUCAGUAUUCAAUAUCAUACUCGGAUAACAACAUCUGCCAAUGGGAAAUCCUCCCAGUUAAAGCAGGCUUCUCAAAAAUAUACUUGAUUGGAGCCAUUUUGGAUAUCAACCAAGUAGUAUGAUUCAACACAUACUGACGCAGACGCUUAGCAGCCUAACCCAAUGCACAACAAGUUGUUUCUAGCAUAGAAUACCAAGUCUCACAGUCAGUGAAUUUCUCACCGAGGUAGUAAAUUGCAUAUUCUUUCUUUCUAGUUUCGUCUUGUUGACCAAGAACAUAACCCAUGCUCUCUUCAAGCAUAGUCAAAUACAUGAUCAAGGGUCUUCCUUCAACAGGCGGAGACAAAAUCGGAGGUUCAAGCAGAUAUUCUUUGAUACCGUCAAAAGCUUUCUGGCAAUCUUUGGUCCAAUCACCAGACUGAUCUUUCCAAAGAAGCUUGAAUAUAGGCACACACGUGGCAGUCAUAUGCGAUAUAAAUCUUAAGAUAUAAUUCAAGCGGCCGAGAAAACCUCUGACCUGCUUCUCAGUUUUGGGCACAGGCAUUUCUUGUAUUGCUUUGACCUUGGCAAGAUCAACUUCAAUACCCUUCUCACUGACAAUAAAACCCAUUAACUUACCAGAAUGAACACCAAAAGUACACUUAUUGGGAUUCAAGCGGAAUUUGUACUUCCUCAAAUGCUGGAAUAACUUCAACAAAUGCCUAACAUGUUCUUCUUCAUCACUUGACUUGGCAAUCAUAUCAUCAACAUAGACUUCAAUAUAUUUAUGCAUCAUAUCAUGAAAAAGAGUGGUCAUUGCUCUCUGGUACGUUGGACCUGCAUUCUUUAAACCGAAAGGCAUCACUCUAUAACAGAAUAUUUCCCAGGGCGUAAUGAAUGUGGUCUUCUCCAUAUCUUAGGGUGCCAUCUUGAUUUGAUUAUAACCGGAAAAUCCAUCCAUAAAUGAGAAGACUUUGAAUUUAGUUGUAUUGUCCACCAACAUAUCAAUGUGUGGCAGAGGGAAAUCAUCUUUCGGACGAGCUUUGUUCAAAUCUCUAUAAUCAACACACAUGCGGACUUUUCCAUCUUUCUUCGGAACAGGCGCAAUAUUGGCCAUCCACUGCGGAUAUUUAAAGGUAACAAGAAAACCAGUAUCAAUCUGUUUUUGCACUUCCUCUUUGAUCUUAACUGUCAUAUCAGGAUGAGUUAUCCUAAACUUCUGCUUGACUGGCAGGCAUUUUGGCUUCAACGGCAAUCUAUGCUCCACAAUCUCAAAAUCCAAACUAGGCAUGUCUUGAUAGGACCAGACAAACACAUUUGAAUACUCUCAAAGAAGAUCAAUCAAACCCUUCUUAGCCUCUGGACGCAGUUGAGACCCAAUCUUGACUUCCUUCACAUCAUCUUCGGAACCCAAGUUGACUAGCUCAAUCUGCUCUUCGAACGGUUGAAUGACUUUUUCCUCUUGCUCAAGUAGACAGGAUAAUUCCUCAGAUACUUCCUCAACAGUCUCUUCCUCAUCCUUAAACACAGGGAAAUCAAAGUUUAGAGAGGGAGUAAGAUCAUUGUAUUCAUUGGGUUUGGGAACCAACCUACAUAAUGAUUUGAUAUUUUGAUUUUAGAGAAGUGAAUUCUGACCAAAUAUUAUGCAGAUGGAAGAUUAUUAUUUAUUUAUGUUUUUUGUGAUUACCAUUUUCAGAAAGGCAAAAAGUAAGAAUAAAACAUCAUAGAUAUGGAUGAAUAAAAUUUCAUUUUAUUAAUGAUAAUCGAAAUGCCUAACAAUGUUCACUUCUCCCUUAGGCAUAGGAGAAGGAUUUUUUCUUUAAAAAAUGAAAACAAAUUACUUAGAGCGAUGAACAAGAAUAGGAACAUCAACAACAACCCAAUUGUUGCAAGUCAGGCCAUGCGUCAAAAAGUUGGCGCAAGCUUCGUCUUCAUCAUCCUUGAUUACAGCAGCUGAGUGUUGUUCAUUACCAUGAAUGAACCCUCCACUAUGGAAACUCGGUUGCACAUCUUCAGCUUUGACGUUGAACGACCCUUGUUGAAAUCCUAAUACGGCCCUAUUCUUGUUCUCGAAAAUUUCUACCAUGCGACCCCACUAAUCAGUAUUGCCGAUCUCGAUAGCUUUAUGAGCAUCCUUUAAAGAAGACAUGGGUGCCCUAGUUUUCUGCACUUCAGCAAUAGACAAGGCUUAGAACGGAGUUCCAACCUCCUCCCCAGCUUCAACAUAUGAAAAGGAUGACAGAUGGCUUACUAAGAGCGCCUUCUCUCCACCGACAAUGACAAGCUUGCCAUUCUUCACAAAUUUAAGCUUUUGGUGCAGAGUAGAUGUCACAGCUCCUGCCUCAUGAAUCCAUGGCCUUCCCAAUAAACAGCUAUAGUUCGGGUGGAUAUCCAUCACUUGAAAAGUAAUUUGGAAAUCACUCGGACCUAUCUUGACGGGAAGGUCCGCCUCACCAAUGACAGUUUUAUGAGAACCUUUGAACGCUUUGACAAUCACGCCCCUAUACCUCAUCGGGGCACCUUGGUAAGAAAGUCUGGACAGAGUUGACUUUGGGAGUACAUUCAAAGAAGAACUAGUAUCGACCAACACAUUUGACAGCGCAUCCUCCUUGCAGUUCAUAGAAAUAUGUGGUGCUAGAUUGUGAUUUCUACCUUCCUCAGGAAGUUCUUCAUCACAAAAGCUAAAUUUAUUGCAAGAAGUGGUAUUAGCAACAAUAUGGUCAAACUGAUCCACAGUAACAUCGUUCUCAACAUAUGCUUGCUCUAGUACUCUUUGCAAUGCUUCUCUGUGUGCUUCAGAAUUCAUCAACAGAGACAGCACUGAAAUUUUCGACUGGGUUUGGAGCAGCUGUGCCACCAUAUUAAACUCACUCUUCUUAAUCAAUCUUAACACUUCAUCAUCAUCGUUAGGCUUCAGUUUGCUGGAUUCACCAGACUGACACACUGGAGUACUAACUGGAUUUACCAGAGGCAUAUUCACCUUCUUACUGACUGCAGCCUCUUCUACCUCCUUUGGAAAGACUGAACCAAAGGCACGACCACUACGGGUCACCUUAGCAAUGUCAGCUAUAUUCACCACAAAAUUUUCUACAGGCAACGGAACCUCUUGACCAUUCUCCACCAUUGUGGCAUUAUACUGAUAAGGCACAACUUUAUCAGAUGCACACGGGACGGGGCCCGUUAACCGUAUUACCAAUGGCGAUACCGAUCUAUUGACGAUGUUGUUGCUGCUACUAUCAAACUGAAUUACUACCCGCUCAAGGGUCUUGAACACCGGAACAAUUACAUUUACAUCAUCUCCGAAGUGACGGGACUGGAAAAUUUGAAUAAGACCUUCAUCCAUCAGCCUUUGAAUAUCCCUCUUGACAAUGACACAUCCUCGAGGGUUCACACUACAAAUUGCACAACCAUCAUGGUCAUUCUCACAUUCACUAACCAGACAAAUAUCCUUAUGCAUUGUCACCAAGGACCUUCUGAUAAAGCGGACGUCAUAAAUCUUUAACUCCCCAGGACAACCAUCUACCAUGUUGAUUGAAGCAAUACCAUGAGCAAGCAACGGAUUAGCUUUUACAUUCAGCGCACGGUCCUCAAAGGACACCAUCCCACUCUUCACAAGCUUUUGCACUUUGUAUUUCAACGGGUAGCAAUUCUCAAUGUCAUGGCCAGGGGCUCCGUGGUGAAAGGCACAACAGAGUUCAAGUUUGAACCACCAUGGAAGUGGCUCGGGAAUUUGAGGUGGAUUUCUUGGUUGAAGUAGGUUCUUGAGAACCAAAGAUGGAUACAAUUCGGCAUAUGACAUAGGAGUAGGGUCAAAAAAGACCUUCUUCCUCUCAAAGUCCUGUUGUUGAUUAUUGUUGUUGUUGUAGUUGGUUCUUUGUUGCGAUUGUUAUUGACGUUGUUGUUGAAUUGGAAUAGAUUGAUUGUUGGAAUUUUUGGAAAAAAAUGGAAUUACUGAUGAAACUUGAUGUUGAUGCUGACGUGGUUGAGGGUUCCUUCUGACAUGGGGCCUUCUCUGCCUCCCUACAUAUACUGAGUUGGUUUCCCCUUACUUAUUUUUAGAAAAACUAUUUCCAUACAUCUUACUGGUUGACGCUUCUUCCUUAGACAGACGUCCUUCACGGACUCUGUCUUCUAACCUCGUCCCGAUAUUUACCAUUUCGGUAAAAUCACUGGGGGCAUUGGCAAUCAUGUGUUCAUAAUAAAACGAACUCAUCUUCUUCUCUUCUAAUAGAGGAUUAAUCUGAGCAGCAAGUUCCCUCCAUCUUUGAGCAUACUCUUCGAAUGUCUCUUUAUCCUUCUGAGACAUAGACCUUAACUGGUCUCUAUCAGGCGCCAUAUCCACAUUAUACAUGUACUUCUUCACAAAAGCUUCACCCAAAUCGUUGAAGGAACGAACACUUGCGUUGUCUAGCCCCAUAUACCAUCUUAGAGCAGCACCAAUUAAAUUGUCUUGAAAGUAGUGAAUCAGCAACUGAUCAUUAUCAAUUUGAGUUGACAUUUUUCUGGCGUACAUAACAAGGUGGCUAAGUGGACAAGUAUUUCCCUUAUACUUUUCAAAGUCAGGGACUUUGAACUUCAUCGAAGUCUUCACAUUUGGUACCAAGCAGAGUUCAGCAACACUCUUACAAAACAGGUAUUUUCCUCUCAAUGUUUUCAACUCCUUGCGCAGCUCAAGGAACUGAUCCUUCAUCUCAUCCAUCUUUUUGUAAACAUCUGGGCCCUUAGAAUGGUAGAUGGUGCCCUCAACACGAGGCAAGGUAUGAACAAAUGGAGGCGGCACAAACAUGACCGGGCUAGAUGCCGGCAUAGAAGCAAAGGUAGGUGCAAACCCUUCAGGCAUGAAAUUUGGUGGCAUUCCCCACGGGAAUCCAGCAGGCAUAGACGAACCGAAUUGAGUAGCAGCAAUAGGAACAGUCGAGGUAGCUACCUCGGAGAUGACAUUCCUCUGGGGAGGAGGUGUGGGAGUUGGUGAAAACUGAUUCUACGCAGCAAGAACAGACUCCAUCAUGGCGGUCAACCGGGAAAUCUCGUCCUUCAGCUCUCUAUUCUCUUGUUCCAAAUGUUCCAUAAUUCUAGGUUGAUUAGCACGAGUGUUGUAUCAGUGAGUCAGCUUGGCUGAAGCAUAAAAGAAUAACUGAUAAGACAUCUGGCAGAAGAAAACCUGAUAUGUAAAUGAUGCAUGAAAUACAAUGUUUUUGUUUAUUUUUAAUUUCAAGGAACAUACUGCUUUAUUUGCAAAUAUAUAAUAACAAUAAUAACGAUUUGAUUGAACAUAAAAAUCUCUUUUAUUCAUAUAAUUUGGAAGGUUUACACUGAGUACAAUUUCAGACUCUAAAAUACAAAAUACAAGAGAAAAGAAAACUAGUCAUCCCAAGGAUCCCCUAGCAGCAGUGUCAGAUGAUCUGGUUGCGGGCGCGUACUUCCUUCGGAUGCGUCAAAUAUCGGUCUUAAAAGAUGUCUUCAUCUGAACCUUAUCAAGGACUAGCUGAUCAACAAUCUUCUUCCAAGCACCGGAAGACCGAGGCAUACUAGAGGAAGAUGGACCCUCUGGCUCUCUCUGUCUCUUCACUGCUCGGUCUUCAAGAAGUUCAAUAAACGCAUCCUUGUCCUUUGACUUAAGCUGCAACUCCUCAUGCUUUCGACUCAAAACAUGGAACCACUCUUCCUACACAUCUCUCUCUUGCUUCAUCUGGGCGAGUGCAUCUUCCAACUCCUCUACAUCUUGGUUAGGGAGAGUUAAUGGCUCAACUACAACCAUAGGCAUAGGUCUCUCACAAGCAUACAACAUCUUUAACUCCAAAGCUCUCUUCUUCACCCAUGUAGUGUAAGCUUCCAAAGCUACACAGUUGCAUGGACCAAGCUCGGAUCUUCCUUUCCUAUGUACAUUAUGCCAAGAAUGUGUCAUCUUCAGCUUCAAAUGUUGGAGAUCUUUACCCUCUUGAUAGAAAAGACCUUAUAACUUAGUGUUAUUAGGGUUGUCUCUCAAUGGGAACCCAAGUUGACGACGAGCCAAAGCAGGAUUGUAGUUGAUUCCUCCUUGUGUACCAAUGAUAGACACAUUAGAGAAUUCACCACAACUGUCAAUAAUAUCCACACUAUUCAAUGCAGAAUCAUACCAAACAAUCUCAUCAUUAGUGAGAGACAUAAGUCUCUGAGACCAUCAUAGAAAUUAUUUGUUCUCCAUAAAAGCAGGCACCUGAGGCAAGUGUGAAAUAAGCCACUUGUAUAAAAGAGGAAACAACACACAAUAGUCCCACCACCUUUAGAAUUCCUUAAAUGCAAAGAGAAGUACAUAUCACCUAACAUAGUAGGUAUAGGAUUCCCAAUCAAGAAGAUUCUAAUGGCGUUAACAUCAAUAAAAUCGUCAAUGUUAGGGAACAAAGUUAAACCAUAGAUGAGCAACACAAAAAUGGCUUCAAAAUCGUCCACACUACCGGCUUGAGCAAAGACAUUAGCUUUUCCUAUGAGGAACUCUGAAGUCAAUCCAAAUAUUCCUCCUUUCUUCACCCAAUGAGCCUCAAUCUUAGACUUCUUCAGAUGAAGAGCUUCAGUUAUAAUAUGAGAUCUGGGAAUCUCCUCCAAUCCACUAAAAGGCACCUUGUCAGAAACAGGUAUUCCCAAGAGAUGGGCAUACUCCUCUAACGUAGGCAUAAGCUGAUAAUCAAGAAAAGUAAAGCAACGGUGGAGAGGGUCAUAGAAAUGAACUGACACACUCAAGAGUCCUUUAACCAUAUUAGUAGAUAACACAGAUAGAAGCUUCCCAUGACGUUGCUUGAAGUUCAAAGGAUCUAAUACAAAGGAUGAUAACUUCCUUAUCUCUUUCAAAUCAGGACAUCUGAAACCUUACUUCUUAGUGUUCCUUCGUCCAUAAUCCAUGGUCUAAAAAUAUUUACAAAUGAGACCUUAGUUCCUUGAAAUUACUUUUGUGAUGAAUGUUAUGAUGCACAUGAAUGCAUGAAUGCAACAAUCACAAAUAAGGGAUCACACACAAGGAAAACAAAUAAAGGUCAAGGGAUGGAUCAAGUCAUUGUCAAGAUCAAUCAUCCAUUUUAGUGGAUUAUGGUUUUCACCUUAUCAACACCCAAGUUCCAUUGAUAUUGACAAGACUUGAUCGGAUCAACCAAGAAUCAAAGGGUUCAUUGUGAGUCACGAGCAUGGAGUCAGGUUAAGAACCAUCCCAAAGGAGUGUACUAAGGAUAAAAACCUAUAGAUUAUGUUCUAAAAAGUUCCCAGAGUCUUCAUUCCAUCUAUCAGAUAUUAUAGGUUAGGAUGACUGACUCAUCAACCCAUUAUAUUCUUAAGAGAAACUUGUCUGAGUGUAGUAUCGCGUAACAACUGUUAUCAAGUCUACACUUGAACAGUCUCUGCACUACAUCCUAAAUAGGCCAAGCUGGGUUAAAUGUUCUACGAUUCUCAGCUUCUUGGACCCCAAAUCAGAGAAAGUAAUGCCUAACCACAAAUGACUUAUGUGACAUUAGUUACUCCAAAAGGGUCUCCACUGAGUAGAUGGGUCUCAUGCCAACUUGUUAAGGACUACUCCACACAAGUCGAAAAUGACUAUACCAUCCUCAUAUCUUAAUUAUGCUCAAGUUUGGGUUAGAACUUAUCUCACCACUCAGAGAUCACCAAGCACAACAAGCAGAUUAUAUCAUACAAACAAAUAUACAAACAUCAAAUACACAAUUAUAUACACAUAAAAAAGUAUGCUAACCUCACUGAGGACUACUCCCCAGCAGAGUCACCACUUAAUUUCUAUAGCGGUAAAUUCAUGACCAUUAAGCUAUGGAUAAACUUAACGUCAAUAAAACCAGAGUCGCCACCGUGCUUUUAUUGUUUCCAAAGGAAAAGGGAAAAGUACGAACAAAACCCAAAGAUAAGAAGUUGUAAAUUCAUGACCAUUAAGCUAUGGAUAAACUUAACGUCAAUAAAACCAGAGUCGCCACCGUGCUUUUAUUGUUUCCAAAGGAAAAGGGAAAAGUACGAACAAAACCCAAAGAUAAGAAGUUUUCAAAUCAAAACUAAUAAAAUGCCAUAGAUUAUAGCUAAGGGGGUUGGUUACACAGAGGGAAGGUGUUAGCACCCAAAGUGUCCUAGGUACUCCUAGGGAGCCCUUUUUUUAUGUGUGUAUGUGUUUUAGUAUAAAAGAUGUUUGAUAAAAAUAGAGUGUGAGGAUGAGAAAAGAAUUCAUUAAUUAUAUUUUUGUGUUUGACAAGACCUUCAAACUUGUGCCUACAUACCAACAUAAAAAUGAGGGAUCAAAACCUCGUAGUUCGUGGUAUCAAUUUCAAAAUGAGUAGAUUGCUUUUAAUCAAAAGUAAAGUUGAAAGAGGCACAAAAGGGCCCAAAAGUUUGAAUGGGUAUUAAUUCUUUUUGUCUUUUGAAAUUUUUAGUCAAAUAUGAUUAGAUUUUUUUACAAGUUUGAUUUAAGAAAAGAGUUUAAAAAUUCAAUGGAAUAAGACCAAAGUUUCUAAUUGAAAUAGGGCCAAAGUUUAAAAUCACAAACAAAAAAGGUUUUUUUUUUCUGAAAAGGGGGAGAGAUUUUGAAAUUUAAGAAGUGGGAGGAGAUGAGGAGACUAAUCCUAAGCAUAAAAUUAAAAGUUAAGAGUUGAAAAGAUCUUACCAAUGGGAUGCAAUCCAACAUACAAGAAUGUCAUAUAGAAAACCCAUUUUCCCUUUGGACUUUGAAUCAAGCAAUUAUCAACAAGCAAUUAGCAAUAUCAGACAUCAUGAAGAUCAAGGCAUCAAAUAUAGAUAGGCACAUACAAGCAAGCAAAUCCCAUAGCUAGCAGUCUUCUUUUUCUUCUUAUGUAUCAGAUGAAAUACUCCUUGAUUAACUCAGAAUAAGGCAUUAAGCAUGAGAUCAAAAUAACAGCAUCAAGACCAUGUAGCAGAUGAAUUCAAGUGGAUCCCAAUACUUGCAUCAGAUGAAAGCUCAAAUUUAAAUAACUUGGUCUUAGAAAUGUUGGCAUUGGCCAAGUCCUUUUGCCUAUGGAAUGUUGCCUAAUCCUAAGUCCAAAAGUUCAUAUCAAACCCAACAGUGCACACAAACAUUUUUUUAGGAUUUUUGUUGUUUAUUAAGUAUUUUAAGGUCCUAAGACCACAAACACAAUCAAAAAUACAAAAAUAAAUAUAUACAGUCACAGUAUAUGGCUCAAAUGAGCAAAGUGAAAAUCACAUAAAUAUAAACAAAUUAAAUGCUAUGUAAAUGACAAAUGAAUGGUAAAUGACUUGAAAUUAAAUUUCAUAAAGUAAAUGACUUGAAAGUAAAACAAUAUUAAUACAAGUUAGUCAAAUGUUAGUUAAUUAGAUGUUAGUGAUAUUUUGCUUUUCAAUUGAUUAAGUCAUUCUUUGGAGAACACUCAACCAUCUAUUCACAAGCAUGGAUCCUUGAACCAAGACAUCUUCCAAAAGAUGAAAAAAAAAGGCCAAGUUUCCACACAAUACAUGAAAGAUGGGAGACUUACAAUCUCACUUACUAGAAUGAUAUGCCUUUAGGGUCAAAUUUAGCUCUAUGUUAAGCAAUCGUAAUUGGACUUAUGUAGAAGUCACAACUAUCUGACAUCGGGCAAUCAAAAUUUAGGUGCUAAUGCAUGUUACAGAUUUGGUAUAAUAAACCAGACACAUAAAACAUACCACACACUAAAAGAAAAAGAUCAAAGGAUGGACCUAUCUCAUCCAUACUUGUAUUGGUUCAUCUAACACAAAGUUAUUGAUGAACCAAUUAGCCUUAGGAUCUUGAGAUUUCAUUGGUAAAAGAUCAAAGGAUGGACCUAUCUCAUCCAUACUUGUAUUGGUUCAUCUAACACAAAGUUAUUGAUGAACCAAUUAGCCUUAGGAUCUUGAGAUUUCAUUGGUCAAUGAAAGGGAUGGGAAAGAAUUGAAUUGAAGAUGAAGAGGGAGGAGAGAUGAGAGAAACACAAAUUGGUCAUGGGAGGAAUUUUAUCAAAUUAAAAUCAUUCAUUCAUUUUGGAAGAUCAAAUGUACAUUUCAUCAAUAUCCUAAAUCCAAUGAUUUUAAUCCAACAAAAGUCAAAUCAACCUUGACCAAGGCCCAAACACAUAGUCAAACAUCACAAGUCAAUAAAAAUGGCUCAACAUAAUUUCUAUACAAUUAAGCAAUUAAAAAUCAAAUUAAAAAUGCAUCUAAAUUAAAUUUAGUUUGGUCAAAACCUAAAACCUCUUCAAAACACCAAAUAAAUGGCCAAGAGAUUUAUCCUAGGUCAAACAAAGUCAAAGGAUCUUAGACAAAAAAUUUCAUAAUUUUUAAAAAGUCAGAAGUAUUUUUAAACAAUUAAAAAUAUGCACAAAAGCAAUUAAUUCAUGAAAAAUAUCGAAAUUAAUCAAAAACAUAAUUUUAUUUUAGAAAAUUAAAGAGGAAAAUAUUUAAAGAUUUUUGGUGAAGGUCCCAUAUUUUUUGGAUUAAAAAUGAAAUUAAUAUGAAUUAAUCAAAGUAAAUGGAUUAAACACAAAACCAGAAAUUAAAAAAAACAAAACGAAAACAAGGGCCAUCAGAUCUCCCUCAUUAAUUGAGGUGACAGAUCUGAUGGCCACGCGCGCGCUAUCCACGAUGCACCAAGUCAAACGCGUCACACCAAUGGUAAUCAGAACCAAGGGCUAGGAUUAAAAUAUUUUGAAUGGAUCUGAUGGCUGAGAGAUGUGAUAACACACCACCGGAGCUAGGGCUCCGGUCUUCUUCUCCGCUGGACCUCACCGGACUGGUCCACCAUCAACCAUCACCAAAAUGAAAAACAAGGACAUGGAUUUAAAGAAAAAAUGCUCAGGAGCUCGAAUCUGGCCUCAAUUUUCUCCAAUCCCAAGUAUAUAAAAAGAUACAUGGAUUUGAAUUUUGAGGAUCAUGAAUUGAGUUGCUUCGAUUUGAGCUGAAAGCAACUCAAACUUCUUGCCUACAUUGGUAGGACUUUGGCCAACCAAAAAUCACUAGUGAAGAAUUGGGGGAGAAUCGAAGAGAUGAAAAUUCUGGAAAAUUACCUUCGAGGGAGCUUCAAACUUGCUUGAUCUUAAUUCCAAUUGUGCUUGGUUGUGUUUCAGAAGCUUGUAGGAAGUGAUUAAGAUUAGAAAAUGGCCUGGACUCUUGGAGUUUCAAUCUCAAAACAGAAUGAGAUUUGAAGCUCGGUUUUCAAAUGAAAACCUUCAAGAUUAUCCUUUACUGGUGAGGGUUUGGAUUGCAGGUUCAAAGCUUGGGCAUGAGGUCCUUAAUUCUGAGCAAUUAGGGUCUUAUUUAUAGGCCAUGAGAUCCAUUUCCACACACUUCCAAAAAUUGCCAAUUUUAGCAAUUCAUCUUACAUGCUUGCAUGUGCGUGUGAUAGGCCCAUCAAGUGAUGUAUUCGGGUCCAAAAAUGAGUGAGAAUCAUGCUGAAAUCAUGCCAUGUGGUCAUGCACUUGUCUUUGAAAUGUGGAAGUGAAAAUCAUCCAAAUGGUACCUCACAUUGCACCCAUGCGCAAGUCCUCCAUUCUUUUGCCAAAUAGGAUGAUCUUGGACUUUUUGGAAAGGUGAGAUAAAGGGGAACAAAUUUCAGGUUGAACACUUUUUCAUUUGAAGCUUUGAUCAUGAUGUAUUUUGAGGUGGAAGUUUGGGAAAUCAAACAUAUUUGAAAAUUUUCUAAGUACCAAGUCAAAUGUUUACUUCUUCCAUCUUAAAUAACUUUUGCUAUGGAAUUCAAAUGGAACAAGUUCCUUCAUAAAAGUUGUAGCUCUUUCAAACCUCUUAAAUUUGGUCAUAAAGUUUACCUAAUUUGGAUUUAACAUGAAGGAUUUAUGAAUUUUAGAAGUUGAGGAAAAUCACAUGUUCAAUGAUAAUGACCCAAAAUGACCUAUAAUGUUUCCUCUUGGAACAUACACUUGAAAGUUGAACUUGAACUUACUACAAACAUCAAAGUUGAAUUAUACAUCUUAUAUUAAAUCAUAGAAUUUGAAUGGCUUUUAUCUCAUAAAAAUUGAGCAAGUUAUGGUCUUGGGAAGUUGACCUCAAAACUAGGGUUCAGACAAAAUGACCUAUAAUCUUUCACCAUAAAAAUGUCUUUACAAUAAAAACUAGCUCUUGACUUUAACAUGAAAGUUGUUUGGAAUGUCAUUUUGAGUAACAUUUCUCUUGGAAACAUUUUAAUAUGAAAAAACAUGUAGGAGAUAGGGUCUAGGGAAUCCCAGUUUUGACUAGUUGACUUUCUCUGGCCAACCACCAUGAACCAUCUUGCUAGCUUGAUAUUAUCUUGACUUUUGGGACUCAUGGAGGAUCAUAUAUGCACAAAAUGAUGUAAUAUAAAGUAUCCAUUUAAAUAUUUGAUCCAUUGAUGAAGAAACUUGUUGAAGAAGUCACACAAGAUACCCAGAUGAAUUAGGGUUUCCAAGGCAAACAAGCUUCAAACUCUUGAUUAUUUCUUGAUCAAAAUGAAAUAUGAAGAUCAUGGUGAGCCAUAUAUGAUGCCUAGAACCAAUGUGAACCAUUUCUUGAUUGAACUCCUUGCAUUGAGGGUCUUAAACCAUAGAUAUGAGCUUGAUAGAGCAUAGGUGAACACGCACACACUACCUACAAAAGUAACAAACUAUACAUUGACAUAUUUUUUUGGUAUUUUGGUUAGUAAAUAAUGAAAAACAAAGUAUGAUACAAUACAAAUAUGCUUGGUGAUCUCUCCCAAUGCAAACCCAAUGGAUGAGGGGUUAGGAGGAUGUCGAGGUGUGAUCCCAAUGCUAAUGCAUAUGAUUAGUUAGCAUGAGGGAUCUUAGGGUCAAAAUUGGGGUCUUACAACAAGGUUGUGUAAACUGACUCCUAAAGAUUUACUAAUCUUUUACUUUGGGAUUAUCUUCUCGAUGUAUCUUUCACACUUUAAAUUACUAAAUCAACAUUGUGUUUGGACUAAUGGUCCAUUCGCCACACACUAUCACAUCAUUCAAAUGAAUGAUUUUUUUCAAAACUCGCAUGAGUAUCACAUUAAAAUUACCAUUUCUAAAUGAACAAUUUUAAUUGCAAUUCAGCAUUUGACAUCAUGGAAAUUUCAACAAAGAGCAACCAGAGUGUAAGACCCUAAUUUUGACCCUAAGAUCCCUCAUGAAUAUCUCAUCAUAUGCAUUGACAUUGGGAUCACACCUUGGCAUCCUCCUUACCUCUCAUCCAUUGGGUUUGCAUUGGGAGAGAUCACCAAGCACAUUUGGUUGUAUCAUAUUCAUUUUUCUUUGUUUACUAACCAAAAUACCAAAAAUAUGUCAAUGUAUAAUUUGUUGCUUUUGUAGGUAAUGUGUAUGCUCACCCAUUCUUUAUCAAGCUCAUAUCUAGGGUUUAAGACCCUCAAUGUAAGGAGUGCAAUCAAGAAAUGGUUCACAUUGACUCUAUGUAUCAUAUAUGGACCCCCAUGAUCUUCACAUGUUAUCUGGAUCAAGAAAUCAUCAAGAGUUUGGGGUUUGUUUGCCUUGGAAAUCCUAAUUCAUAUGGGUAUCUUGUGUGACUUAUUCAACAAGUUUCUUCAACAAUUGAUCAAAUAUUUCAAGGGAUACUUCGUAUUUUAUCAUCUUAUGCAUAUAUGAUCCUCCAUGAGUCCCAAAAGUCAAGACAAUGUGAAGCUAGCAAGAUGGUUAAUGGUGGUUGAUCAGAGAAAGUCAACUAGUCAAAACUGGGGUUCCCUAGACCCUAUCUCCUACACGUUUUGUCAUAUUAAACUUAUUCCAAGAUAAAAAUUACUCAAAAUGACAUUCCAAACAACUUUCAUUUUGAAGUCAAGAUCUAGUUUUGCUUGUAAACGCAUUUUUUUAUGAUGAAAGAUUAUAGGUCAUUUUGUUUGAACCCUAGUUUGGAGGUCAACUUCCCAAGACCAUAACUUUCAUAAUUCUUAUUAUAUGAAAGACAUUCAAAUUCCAUGAUCAAAUUUAAGAUAUCUACUUAAACUUGGAUGUUUGGACUAAGUUAGGAUUUAACUUACAACGCAUGUGCCAAGAGGAAACAUUAUAGGUCAUUUUGGGCCAAUACCAUUGAACAAUUGAUUUUCCUCAACUUUUAAAAUGCAUAACUCCUUCAUGCCAAAUAAAAAUUAGGUCAAAUUUGUGACUAAAUUGAAGAGGUUUGAACGAUCUAGAACUUUUAUGAAGGAACCUUUCUCAUUUGAAGUCCAUAUAAAAAGUUAUUCAAGGUGGAAGAAGUGAAUAUUUGACUUGGGACUUAGAAAAGUUUCAAAUAUGUUUGAUUCCCCAAACUUCCACCUCAAAAUUCAUCAUGAUCCAAGCUUCAAAUGGAAAGGUGUUCAACAUGAAAGUUGUUCCCCUUGAUCUCACCUUUCCAAAAAGUCCAAGAUCACCUCAUUUGGGAAAAGUAUGAAGGACUUGCGCAUGGGUGCAAGUUGAAGGACCAUUUGGAUGUUUUCCACUUCCGUUUUUCAUACACAAUUGCAUGGCCUUCCAACAUGAAAUCAGCAUGAUGCACACUCAUUUUUGGAUCAAAACACAUCAUUUCAUGGGCCUAGCACACGCUCAUGCAACCAUGCAAAAGGAAUUUUAAAAUUUUGCCAAAUUUGGAAGUGUGUGGAAAUCAAUAUCCUUGGCUAUAAAUAAGACCCUCAUUGCUCAGAAUUAAGGACCUCAUGCUCAAGCUUUCAACCUGCAACCCCAAACCCUCACCAUUGAAGGAUAAACUUGAGGAUUUUCUUUGAAAAUCGAGUUUCAAUUCUCUAUCUGUUUUGAGAUUGAAACUCCAAGAGUCCAUACUUCUCCUGGAUCCAUUAAGCAUCUGAAGCAAGGCCAAGCAUAAUUGAAAGCAAGAUCGUGCCAAUCUGAAGCUCCAUUGAAGGUGAAUUUUUAGAAUUUUCAUCUCUUCGAUUCUCCCUCAAUUCUUCACCAUUCUUGUUUGCCAAUCUGAAGCUCCAUUGAAGGUGAAUUUUUAGAAUUUUCAUCUCUUCGAUUCUCCCUCAAUUCUUCACCAUUCUUGUUGAUUUUUGGUUGUCUGAAGUCCUAUCAAUGUAGGCAAGAAGAUUGACUUGCUUUGAGAUCAAAUCAAAGUAACUCAAUUCAUGAUCCUCAAAAUUCAAAUCCCUGUAUCUUUUUAUAUACUUGGAAUUGGACAAAAUUGAGGCCAGAUUCGUGCUCCUGGACAUUUUUCCUUCAAACUAGUGUAUUCAUUUUUCAUUUUUCAUAAGGUUUUGGUUGGACCACUUCGGUGCCCCUCGCCGGAGAAGAUGAUUGUAGCUAGGGCUCCGGUGGUGUGCUGGAUCAAUCCAGGCCAUCUGAUCCAUUUGAUUUAUUUUAAUCUCAUGCGUCCAAACAAAUUACCAUGCCUGCAGCGUGAUUGACUCGUGUGCAUGUGGAAUGUGCGUUUCUAGCCAUCUGAUCUGCCACCUCAAUUAAUGAGGGAGAUGACUCCCUUUUUUUUAUUUUCUGUUUAUUUCAUUUAAUCUCUUAUUUUUCAUUAAUUCAUAUUAAUUUCAUAUUUAAUCCAAAAAAUAUGGGACUUUCACCAAAAAAAUUCUAAUAUUGUCCUCUUUCAUUUUCUGAAUUAAAAUUAUUUUUUGGAUUAAUUUUGAUAUUUUUCAUGAUUUAAUUGCUUUUGUGCAUAUCUUAAAUUGUUUAAAAAUACUUCUGCCUUUCAAAAAAUAAUGAAAUUUUUGUCUAAGGUCCUUUUACCUUGUUUGACCUAGGAUAAACCUCUUGGCCAUUUAUUUGGUAUUUUUAAGAGGUUUUAGGUUUUUGACCAAACAUAAUUUAAUUUAAAUGCAUUUUAAUUUGAUUUUAAAUUGUUUAAUUGUGUAUAAAUUAUAUUGAGCCGUUUGUAUUGACUUGUGAUGUUUGAAUAUGUGUCUGGGUCUUGGUCAAGGUUGAUUUGACUUUUGUUAGAUUAAAAUCAUUGGAUUUAGGGGAUUGAUGAAAUGUACAUUUCAUCUCUCAAAAUGAAUGGAUGAUUUUAAUUUGAUAAAAGUCCUCCCAUGACCAAUUUGUGUUGAUGUCAUCUCCCCUCCUUCUUCAUCUUCAAUCCCAUUAUAUCCCAUCCCUUUUAUUAACCAAUGAAGUCUCAAUAUCCUAAGGCUAAUUGGUUCAUCAAUAACUUUGUAUUAGACGAACCAAUACAAGUAUGGAUGAGAUUAGGUCCAUCCUUUGAUCAUUUUCUUUUUGUGUGUUGUAUGUUUUAGGAGUAUGAAUGAGAUUAGGUCUUGCCAAACACAAAAAUAUAAUCAAUGAAUUAUUUACUCAUCCUCACACUCUAUUUGUUGCAAACAUCUUUUAUCCAAAAAUACAUACACGCAUAAAAGAGGGCUCCCUAGGAGUACCUAUGACACUUUGGGUGCUAACACCUUCCCUCUGUGUAACCAACCCCCUUACCUGUAAUCUCUUGCAUUUUAUUAGUUUUGAUUUGAAAACUUCUUAUCUGUGGGUUUUGUUCAUACUUUUCCCUUUUCCUUUAGAAACAAUAAAAGUACGGUGGCGACUCUGGUUUUAUUGACGUUAAGUUUAUCCAUAGCUUAAUGGUCAUGAAUUUACCGCUACAGAAAUUAAGUGGCGACUCUGUUGGGGAGUAGUCUUCAGUGGGUUUAGCCUUCUUUUUUUUUAUAUAUAUAAUUGUAUAUUUGAUGUUUGUAUACUUGUUUGUGUGAUAUAAUCUGCUUGUUGUGCUUGGUGAUCUCUGAGUGGUGAGAUAAGUUCUAACCCAAACUUGAGUGUAAUUAAGAUAGGGGAUGGUAUAGUCAUGUUCGACUUGUGCGGAGUAGUCCUUAACAAGUUGGCUUGAGACCCAUCUACUUAGUGGAGACCCUUUUGGAGUUAUUGAUGUCACACAAGUUAUUUGUGGUUAGGCAUUACUUUCUCUGAUUUGGGGUCCGAGAAGCUGAGGACCUUAAAACAUUUAAACCCACUUGGCCUAUUUAGGACGUAGUGCGGAGACUAUUUAAGGGUAGACUUGAUAACAUUUGUUACGCGAUACUACACUCAGAUGAGUUUCUCUUAAGAAUAUUAUGGGUUGAUAAGUCAGUCAUCCUAACCUAUAAUAUUUGAUGGAUGGAAUUAAGACUCUGGGAACUUUUUUAGAACAUGAUUUACAUGUUUUUAUCCUUAGUACACUCCUUUGGGAUGGUUCUUAACCUGACUCCAUGCUCGUGACUCACAAUAAACCCUUGAUUCUUGGUUGAUCCAAUCAAGUCUUAUCAAUAUCAAUGGAACUUGGGUGUUGAUAAGGUGAAAACCAUAAUCCACCAAAAUGGAUGAUUGAUCUUGACAAUGAUUUGAUUCAUCCCUUGACCUUUGUUUGUUUUCCUUGUGUGUGAUCCCUUAUUUGUGAUUGUUGUAUUCACGCAUUCAUACACAUCAUAACAUUCAUCACACAAAAAAUAAUUCGAAGGAACUGAGGUUUUAUUUGCAAAUAUUUUCAGACCAUGGAUUGUGGACGAAGGAACACUAAGAAGUACAGUUUAAGAUGUCCCGACUUAAAAGAGUUAAGGAAGUUAUCAUCUUUUGUAUUAGAUCCCUUGGACUUCAAGCAACGUCAUGGGAAGCUUUUAUAUGUGUUAUUUGCUGACGUAGUUGAAGGACUUCUGAGUGUGUGUGUGCAGUUUUAUGUUCCUCUCUACCGUUGCUUCACUUUUCCCGAUUAUCAGCUUAUGCUUACGUUAGAGGAGUAUGCCCAUCUCUUAGGAAUACAUGUUUCUGAUAAGGUCCCAUUUAGUGGAUUGGAAGAGAUUCCCAUAUCUCAUAUCAUAGUUGAAGCUCUUCAUCUGAAGAAGUCUGAGAUUGAGGCUCAUUGGGUGAAGAAAGGAGGAAUGUUUGGGUUGACUUCUGAGUUUCUCAUUGGUAAAGCCACUACCUUUUCUCAAGCGGGUAGUGUGGAUGCUUUCGAAACCAUCUUUGCGUUGCUCAUCUAUGGUUUGGCUUUUUUCCCUAACACUGACGGUUUUGUUGAUGUUAACGCCAUUAGAAUCUUUUUGAUCGGGAAUCUCGUGCCUACUUUGUUGGGUGAUAUGUACUUCUCUUUGAAUUUGAGGAAUUCUAAAGGUGGUGGGACUAUUGUGUGUUGUGUUCCUCUUCUGUACAAGUGGUUUAUUUCGCACUUGCCUCAAACGCAUGCUUUUGUGGAGAACAAACAAUGUCUACGAUGGUCUUAGAGACUUAUGUGUCUCACUAAUGAUGAUAUUGUUUGGUAUGACUCUACGUUAGGUAGCUUGGAUAUUAUUGUCAGUUGUGGUGAAUUCUCUAAUGUGCCUCUCAUUGGUACACAAGGAGGAAUCAACUACAUCCCUGUUUUGGCUCGUCAUCAACUUGGGUUCCCCUUGAGUGACAAACCUAAUAACACUCAGUUAGAAGGUCUUUUCUAUCAAGAGGGUAAAGAUCCCUAACAUUUGAAGCAAAAAAUGAUACAUGUGUGGCAUAAUGUGCAUAGGAAAGGAAGGUCCGAGCUUGGUCUGUGCAACUGUGUAGCUUUGGAAGCUUACAUUACUUGGGUGAAGAAAAGAGCUUUGGAGUUGAAGAUGAUGCAUGCUUGUGAGAGACCUAUGUCUAUGGUUGUGGUUGAGAAGUUAACUCUCCUUAACCAAGAUGUAGAGGAGUUGGAAGAUGCACUCACCAAGAUGAAGCAAGAGAAGGAUAUGUGGGAAGAGCGGUUCCAUGCUUUAAGCCAAAAGCAUGAGGAGUUGCAGCUUGAGUCUAAGGACAAAGAUGCACUUAUUGAACUUCUUGAAGACCGAGCAAUGAAGAGACAGAGAGAACCAGAGGGUCCAUCUUCCUCUAGUAUGCCUCAGCCUUCCGGUGCUUGGAAAAAGAUUGUUGAUCAGCUUAUCCUCGAGAAGGCUCAGAUGAAGACUUCUUUUGAGUCCGAGAUUCGACGCAUUCGAAGGAAGUACGCGCAUGCGGCGAGAUCAUCUGACAUCGUUGCUAAGGGACCCUUAGGAUGAUUAGUUUCCUUUUCUCUUGUACUUGUACUUUGGUUUCUGUAAUUGUACUCAGUGUAAUCCUUCCAAAUUAUAUGAAUAAAAUAGAUUUUUAUGGUCAAUCAAAUUAUUAUUAUUGUUAUUAUAUAUUUGCAAAUAAAAUAGUAUGUUCCUUGAAAAUAAAAUCAAUUAAAAACAUUGCAUUUCAUGCAUCAUUUGCAUAAACAUGCUUUCUUCAACCAGAUGUCUUAUCGGUUAUUCUUUUGUGCUUCAGCCAAGCUGACUCACCGAUACAACACUCGCGCCAAUCAACCGAGAAUCAUGGAGCACUUAGAGCAAGAUAACCGAUAACUGAAGGAUGAGAUUGCUCGUCUAACUUCUAUGAUGGAGUCUGUUCUAGCUUCCCAGAGUCAGUCUUCUCCAACUCCCGCAACUCCUCCUCCUCAGAGGACUGUCAUCUCAGAGGUUUCUACCUCAACUGUCUCUGUUGCUGCUACUCAAUCUGGUCCAACAAUGCCUGCUAUAUUCUCGUGGGGAAUGCCACCAAACUUUAUGCCUGAAGGGUUUGCACCCAUAUUUUCUUAUAUGCUAGCAUCUAGCCCGAUCAUGUCUGUGUCGCCUCCAGUUGUUCACACUAUGCCUCGUAUUGAGGAUACCAUCUAUCAUUCUGAGCCAUCUUAGGGCCCAGAUGUUUACGAGAAAAUGGAUGAAAUGAAGGACCAGUUCCUUGAGUUGCGAAAGGAAUUGAAGACAUUGAGAGGAAAAUAUAUGUUCGGUAAAAGUGCUGCUGAACUCUGCUUGGUACCCAACGUUAAGAUCCCGAUGAAAUUCAAAGUCCCUGACUUUGAAAAGUAUAAGAGAAAUACUUGUCCAUUUAGCCACUCUGUCAUAUAUGCUAGGAAAAUGUCAACUCAAACUGAUAAUGAUCAGUUAUUAAUUCACUACUUCCAAGACAGUCUAACUGGUGCCGCUUUGAGAUGGUACAUGGGGCUAGACAGUGCAAGUAUUCCCACGUUCAAUGAUUUGGGUGAAGCUUUUAUAAAAUAGUAUAAGUACAAUGUGGACAUGGUGCCUGAUAGAGACCAGCUGAGGUCUAUGUCUCAGAAGGACAAAGAGAAUUAAAAGAAUACGCCCAGAGGUGGAGAGAGCUUGUUGCUCAGAUCAAUCCUCUGUUGGAAGAGAAAGAGAUGACGAAGAUUUUCCUUAAGACCCUGAAUUUGUUUUAUUACGAAUGAAUGAUUGCUAGUGCCCCCAAUGACUUUACCGAAAUGGUAAACAUGAGGAUGAGGUUAAAGGAAGGAGUCCGUGAAGGACGUUUGUCUAAAGAAGAGGUGUCAUCAAGCAAGAAAUGUGGAAGUAGUUUCGCCAGAAAGAAGGAAGGGGAAACUAAUAUAGUAUCAGUAGGAAGGCAGAGGAGGCCUCAUGUCAAAAGAAAUCUGAAACCGCGUCAACAUCAUCACCAAGUCUCUUCAGUUAUCCUAGUAUUUUCAAAUAAUUAAUCAGUACCAGUUGAACAACAAUGUCAACAACAGCCGCAACAAAGAACAAACAACAACAACAACAACAAUAAUCAGCAACAACAGAAUUUCGAGAGGAAGAAGGUCUCUUUUGACCCUAUUCCUAUGACAUACGCAGAACUCUACCUGUCUCUGGUUCUCAAGAACCUACUCCAGCCAAGAAAUUCACCUCAAAUUCCAGAACCACCUUCGUGGUGGUAUAAACCCGAACUCCAUUGUGCCUUUCAUCAAGGAUCUCUCGGCCAUGAUAUUGAAAAUUGUUACCCAUUGAAGUAUGAGGUUCAGAAGCUUGUAAAGAGUGGGAUGGUGUCCUUUGAGGACCGUGCACCGAAUGUGAAAGCUAACUCAUUACCUGCUCAUGGUAAUUCCUCUCUUAAUAUGGUAGAUGGUUGUUCAGGAAGCUUCUGAGUCUUCGAUGUGCGACGUAUUCAUCGGUCCUUGGUGGAGAUGCAUAGGACCCUGUGUACCAUCAGUGGUUGUGAGCACGACCAUGAUGGUUGUGCAAUUUGCAGUGUAAACCCCCGUGGGUGUUUGAUCGUCAAGAGAGAUAUCCAGAAGUUGAUGGAUGAGAAUGUAAUCCAGAUUCAAUAGUCUAGGGAUAUAGAUGAUGUGAAUGUGAUUGUUUCAGUGUUUAGAACCCCUGAGCGGGUAGUAAUUCAAUUUGUUAGUAGUAGUAGUAGUAGUAACAGUGUCAGUAGGUCGGUAUCACCAUUAGUGAUACGGUUAGCGGGUCCCAUCCCGUACGCAUCCGAUAAAGUUGUUCCGUACCAGUAUAAUGCUACGAUGGUGGAGAAUGGUCAAGAGGUUUCGUUGCCUACGACCAAUUUUGUUAUGAAUAUAGCCUAUAUUGCGAAGGUGACCCGUAGCUGUCGUGUAUUUGGUCCCAUUUUUCCAAAAGAGGUGUUAGAGGAUGGUAAGAAGAUUGAUGUACCUGCAGUAAACCCAAUUAGUGCUCCAAUAUAUCAGUCUGGUGAAUCUAGCAAAUUGAAGCCUAAUGAUGAUAAUGAGGUACUAAGAUUAAUCAAGAAGAGUGAAUUUAAUGUGGUAGAGCAGCUACUCCAAACUCCUUCAAAUAUUCUAGUGUUGUCUCUACUAAUCAAUUCUGAAGCAAACAGAGAAGCAUUGCAAAGAGUGUUGGAGCAAGCCUAUGUCGAGCAUGAUGUGACCGUGGAUCAGUUUGACCAUAUUGUGGCUAACAUUACUUCCUGCAACAACUUGAGUUUUGGUGAUGAAGAACUUCCCGAGGAAGGCAGAAAUCACAAUCUAGCACUGCACAUAUUGAUGAACUGCAAGGAGGAUGUGUUGUCCAAUGUGUUAGUUGAUAUCGGUUCUUCUCUGAAUGUACUCCCCAAAUCAAAUCUCUCUAGAUUAUCCUACCAAGGCACCUUAAUGAGAUACAGUGGCGUGAUCGUCAAAGCUUUUGAUGGUUCUCGCAAGACUAUUAUAGGAGAAGUAGACCUUUCAGUGAAGAUAGGUCCGAGUGAUUUUCAAAUUACUUUUCAAGUAAUGGAUAUCCACCUGGCCUAUAACUACUUGUUAGGAAGGCCAUGGAUCCAUGAAGUUAGAGUUGUAACAUCUACUCUGCACCAGAAAUUGAAAUUUGUGAAGAAUGGCAAGCUUGUCAUCAUUGAUGGAGAGAAAGCGCUCUUAGUGAGCCAUCUGUCGUUCAUUUCAUAUGUGGAAGCUGGGGAAGAGGUAGGAACUCCGUUCCAAGCCUUGUCUAUUGAUGAAGUAAAGAAAAUUGGGGCACCCAUGGCUUCUUUCAAAGACAUGCAAAAAAUUAUUAAAGAUGGCAGUACAGAUCAGUGGGGUCGUAUGGUAGAGGUCGCCGAGAACAAGAAUAUGGCCGGAUUAGGAUUUCAACAAGGGUCGUCCAAUGUCAAAACUGAAGAAGUGCAACCGAGCUUCCGUAGCGGAGGGUUCAUCCAUGGUAAUGAACAACACUCAGCUGCUGUGAUCAAGGACGAUGAUGAUGAAGACAGCGCCAAUUUUAUGACGCAUGGCAAGGCUUGCAACAAUUGGGUUGUUGUUGAUGUUCUUGUUAUUGUCCAUUGUUUUAAGUAAUUUUCUUUUUUAUUGUUUUAGAAAAAUCUUUCUCCUAUGCCUAAGCGAGAAGUGAGCAUUGUUGGACAUUUUUCAAAUUAUCAUCAAUAAAAUGCAAUUCUAUUCAUCCACAUCUAUGAUGUUUUUACUUUUUAUUUUUCUGAAAAUGGUAAUCACAAAAAACAUAAAUAAAUAGUAAUUGUCCAUCUGCAUAAUAUUUGGUCACAAUUCAUUUCUCUAAAAUCAAAAUAUCAAAUCAUUAUGCAGGUUGGUGUCUAAACCCGUUAAAUACAAUGAUCCUACUCCCUCUCCAAACUUUUAUUUCCCUGUGUUUAAGGCUGAGGAAGAAAUUGAUGAAAAGGUAUCUGAUGAACUAUCUCGUCUACUUGACACGGGGAAAAAACCAUUUAGCCAUUUGAAGAGCAGAUUUAGCUAGUCAACUUGGGUUCUGGAGAUGAUAUGAAGGAAGUCAAGAUUGAGUUUCAAUUGUGUCCAGAGGUUAAGAAGGGGUUUAUUGAUCUUCUUUGAGAGUAUUCAGAUGUGUUUGCUUGGUCCUAUCAAGACAGGCCUGGUUAGGAUUCUGAGAUUGUGGAGCAUAGAUUACCGUUGAAGUCAGAAUGCCCUCCAGUCAAGCAAAAGUUGAGGAGGACUCAUCCUGAUAUGGCAGUGAAGAUCAAAGAAGAAGUAAAAAAGCAGAUCGAUAUUGAUUUCCUUGUUACCGCUGAGUAUCCACAGUGGGUGGCCAAUAUUGUGCCUGUUCCAAAGAAGGAUGGAAAAGUUUAUAUGUGUGUCGAUUAUAGAGAUUUGAACAAAUCUAGUCCGAAAUAUGAUUUUCCCCUACCACACAUUGAUAUGUUGGUAGACAAUACAGCUAAAUUCAAAGUCUUUUCGUUUAUGGACGGAUUUUCCGAUUAUAAUCAAAUCAAGAUGGCACCCGAAGAUAUGGAGAAGACCACAUUCAUUACACCCUGGGAACAUUUUGUUAUAGAGUGAUGCCUUUCGGUUUAAAGAUUGCUGGUGCAACAUACCAGAGAGCUAUGACCACUCUUUUUCAUUAUAUGAUGCAUAAAGAGAUCGAAGUCUAUGUUGAUGAUAUGAUUGCUAAAUCCAGCGAUGAACAAGAGCAUGUUAAGCAUUUGUUGAAGCUAUUCCAGCGUUUGAGGAAGUACAAACUCUGCUUGAAUCCCAAUAAUUUUACUUUUGGUGUUCGUUCUGGUAAGUUGUUGGGCUUUAUUGUCCGUGAGAAGGGUAUUGAAGUUGAUCCUACCAAGGUCAAAGCAAUACAAGAAAUGCAUGCGCCCAAAACUGAGAAGCAAGUCGGAGGUUUUCUCGACCGCUUGAAUUAUAUCUCAAUAUUCAUAUCGCAUAUGACUGCCACAUGUGCGCCUAUAUUCAAGCUUCUUCGGAAAGAUCAUUCUUGUGAUUAGACUGAAGAUUGCCAGAAAGCUUUUGAUAGUAUCAAAGAGUAUCUGCUCGAUCCUCCGAUUCUAUCUCCGCUUGUUGAGGGAAGACCAUUGAUCAUGUAUUUGACUGUGCUUGAUGAGAGUAUGGGUUGUGUUCUUGGUCAGCAAGAUGAAAAUGGAAAGAAAGAAUAUUCUAUUUACUACCUUAGAAAGAAGUUCACCGACUGUGAGACUCGGUAUUCUUUGCUAGAAAAGACUUGUUGCGCAUUGGCUUGGGCUGCUAAGCAUCUGUGUCAGUAUAUGUUGAAUCAUACUACUUGGUUGAUAUCCAAAAUGGAUCCAAUCAAGUACAUUUUUUAGAAGCCUGCUUUAACUGGGAGGAUUGCCCAUUGGCAGAUUUUAUUCGAGUAUGAUAUUGAAUACCGAUCUCAAAAAGCAAUUAAAGGUAGUGUCUUGGCUGACCAUUUGGCUCACCAACCGAUUGAAGACUAUCAAUCAGUAUAGUAUGAUUUUCCUGAUGAAGAAAUCUUGUACUUGAAAAUGAAAGAUUGUGAUGAACCAUUGCUUGAAGAAGGGCCAGAACUUGGUUCCCGUUGGGGCAUGGUAUUUGAUGGAGUUGUUAAUCAGUAUAGUAAUGGCAUUGAGGCAUUGAUUAUUACUCCUCAAGGCACUCACUUUCCGUUUACAGCUAGGUUGACUUUCAAGUCUACAAAUAAUAUGGAUGAGUAUGAAGCUUGCAUUAUGGGGCUUGAGGAGGCCAUUGAUCUCAUAAUCAAGUAUUUGGACGUCUAUGGAGAUUCAACUUUGGUUGUGAAUCAAAUCAAAGGUGAAUGGGAUACGAAUCAACCCGGUUUGACACCAUAUAGAGAUUAGGUGAGGAGGAUUUCAACUUUCUUUACAAAGGCUGAAUUUCAUCAUAUCUCUCGAGAUGAAAAAUGGAUGGUGUAAGACUCUAAUUUUGACCCUAAGAUCCCUCAUGGCAUCAUAUCAUUGCACUUUUCAUUUGCCUCGAGGAUCAUAGCAUCUUGGAUCCUUAACCCUAGGGUGGGAACUUGUGAAAGUUGGUUUGAGACCACCAAGCAUACUUGAAUUGUAUAUUAUUUCUUUUCUUAUUUUUGAUUACUAACCAAAAGCACAAACUAACAUCUUUUUGUUUUGUAGCUUGAGCAAUCAUAAGAUCCAAGGCUCCUAGGAGGCCCUAUGCUCAAAGAAUGGCCAGAUGAAGUUGAAAGCAAGCAUGACAAUGGUUCACAAAGAUCUCAUUCAUAAUAUAUGCCUCCCAAGUAUCUCAAUUUGCCAAUUUGAUCAGGAUAAACCCAAGGGCUUCAGGAUUGUUUCCCAAGGAAACCCUAAUUCAGCUGUGCAUCAACUGUGCCUUGCUCAUGCAGCAACCUCAACCCAUGAUCAAAUACAAUCAAGGGAAGUUCUUUCAUUCAUCAUUUCAUGCAUAUUUGAGCUUAUUUGAGUGCCCUCAAUCAUGAAUUCAUCAAGGUUUGAAGGUUGGACUUGAGAAGUUGAUCAGUCAACUCAUCUGACUAUUUUAAAAUCCACUGAGACAUAACUUUUGAUGUGUUUGUCAAAUGAAGAUGACCCCAAGAGCAACAAUGUUCUUAAUAAUCAUAUGAACAACUUUCAUGUUCAUAAAAAAUUGUUUUGAAGUUUGGAAGGUCAUCAUCCAUUUCAAAACAUUAUAGGUCAUUUUGACUGAAACCCUAAUUUUAGGUCAACUUCCCAAGGACAUAACUCCUUCAUUUUUCAUGAUUUUAGGUGGGAUCAAAUGAAUUGGAAAAUUCAAUAUGUCUAAUUAAUUUGUUAUGUUGAACAAAUUUUCAUAAUCCUAAAAUAAACACAUGUGAUAAUGCAAAACAUUAUAGGUCACUUUGGACCAAAGUCAUUGAAAUGUGAAAAAGUCCAACUUUAAGUGCCCAUAACUUUCUCAUUAAAAUUCCAAAUGAUGCAAACUUUAAGGCCAAAUUGAUUUUCUUGAAAGUAUCUACAACUUUUAUGUUAAAGGUUUUGUCAUUUGAGGCUUGCAUAAUUGAAACAGAAGGGCUUGAAGUUGGCCCAUUUUGACAAAAUUCUCAUACACAUGUUUUCCACCUUGAACUUUAUGAUCAGUUUUCAUUAAUUUCCUAACUCCAAAUGGAUUUUUGUUCAACAUAACAAUUGUUUCUCAUGUCAAGACCUUUCCAACCAUUACCCACAAGGCCAUGUUUCAUUUUGGUUAGGUGCAUUUUCGAAGAGAUGAAAAUUUGUGUGCAUUUAUGGAAACAAUGUUCAAACUUCAUGCACAAGCCAAUUCAAUCACAUUUGAACGUCCAAACCCGGUCAUUAUGAUUUCAGCAUACCAAAUCAAUUGCAUUUGGGCCUUCCAUGCGCCUGUACAGGCCCAUGCAUGGAGGCUCUCACUUCAUGCACACAUGAACUUUGCAUUGCUUGCCUCAUCAUUUGCUAUAAAUAGAGAUGCUCAGCUUCAUUCCAAUCCAACCUUAAGGCGCCUUACAUGCUGCAGAAGUGAAUCCCCACACCUCACCCAAAGGAAUUUUGCAAUUUCUCUUCAAUUUUUCAGUUCCAAUUUUCAACUUCCGUGGUUGAUUAUUGGACUAUAAUUCCUUAGCCUAGCUCUGUUUCCAUCUCAAGAACGCACUGCUAUCAAGAAUUGGGAAGGACCGCGCCUCAUUGAUCUGCACUUCAAAGGUUGUUGUUCAAACUUUUUCAAUUCGAAACUCACUAAUUCUUGCUCAUUUCUCGUGUUUGUUGGCUCCUCUGAAGUCCUCUCAUAAGAGGAAAUUGAAUUGUGUACUUAAUUUCAUAAAUCCAUCAAGUUCAGUUUGAACUUCAUAAUUUUCCAUCUCUGAUUUCUCUUUCCAAUAGAGUCUAGAGUGAAAAUCAAUGGCACAGAGGUGAUGUACAUCACCCUAGCUUUCCAAUGAUAUGAGGAUCGUCCAUUUUGGUUAAGAAUUCAUGACCUACAACUUCCACAGGAGCUAACAUGCUCGCCGGAGAAGACGGUGGUGUACACCACCGUCCCCGUUGCCAGAUUUAAUUUGGGUCGUUGAUGAGGAUUUCCAGAUUGAAUCAGGGCCUUUCAAUGUUAUGACCAUUUUAAAUGCAUUAUGUUUCUCAGUUGACUACAACCUUUCGUGCGCGCGCAUCUCUUCUCCCUUGGAUGUGCCACCUCAUUUAAUGAGGUUGAUCCAACGCGCCAGGAUUUUUGGCAAUUUCUGAUUUUCCAUUUUUAUUUUCUUUAUUUCAUUUUAUUUCAAAAAUUCAUAACUCAUUUCAUUUUAAAUCCAAAAAAAUAUGGGACCAAUUGCAUUAUUUACCUUUUUAAUUCUAGUUUCUGAAAAUGAUUUUUUUUUAUUUUUUAUUUUUCAUUUGAUAUUUUUUGUGAAUUUUCUCUUUUCUGCCCGUUAUUUUUUAAUUCAUUUUAAAUAGUUUCCAAUAUUCAAAAAAUGCAAAAAUAUUUUCUUAACCUCUUUGAAUGAUGAUGAAUCUAUGAAAAAUAUUCUCAUCAAUUUCUUAAUUGAUUUGAGAUUUUAGUUCAAUUAGGUUAUUUUUUAUUCAUUUUUAAUUGUUUAAAAAUAGUUUAUGGUUUCCAAAAAUGCUGAAAUUUUUGUCAAACUUUGUUUGACCUUGUUGAACUUAGGAUGAUCCAUUUGGAGUUUUCCAAGUUUAUUUGAAAUGGAUUUGAAGUUUGACCUUUAAUUGUUUAUUUUAAUUUAAGUAUUAUUUUAAUUCUCAAAAAUACCAAAAAUAUUUUAUUUGUUCUUGACUUCUAAACUUCAUCUUGCUUCUGUUUACCAUUGAUUGACUUUGAUUCUAUUCAUGUUUGAUCAAUGUGUGUUGGAUAUUUCAUUUGAAUUUUAAUUCAUGUACAUUCUUAUUCAUCAUCUUCUUCAUCUUUUUCUUUUUGAUCAAUGAGUUAAAGAUUGGUUGUUAGCCUUGACAUAUGGGAGGCUUAACCUUCCUUGGUUCAAAUCUAAUUCAUCUUAAUCAAAGAUCAAGUGAAUGGCUUUGCAUUAAGGAUAAGUUGCUUCUUGGUCAAGCAAAAAACCUAAAUCAAUACAAGAUCAUUCUCCUUUUCUUUUGGCAUGGCAAGUUGUAUGAGCUUGGCUUACUAGUCAUGGUCUCUAACUUGUGUUUGUUGCCUAUAGUUUUAUUGACCGGCCUCAGAUAGGUGUGACUACUACAUUAGUUCACUUACGAUUGCUUAACAUAGCGCUAAAUUGCCUUAUGGCACACUAACAUUAACUAUUAACACUAACUUUUAAUUCAAGUCAUUUUAUUCUUGCAAUUUACUUUAAUGCAAUUUAAUAUCUUGUUCAUUAUUUCAUUUGCUUUUACCCUUUUCUCACUUGAGCUCAUGUUUAUGUUAAUGCAAUUUACCUUUUGCUCAAUUGAGCAUAUUAUUGUGUAAAUACUAUUGUGCUUGUUUUGUUGUUUGUGUGAACCCAAUUCAAAUGGACAAAGGACUUAGUUUUUAGGACCUUACCUAUGCUAAUGGAGUUUGAAGAGCAACUAAGUCUCAUGCCUUUAGAGUGCUAAAAUUUCAAAGAGCAACUAGGCCUCAUGCCUUUAGAAUGCUUAAAUCUUGAAGAUGAAUUGAAAGGACCUAAUUCUAAACUCCCUCUUGUCCAUUCUUUAUUUGUUUUGUGGAACUUUUUUAUUUGUGUGUUCUUGUGCUAGGGAUCCCAAACUUGCCAAGUAGAAGAACCAUUGUCAUGAGCAUCUAAAGUGAGAGAUACAAAAGCCAUUGGAAGAUUCCUAGGAGCUUGUUUGAUUGUGUGAUUGAUUGCUUGAGUUAUUUGCUUAUUGCUUGCUAAUCCAAAGGAAAGGGAACAACUUGGAUCAUCACUAUGAUCUCAAGAAGGGAACUCCAUUGUGGUUUUAUUUCUCCUCCUUCAUCUUUGCAUGUCUAGGACUUAGCCAUUCUUCUUCUUCCCUCCACUCUAACCCAAGCCAAACUUUUGUGCAAACAUUAACAUUGUUUUCAAAAUUAGAAACCUAAGCACUAUGCUUUUGAUUUUUCAAACUUUUUUCAAAACACUUAUUUUGAAUUGAAUUAUAAGUCAACUUUGACCUUACUUUGUAAAUACUUUUCAUUGGUAAAUACAACUCACUCAAUUGUUUUUGUGGUUUCAAUGGCCACUUCUUGCCAAAGCUUUUCAUAAACAUUAGUUAUUAGGUUUGAGUUAUCCUAGAGGUUGAUAUAAUACUCACCUAUAUCCUUAGUGAUGGACAAUAAGCAUUCCAUGCUUAUUAUAGGGUUAACCCCUCACUAGCAUGUUGAAGCUCUCCUCACAUGGUGAAUUUGUGGUUUUAGGGUGAGUUUUAUCCCUUUGAUAACAAAAGACAUUAAGGCUUUUGACCAAUCAAUUCACCAACUUGUUUUGAGAUUUUUACCCCGAACUACGAGGUUUUGAUCCUACCUUUUUAAGAUGGUACGUAGGCAAUGGGUUUAUCCAUUCAAACACAAAAUUGUUUUACCCCGAACUACGAGGUUUUGAUCCUACCUUUUUAAGAUGGUACGUAGGCAAUGGGUUUAUCCAUUCAAACACAAAAUUGUAAAUAACUUGUAUAUUCUUCUCUCAUCUCCCCAAUCAUGUUUGCAUAAAUAUUUUUCACAAAUACCGACCUACCUUACAACAUUAGUGAAAAGGGCUCCCUAGGAGUACCUAGGAUGUUUUGGGUUCUUAAAACCUUCCCAUUGCAUAACCAACCCCCUUACCCAGAUCUCUGACAUUGUUAUUAGUUUUUGAUUUGAUAAAACUUCUCAGUUUUUGUUCGCUUUCUAACCUUUCCUCUGGAUAAAUAGAAGUGCGAUGGCGACUCGAAUUGUAUGAUUUACUUUUGAUUUAGUCAAUAAAUCUAAAGGUAACGAAUACCCCGCUACAGAUGGCAGAUGCUUUUGCAACGUUGGCUUCAAUGAUUGUAGUGAAAUUUUGGAAUGAAGUCCCCAAAUUGAUUGUGAUGCGUCUUGAUAGGCUAGCUCACGUGUUUACUAUUGAAGAGAUCAAAGAUGAAAAACCAUGGUAUUUUGAUAUCAAGUGUUUUCUCCAAAGUCAGAUUUACCCGUCUGAGGGAUCUUUGAAAGAUAAGAAGACUUUGAGGAGAUUAGCCGACAACUUCUACCUGAAUGGUGAUGUGUUGUACAAGAGAAACUUCUAUAUGGUUCUGCUCAAAUGCGUGGAUAGACACGAAGCAGACUUAUUGAUGAUUGAAGUCCAUGAAGGUUACUUUGGUACUCAUUCCAAUGGACAUGCUAUGGCUAAGAAGAUGUUAAGAGCAGGUUGCUAUUGACUGACAAUGGAAUCUGACUGUUGCAAGUUUGUGAAGAAAUGCCUCAGGUGCCAAAUUUACGCAGACAAGAUUCAUGUUCCUCCUACAUUGUUGAAUGUCAUUUCCUAUCCAUGGCCAUUCUCCGUGUGGGGAAUUGAUAUGAUUGGCAUGAUUGAACCCAAAGCUUCAAACGGACAUUGUUUCAUUCUGGUGGCUAUUGACUACUUCACAAAGUGGGUUGAAGCGGCAUCGUAUGUGAAUGUAGCCAAGCAAGUUGUUGUGAGGUUUAUCAAGAAUCAGAGUAUAUGUCAGUAUGGUGUGCCAAGUAAGAUCAUUACUAAUAGUGGGUCUAACUUGAAUAAUAAUAUGGUGAAAGCUCUUUACAAAGACUUCAAGAUUGCACAUCAUAAUUCUUCUCCCUACAGACCCAAGAUGAAUGGGGCCGUUGAAGUUACAAACAAGAACAUCAAAAAGAUCAUUACGAAGAUGAUUGUGACGUACAAAGAUUGGCAUGAGGUGCUCCCAUUUGCUUUGCACGGGUACCAUACAUCCAUCCGCACUUCAACAGGGGCAACCCUUUUCUCACUUGUUUAUGGCAUGGAAGUUGUGCUCCCAGUUGAGGUUGAGAUCCCAUCAUUGUGUGUUUUGAUGGAAGCUAAGUUGACUGAAGCUGAAUGGUGUCAGACCAGGUAUGACCAGCUGAAUUUAAUUGAAGAGAAGAGAUUGACUGCCAUGUGUCAUGGUCAAUUAUAUCAGCCAAGAAUGAAGAAAGCUUUUGAUAAAAAGGUCAUGCCUCAUGUGUUCGGGGAAGAUGAACUUGUGCUCAAGAAGAUUCUAUCUUUCAAUCCAGAUUCUAGGGGAAAUGGACUCCUAAUUAUGAAGGCCCAUAUGUUGUAAAGAGAGCCUUUUCAGGCGGUGCUUUGAUUCUUACAACUAUGGAUGGUGAAGAGUUCACUCGUCCUGUGAAUGUAGAUGCAGUCAAGAAAUACUUCACCUAAAAAGAAAAGAACAGCUUGCUAAGUUGAAAACUCGAAAGGGCGACUUAGGCAAAAAUGAGCGUCUCGGUGGAUUGAAAACCCGAAAGGGCGAUCCAGGCAAAAGUUAGAGACAUAAAACAGAAAAUUUAUCCCGAUAGAUUGAGUACCUCACAUUGGUGCAAUUUAUUCAAAAAUUAGGGAUUAUGGCAAGUAACUGCAUUCGGUAGACCUUCAGUCUUGAAAACAUUCUUCAGCACGUCAUUUGGUUCUGAUUCGUCACUCUCAACCGAAGCCAAGAGCACAAUGGUAAUUGAAGUUGGUAGAAGGAUUAGCGAUCAUUGUAUUCAAUGUAGCCCUUUUCCAUGUAAAUUACCAUUUUUUCAACUUUUGUAAAGAUCUAUGGAGUCUUGUCAUUUAUAGACUACCAUUCUAUUAAAUAAAGUUGAGCUUUUUAUCUAAUUGUUUCUACUCUUAUUUAUCUUUCAGCCAAAUAGAAUUAAAUUUUAUGAUCCUUUUUGAAAUUAAAUUUAAAAUCAAAAUCAUUUUUCUUAAAAUAAAAGCAAUUACUUUUAAUAAAUCGAUUUCAGUAAGGAAUAUCAACAGUGAAAUUCUGGUAUCAGAUAUGAGAUGUCGAAGGUAAUGUCACGACACUAAUAUCUGAACAAUAUAAACAGGAUAAAAGAUAAAGAGCGGUAGUACAAGUGACACAAGCAAUUGUUAACCCAGUUCGGUGCAAACUCACCUACGUAUGGGGGAUACCAAGCCAGGAAGGAAAUCCACUAAACAGAAUUAGUUCAAAGACUCACAGUAAACAACUUCAAGUUACACUCUUUUCACCUAAUCUCUACCCGUGUGACUUCUAUCUAAAAACUCUUAGAUAAGAGAUCAUACUCACUCCCCCUCAAUCACAGCAGUGAUGUAAAAACAAAUAUUACAAUGAAAGAAGACACUCUUCAAGAACACAUACUUGAUCUUGCUUAAAAGUUUCAACCAAGUAAACACACACUCAUGCUUCAAAUCUUAGAGUGGACAAAUUACAACUCAAAAGUCAGUCCAAUUCAAUCAUCAAUGGAUGAAUGAAUGGCUCACAAUACACACGACCACACAAGACUAAAACCCUUAUUCUCUCUCACUAUUUCAUUCGUUAUUUCUUGUGUAUUAAAACCAGGUUUUCCAUACCCCUUAUAUAGAAGCGUUUGGCUGGGCUUGGACAUCAUAAAACCCUAAAACUAUUUUCCAUUUGUAUCUUCUUAUGAUAGCUGAUCAUAUAUUGUUGGAAAAUAAAUCACUCUGGUUUUAAUUACUGAUUGAAUGGCGCGUUCAAUCAUCACAUCAAUUACACAUAGAUUAGCAUAAAAAGCGCAAUCACACAAUACAUAACAUUUAGACUGAAUGUUCUGUAUACAGAUGUCUUGACAUCGGGUCUGACAUCUCAGCUAACUUCUGCACAUCCACAUUUUAAACACCCUGCAGGAACCUGUUAUCUCAUGUCAAGACAACACUUGUGACAACUUGUGAAAACUCUAGGUUUUUACCAAAAUUAAUGCCAACACAUAGAACCAACAAACUCCCCCUUUGGAAAAUUUUGGCUAAAACAUACAUCAGAUCAUUUGUUUCACAAGAGAAUAAUCACAGUAUCAGUUUAGUAGCAGAAGUAAUAAAACACACAUUACUAGCUAAAAUAGCAACUAGUAAACACAUUAAACACGCAUGUGCUUGUGCUCCACCUCCCCCUCAGACUGCUCAACACAGACAGAACACUUCUCUUCUUUAUCAUCACCUGUAACAUACACCUCCCAAUAUAACAUCACCUUCAACAUCACCUGUAACAUACACCUCCCCAUCUAACAUCACCUUCAACAUCACAUGUACUAAACAGAUUAUCUCCAACAUACAUCUGUAACAUCAUAUGUAUAUAGCAUAGCUACUUUAGCUACUUCUCCCCCUUUUUAGCCAAAAGAGACCAAAGAGACAAAAUAAAUGUCUAUUUAGCCAAACAAACAGAAUGUCAAAGCAGAUUUUUAAGUGUUACAGAUCCCAGAUCACACACAACUAUAUAAGCUGAGGUAAAAUUCAUCAAACCAAAAAAACCCAGAAAAAAUACAUCAAGGUAGCAGAACAUGACUACCAAAUGAAACACUAGAACAUCUAUCACAGCACAUCAUCAGAAGAGUGGGGGACAACUUCAACAAAACUAGUCAGAGGAGCUUGCAUCUUCAUCAGCAUCAGAACUAGAACUGCCACUUGUUUCAUCUUUAGAUUCAGACCUCUCACUAGAGGUUUGGGCUUCUGUUUCCUUGGCAUGUCCAACAUUCUCUUUAUCAGCUUACUCCAAGCUUUCAAUCAGAGCCUCCAAAGCUUCCUUCCUGGUUGUUGCUACCCUUAUCUCAAUAUCCAAUUCUUUACAAGUUUCUUUCAACUCAACAAUAAGGCCACCUUUUGAGGCUGACUUUUUCACAGUAGAUGUCAUGACAAUGUCUUCGACGUGACUGCCUUCAAACAAUUUGUAAUGAACUGAUAGAGGAGGUUUUCUUCUGCUAUGAAGAUCAUUUAUGCUCAGAAUUCCAGGUUGCUGGCUCAGGAUAAUCCCACAAAUCAUUGAGGGAAAAGCUAUGGGCAGCUUCACUGCAUUUGUAGAAGCAUGUUUGACAAUUUGUUCAAACAUAAAUCUACCAUAAUCUCCACAAAUCAUUGAGGGAAAAGCUAUGGGCAGCUUCACUGCAUUUGUAGAAGCAUGUUUGACAAUUUGUUCAAACAUAAAUCUACCAUAAUCAAAUUUCAGCUUGGUUCCAACAGCAAAGAUGAACCCUCCAAGGGCAUUUGAAAUUGUAGAUAUGUGGUUGGUUGGUACCCAAUUUGCUGACCCUAUCUUGUGCAAUAUAGCAUAUUUCAUAGUCAGUUUCCUGGCAGGGAGAUGCUUCUUGCUAGGCCACUCCUUCACAUGUCUUGCAGUGAUUUCCCUACAGACCUCAUUAUCUGUGGCUUCCAGUUCACAUGCACCUCCUGUUACUCUUCCUAAAAACUUGUUAAUCACAGUUGGAGGAAAUGUGAUACAUUUCCCUCUUACAAACACUUUACAAAACUCCUUAUUAUUUUUAUCAGCAAUGUCUUCAGGGAUGUUGACCACAAAUUCUUUCACCAGUCCUUCAUAACACUGAGAUAACCCAACAACAGUUUUCAUUAAUCUAGUAGUUUUAAUAAGGUUCAUGACCUAUUUGACCUCCAUAGCAUCCUUGCUUAAUUCUCUCUCCACCGCCACCCUCCUUUGGAUUACAAACUUCCAUUUUGCUGCUCCAUCUUCAAGAUGGAAAGAAAUAUUAUCCAGAUGUACAUCAACAACUUUUAUAGGGGACUUCCUAAUAGUUGUCCUCUUGACAGGGGAGAUGUCAGGGACAUCUUCAUCUGACUCAGAAAUUUCUCUCAUUUUCCUCUUCUUCACCUCAACUUUGCUCCAAGACUUUGAGGGGCCUACAGCAGUAGCCUUCUUAGCAGUUUUGGCUGACAUCAUUUCAGCCACAGACCUACCCUUUCUGGUCUUCAUCCUCUUAGCCACACUAGGCUUCAAGUGAUGAAGCAAGCUAUCAUCUUGAUCAUCCAAACUAUCAACUUCUAGUUCAAUCACCUUCUUUGCAGAAUCAUGCUUCUUAGACUGUGAAGCAUUGGCAGUAGGUGAUGCCACAGAUUUUUUACCAAAUAAAAUAUGCCUUAAAGAGCACAAACCUUCAGCAGCCAUAUCUUUUUCAGACCUAGAGGAAUCAUCAUCCUUCUCAUUAUGAGGUCCAACCUCAGGCGAGGGGUCCCUUCUUCAUAGAGGAGUAGAAACUCCUUUUACAUAAUGUCCUUCAUUGAGAAUCCUAGUGACUAGGUUUCUUAUGACAUGAUCAGUGUGAUGCAUUUCGUCCUUAGAACUAGGAGUAUGAGUAGAGCUGGAGGGGAUAUUAGAACUGUUACCUCGAGUAGGGCAUGCAGUGGCAGAUGCACCCAUGGGAUGGUUAGAGUCAGGUGCUUCGCCUGGAAUGACAGACAAGGGAAUCACGUCUGAAAUAUCUUCAUCAAGAAAGUCCAUAGAAGGCGUGCUAUCCUUGUGAGUAGGUUUAGAACCAGAUGAUGUUGGAUACUGUGACAUCUUGUUGUUUUUGUGGAAAGAUUUCAGUUGCCCUAGCAGAGAAGUUUGAGAAGGAUGUAGGAAGUUGGAAAUGUUUGAGUAGAGGUUGCGUGUGAAAAGGCAAUAGAUGGAAUUUCCAAUACUAGGUGAUGAUUUACCAUAAAUGGGGCACUUUAUUUUAAGUGGGCAGACAGUAUUUUUAUUACCUUUUCCACUCCAAAUUAAUUUCUACAAAUUCUCAUAAAUACAAAUCCCUAAUUUCCCUCUUAGAUAUUCAAAUUGGUUUGCAUCUAAGGCCUUUGUAAAAAUAUCAGCUAACUGCAUUUUAGUAGCAACAUGCUCUAGGACUAUGAUUUUAUCUUCCACUAGCUCUCUAAUAAAAUGAUGACGAAUAUCAAUAUGUUUUGUCCUGCUGUGCUGAAUAGGAUUCUUAGAAAUAUUUAUAUCACUUAGGUUGUCACAGUACAAUGUCAUGACAUCUUGCGUGACAUUGUAUUCAGUCAGCAUCUAAUUCAUCCAAACCAGUUGAGAACAACUACUUCCAGCUGCUAUGUAUUCAGCUUCAGCAGUGGACAGAGACACACAAUUUUGUUUCUUACUAAACCAUGAUAUUAAGUUGUUCCCCAAGAAGAAGCAUCCUCCUGAUGUGAUUUUCCUAUCAUCGGCACUUCCAGCCCAAUCAGCAUCACAGUAUCCAGUCAGCACAGAUCCAGAUCCAUGAGUGUACAGCAUCUCAUAGUCACUGGUGCCAUUGACAUAUUUCAAUAUCCUUUUCACUUGGUUUAUGUGACUGACUUUUGGUUCAACUUGAUAUCUAGCACAAACACCUACAGCAAAAGCAAUGUCAGGUCUGCUUGAUGUGAGAUAUAGCAGACUCCCUAUCAUGCUUCUGUAGAGACUUUGAUCUACACUAACACCAUUUUCAUCUUUAGAGACUUUCAGAUGAGUAGGAGCAGGUGUCCUUUUAUGACUUGCAUUCUCCAUGCCAAACUUCUUAACAAUGUUUUUGGCAUAUUUGCUUUGAGAUAGAAAGAUAGAAUCUUCCAUCUGCUUGACUUNNNNNNNNNNNNNNNNNNNNNNNNNNNNNNNNNNNNNNNNNNNNNNNNNNNNNNNNNNNNNNNNNNNNNNNNNNNNNNNNNNNNNNNNNNNNNNNNNNNNNNNNNNNNNNNNNNNNNNNNNNNNNNNNNNNNNNNNNNNNNNNNNNNNNNNNNNNNNNNNNNNNNNNNNNNNNNNNNNNNNNNNNNNNNNNNNNNNNNNNNNNNNNNNNNNNNNNNNNNNNNNNNNNNNNNNNNNNNNNNNNNNNNNNNNNNNNNNNNNNNNNNNNNNNNNNNNNNNNNNNNNNNNNNNNNNNNNNNNNNNNNNNNNNNNNNNNNNNNNNNNNNNNNNNNNNNNNNNNNNNNNNNNNNNNNNNNNNNNNNNNNNNNNNNNNNNNNNNNNNNNNNNNNNNNNNNNNNNNNNNNNNNNNNNNNNNNNNNNNNNNNNNNNNNNNNNNNNNNNNNNNNNNNNNNNNNNNNNNNNNNNNNNNNNNNNNNNNNNNNNNNNNNNNNNNNNNNNNNNNNNNNNNNNNNNNNNNNNNNNNNNNNNNNNNNNNNNNNNNNNNNNNNNNNNNNNNNNNNNNNNNNNNNNNNNNNNNNNNNNNNNNNNNNNNNNNNNNNNNNNNNNNNNNNNNNNNNNNNNNNNNNNNNNNNNNNNNNNNNNNNNNNNNNNNNNNNNNNNNNNNNNNNNNNNNNNNNNNNNNNNNNNNNNNNNNNNNNNNNNNNNNNNNNNNNNNNNNNNNNNNNNNNNNNNNNNNNNNNNNNNNNNNNNNNNNNNNNNNNNNNNNNNNNNNNNNNNNNNNNNNNNNNNNNNNNNNNNNNNNNNNNNNNNNNNNNNNNNNNNNNNNNNNNNNNNNNNNNNNNNNNNNNNNNNNNNNNNNNNNNNNNNNNNNNNNNNNNNNNNNNNNNNNNNNNNNNNNNNNNNNNNNNNNNNNNNNNNNNNNNNNNNNNNNNNNNNNNNNNNNNNNNNNNNNNNNNNNNNNNNNNNNNNNNNNNNNNNNNNNNNNNNNNNNNNNNNNNNNNNNNNNNNNNNNNNNNNNNNNNNNNNNNNNNNNNNNNNNNNNNNNNNNNNNNNNNNNNNNNNNNNNNNNNNNNNNNNUCAACUCCUUCAACUUGAGUGUAUCCUUGUGCUACUAAUCUUGCUUUAUUUUUAGUAACCACCCCUUGUUCAUCAGAUUUAUUCUUGUAAACCCACUUUGUUCCAAUAAAAUUUAUUCCUUCAGGUCUUGGAACCAGUUCCCAUACUUCAUUUCUCUUGAAUUGGCCUAACUCUUCCUGCAUGGCAUUGAUCCAGAAUUCAUCAGUUAAGGCUUCCUUGACAUUCCUAGGCUCAAUCUUAGACACAAAACAACCAUGUGAGAUCACUUCCCUUGAUCUAGUUGUGACUCCUUUAUUUGGGUCUCCUAUAAUGAGAUCUUUAGGAUGAUCCUUCUGAAUUCUGAUAGAGGGUCCCUUAUUAGUUUUGUCAGCUUCAGGUUCAGCUUGAAUGAGUUCACUCUCAUUACUUUUGUCUAGGAAAUCAGCUGGGGCAUCUUUUAGAGAUGUCUCAACAUCGUCUGUGACAUCAGUCUGUUGAUCAUCAACUACAACAUCGAUAGAUUCCAUCAUUACUUUUGUUCUGGAAUUAAAGACUCUAAAUGCUUUGUUGUUUGUUGAGUAACUCAGAAAUAUUCCUUCAUCACUCUUGGGAUCCAUCUUCUUUCUUUGUUCACAAUCAGUCAGGAUAUAACUGUUGGUGUAAGCCCUAGAGGCCAAUACUUUUGGUACUUGUAUCGAAUUAUUUAUUAAUAAUAAAAGGCAUUUUCUUUAUUAUGGUUGAUUAAUAAAGUCCCUAGAAUAGAUAGUCCGUUUAANNNNNNNNNNNNNNNNNNNNNNNNNNNNNNNNNNNNNNNNNNNNNNNNNNNNNNNNNNNNNNNNNNNNNNNNNNNNNNNNNNNNNNNNNNNNNNNNNNNNAAAUUGCCCUGAGUAAAAUUUGGCUCAACAUGUUUAAAAUGAGACUCUAUAAAAACAAAUACACCUUCGUGCCUCUGACUCUGAUACUUCUACAAGUUAAGAAGAUAUCUGAGUUAGAAUCUUCAGAAACCAACCCUUGGUAUUCCUGAUAAGAUUCAGAUACAUCAAACGUGAACUUCAAACGUCUAACCCUAGAACUUCUAGACAGCUGUCAAAAGAAAUCAAAGGUCAUAACGUUAAAUCUCCUUGAGCAGUGUGCGUACUGUUGGGAUUAGACAUUCAUUUAUUAGCUUGUAUCAUUUUCCCCCCAAGCGUUGCUAUUUUGAGUUUUGUGUCUAACGCAUUCUGAGUGUGUCGUUUUGCAGGUUGUUUGAACUUAGGUAUAUAAACACUUUUCUCACACGGGUCACAACACUUAUCACUUCACUCACUCUAAACCUAACCCUUCUCUCAGUAUUCUCUGCAAGUUCAUUCAAUUUCAUUCUUCUCCUUACAAAUGGAUGCGCAAACACAACUGUUCAAACUACUCACACAAAUAGAGUCAUAGUCACCGCUCAAACUCUAGUAUUUCAACUCCAACGUCACCGGUGUUUCUAUAACCACCUGUUUAUCAAAGAACCCCACAUUCUUGAACGAAGGACGGCCACAUAAACCUUUCAACCCCUUUGAAGGUUUGGAUGUUUUGUGUGAAUCUUUGGUUGAUUUUGACAAACCCUAAGAAGAAAUGGCGUUGAUCUCAUAAGAACUCGUCAACAAGGAUGGGAAACCAUUACUUCAAACGGCUUUAUGGUCCAAUCUUACCCUCUUCUGGUCGAAGGAGUUCUGGAGACAUCGCUGAUGCAGAAUGACCAAUUUCAUUGUCUCUUUUGUUCUAGGAGUAAAGAUUGUAUCACUGAAGCAUUCAAUUGCCCUCCUUGUUGAAUAUGGAGGAAAGUGGAGGAAAAAGAUUUACAAACAUUCCUCGAUGUCUAAACGCAUUCACUAAAGUCAUCAACCCAACUAUCUUCAAACCGAAAUGUUGAAGGAAACCCCUCUAAAAACAAAGAGCCUACACCAGAACUCCGAGUGUGGCUAAAAAUCAUCGAAGGUACUAUUCACCAUCGCCCCGCCUCCAACUCCUCUGAUACAUAAAUGCUAUCAAAAAUUGCCAUUUUAUACGUAUCAGAAGGGUAUCCAAGAUUCAACCUCCCUGUUCUUCCUGUUCAGAUAUCUGAGGAUUCUGUCAAAGAAAUUCAGAAACAAAUGGAAGCCAAAGUACAUUACAUCCCUCUGGGAAGAUUUGCUUCUGAUGUCUCAUUGAGCAUGGAUUGGUUGACCAACUGGAAAGACCAGAUGUAUGGAUGAUCUGGCAAUUUGAUGUGGGGAAGCCCUCCUAAUGCCAUAAAAAGCCUCAAAAGGCAUGGGAAUCAUCAAAGAAAAUUAGAGUCAACCCACUCUGGGAUACAUCCUGGGAAUACUCUAAAAGAUAGAGGAGAUGCCUCAUGGCCUGGCCAGAUUCUUCAAGAAUGAGCCCAGCAGACGCUGCUUGCCCUCUGAUCUUCAUCGUCUGCUGAAGAAGGUUUUUGAUGUCUCUGAUUUCAGCCUCGAUGACUGUCUGGACUCUGAAGAAAGAUUUAGUCAGAUACAAGAGAGGGUGUUUUCUGAGAGGAAGAUAGCACCCACCAGCCAGAAAGAGGCCAGACUUGACGGAGCUGCUGGAAGCGGAUCUCGCUUCCUCUUUGCAAAUCUCAACUGGGUAAGUCUGUUCCUCCUGUCUCCUCUAAUUUCAGAUGGCUUCCUCAUAACCCUCUCUCCCUCAAACCCAUUUGCCACCUCUGACAUUACACCCUCAAUCAUCAGCAACCUCCCAAACCUACACCAGUUCUAAAACAUAGCAGAACUUUCAUUCCUCCCUGCUAUACCUGCACAACUCAACCAAGCACUUCUUCUUCUUAUCCCUGAACCUGAAAUCCACCUUCCCUUACGGUUACUGUUUCCUCUGACCCUGAACCUUACUGAUCCCUGACUCUCCAACAAUAGCCACUCUAUAUUGCUCAUAGAUGCUCACAACCACAAAACCACAAACCUGAAACAACGUUCACUUCCACCACAACAAAACAACCACAUCCCCUCUGAAACUCUACCCCUCUGAAUUCAAACCAUCUGAUCCUUACACCUCUUGAUAUAUCACACCCACCAAUUCUUUCCGUGUCCCAGAACCAGAAUCCGAACCUUUAGAUUUAAACCCCACUUAUGCCUUUCAUCCCCCAGUUCUCCAACUGGGUCAGAAUCUGAACCUCAACUUGAAUCGCAACCCUCACCUCUACCUCUGGAACCGAACCUGAACCUGACUUUCUAAACCGUACCCUUAAGGAAGCCAAUCUUCUAUGAUUGCAUGAGGCUUCAGCCUCAAAGGUUGAUUCUCUGGUCGUUAACUCUGAAAAUCAGUGAUGGAUCCUGAAUCGUGUAAAGACACCACUUGGAACAGAGUACAUUGGUGGAUUGACAUCUGAGUCUGUAGGCGUUGAAGAGCAUAUCUGAACAAAGUCAGGAAUUUACUACAUGCAGAAAUCAGGCAAGACUCCAGAGAGACUUGCCAGAGAAGCUGAAGCCAGAAGGCCAGAAGAGAGGAGGUUGGCUAAGGAAGCUGGAUAGAAGCAAAAAAGACUAGAAGAAGAAAGACUGGCAAAGAAGCAGAAUCUAAGGCAACAAGAAGUUGAAGCUAAGGGCUCUGGCAGAUGCAGAAAGCUCAAGCUGCUGCAGAAGCUGAAGCUCAGCAGGCUCUUGACUCAGGGGAGUCUUCAAACUGCUGUUCCCCAUUGAUUCUUCAGAUUUUGGGGAAGGACCUUAAGAGGAAGAUCAGAUAUCUCUCGAGACGAUGAUGGACAAGCAGAUACGGUCAAUGAGAACAUCCAGAAGAUCUUGCCAUGAUCUGUGCAGGAAAAAUUGACCUCAGAAACCUUAGGCACUUUAGGAUUUUUUGUUUUGCUUGCCUUCUUGUUUUCUUGCUUUCUCUGUUUUGCGACUCUGGUAAUGUCUUGUGUUCUCUUGUUUUUUUCGUUUCUGCUAUAUUUUAAUACAAUGUUUUGUUUUCUCUUCAAAUUAUUUAUUGUUCGUAUGGUCGUUUUUGAAUUUCUGACAAAAAGGGGGAGAAAUCAAUAAAUAGGGCUCUGAUUGAAAAUUGUCUACACAAAAGCCUUAAUGCACUCUGCUAUUGCAACAAUUGUAGAAAUAGCUCUGAUUAAAAAUAACUCUGAUUAAAUAGCUCUAACAUUAAAUUUUAAGAAAUGCCAGGAAAGUAUUUCAGAAAUCUCCAUUACUUGAAAAGCUCUGAUAAAGAACUUCUGAACUCCCCUAGGCACUAACUCAGGGGAGUUCACUGUCUAUCUGAUUCUUAUUAAUUCAUGUUUCAUCUUCUUUUUAAGUUGUUUUGUCAUCAUCAAAAAGUGGGAGAUUGUAAGAACAAAAUUGUUCUACAACAGGAUUUCCUUGAUUUUGAUGAUAACAAAGAUGAACCAAAAAUGGACCCUAACAAAGUUUCUAAGUGUGCAGGUUCUAAAGAAAGAAGAAAUAAUCUGAUGAUGUCAUCAGAUGCAAACAAGAUCAGAUACAAAAUUCUUAGAGGUGAUUAGGAGCAUCUGAAGUGAAGCACGUUCAGAUAGGGUUCGUAGAAGCUUCGUGAUUCUGGAGAAACUUAUAUCUGUAUAUCUUGAAAGUCAUCAGCGCCAUCUGAACUCUCAGAGAUCAACAUCAGAAGACAGAUUACCAAGAUUCUCCAGAAAACACAAAUCUCUAUUAUGGAUUGGGCUAUCAUGAGAAAGUAACGUUCAAAGUCAAGUAAAGAUUUUACAAAUAGACUUUCCUAACGAGAGAAAGAGACGUUAAUCUCCACUUCAAGAUGAAAGAUACUUACGUGUGCGUAAUAGUCACUUCAAGAUGAAAGUUAAACUGCCAGAAGCUAUUUAAGUUGAUGGAGUAAACUCGUUUAAUAUCCACCAGAUUCACCAACAACUUCAACUCAAUAUAUUAAAUAGAGCAUGCAUCAACAUUCAGUAAGCAGGAAAUCAACUAGCCAAAACUAUACUGAGUUAUUUCACGCUCAGAAAAUCAUCCUUGCGUCUCAAAAAUUUCACGUAACUUUUGCCUUAUGUAAGAGUGAAAAAUCUGUUCUUACAGUUUGUAAUACUUGGCUUCUUAGAAGCACUCUAGAUUAACAUAUCUUUUUUUUUUUGGUUGAUUCCUCAAGUGACUUUGGUUAGUCUGUUAGGACUUGAGAAGAACUACAGAGUUUUUCUUCUCUCUUAGGUGGUUGGUUUGUGAAGUCUUUCAGAUUAGUGGUAAAGUCCUUGUUGAAGGCGAAUCACCUUGCCGGGUGGACUGAGACUUUGUGUUAUAAGCGAACCAGGUAUAAAAUCAUUGUUGUGAUUUUCAUUUUGGAAAGCGCUUAUUUUCAAACAAUUCAAACCCCCCCUUUUCUUGUUUUUCUCCCUUCAGCCUAUCAUACCUCGAUAGAGCUUUGACAAACCUUUGAGCUUACUUCUUUCUUUUUCAAGAAUGCAUGUUGGAUGCAUUGGAGUUUUUGCAGAGUUGCAGUUAGCCAUGUCAAUUUCUUCAGAACAUCUUUAAUAUAUUGGCUUGAGAACAUUAUGUACUUUCUGUAGUGUUGUUAAUUUUGAAUUCCCAGAAAGAACUUAGUUCUUGCAUUUAGACUCAUUUCAAAUUCUGCCUGCAUUAACUUAGAGAAUUUGGACAAAACAGAGCGUUACUGAACCAAAAUAAUGUCUAUCAACGUAUAUCUGGAUAUCAUGAGAUCAUUGUUAAAGGUUCUUACAGAAGUGUGGAGUCAACUUUCCCUCUGAUAAAAUGUGUUCCAGAAGAAAAUGCUUAAACGUUCAUACCAAGCUCUUGGGAGCUUGUUUAAGUCCAUAAAGAUUUUUUAAGUUUAAAAACAUGUUCUGAAGUUUGGAUUUUCAAAACCUGGAGGUUGGUUGACAUACACUUCUUCUGAUAUAUAACCAUUAAGGAAUGCACUCUUGACAUCCAUUUGAUAUAAUUAAUAGAUGGUUAAUAGCCAAAAAGAUACAAGAGACGAAUAGAUUCACCUUGCGACUGGAGCCAAAAGUUUCAUUAUAAUCAAUACCUUCUUGUUGACUAUAACCUUGAGCUACCAGUCGAGCUUUGUUUCUGACGACUUCUCCUUUCUCAUUCAGCUUCUGUUUCUGAAUACCAUCUGGUUCAAUAACGUGAGUGCCUCUGGCUUUGGAACAAGAUCCAGACAUCAUUCUUUGUGAAUUGAUCUAAAUUCUCUUGCAUGGCUGAAAACCAGUCGUUAUCUUGAAGUGCUUCAUCACAGGACAUAGGCUCAAUCAGAGACCACUAGUCCCAGAGGAGUAUCUUCAGAGGUCCUGAAGGUGAUAUCUGUUCUGACAGGUUCGUCCUUGUUUCCCAGAAUCAAAUCUUCAGAUAUGUUGAUAUGACUUUUGACUUUCUUUGGAUUUCUGGGAUUUUUAUUUCUUCAGAGUUCUGAAUGACAGUUGCUUCUGGAAUUUUAUCGAUCCUGCAAGAGUUGAUUUCUAAACUGCAAAAUUUUCAACUAGCUUGACCUUUUCAGGGUCAAGCUUAUCAUCAAAUCUGACAUGAAUUGAUUCUUCCACAAUUUUGGUUUCUGUGUUUAUACUCUGUAGCCUUAGAGCGUUCUGAGUAUCCUAACAUAAUACCUUUCUGUGCUUUGGAAUCCAAACUUGUUCAGAGGUUCUUUGUGUUUAAGCAUAAAGCAAGAACAUCCAAAGGAUGAAAAUAUGAAAUGUUUGCGUUUUCUUCCUUUACACAGUUCAUAGGGAGUCUUUUCCAGAAUAGUCUAAUAGAGAUUCUAUUCUGAAUGUAACUAUGUUGUAUUUACAGCUUCUGCCCAAAAAUGCUUUGCCACAUUAGAUUCAUUGAUCAUGGUUCUGGCCAUCUCUUGGGAGUGUCCUAUUCUUCCUCUCUACAACUCCAUUUUGUUGUGAGUUCUAGGGCAGGAGAAUCAUGGGAUAUCCAUUAGAGUCAAAUUAUUCUUCAAAUCUUGUGUUUUCAAAAUUCUCCACCCAUGAUCACUUCUGACCUCUAAUAAUUUUAGCAUCAAAUCCUUUUUGCACUUUGGAGCAGAAACUAGUGAUACAGAGUGAGAUCAGUCUUGUGCUUUAGGAAUUUCACCCAUGUCAGCGACUUGUAAUCAUCAACAAUGACUAGUCCAUACUUCUUCCAUUGACUGAUUGCUGUUUUCACAGGACCAAAUAAGUUCAAUGUGGAGAAGUUCCAGAGGCUUAGAGGUAGAAACAACAGUUUUUCUUUUUAAAAGGAUUUUUGAAAAUUUUCCUUCUGAAUGUUCACACAGAGCAUCUGAAGAAAACUUCAGUUUAGGUAGGCCUCUGACUAACUCGAGUUUAUUUAGCCUGAGAAAGUUUCCUCAUGCUAAUGUGGCCCAAGCGUCUAUGCCACACCCAUUGCUCUUUGAACGACAUCAGACAUUUUAACAUUUUGUUCUUUUAAAUCAGAAAGAUUAAUUUUAUAGAUGUUGUUUUUCCUCUUGCCUGUUGAAAAUGGACAGAGCCAUCGUUUGAUUAAUGGCUUUACAUGUUUUUUGAUUAAAGAUUACAUCAUAACCGUUAUCACUUAAUUGACUUAUGGAUAACAAGUUAUGCAUUAAUCCUUCUACGUAAGAGAACAUCAGAUAUAGAGGGAAGAGUACCAUUACCAAUAGUUCCGGAGCUCUAAUCCUUCCUUUUCUGAUCUCCUCCGAAACCUACGAAUCCAGCAUCUUUAGUUCCAGGCUUUGGAACAUAGACUUUCUUCCCGUCAUGUGUCGCGAGCAUCCAGAGUCCAGGUACCAUGACUUGGUGUUCUGAACCUUUGCUUGCAUAGGAUAUCUGCAACAUACAUAAUCUAUCUUUUGGUACCCAGAAUCUCUUGGGUCCUCUUUGAUUAGUCUUCCCAGAGUUUCUCAUAACUUUGGGUUUUCUACGCAUUUUUUAAAUUUUUGUUCUUUGUGUGGUGUAUAGUGAUAUGAAAAUGGAGAUUUAAUUUGGGCACUAGAAGAAGUUUUAACUUCCUUAGGAUCAUACCCAAUUCCCUUUUUAUUGUUGCUGACUGACUCCAAAAUCAUGGAUGCCAUAAUACUCUACCUAUCUCCAUUUUUUCAUAAAUUCUUGAAAGGCUUCCUUCGUAUUUAUUAAUUAUUGCAUUUGAAGUUUGUGGAGUUUGAGAUAACGCUUCUUCUAAUUCUAAGCUUUUUCUUUUGCUCCAUCUCUUUCUAAUGUUAACAAUCUGAUUGUAUCUUCUUGUGCUAGAAUUGUCAUCUCAAGCUUGCCACAUCUUCAAAUUUGCUUUUAAGACAGCCUUUAAUGUUUUAAACUUUUGUUUUAAUUUCUGAUAUGAGCUAAGAGUUUUACAAACAAGAUUCUAGAUCAGAUCGAGAAAGUUCAGAACACAUCUUCAGAUUCUUCAUCUGAGCUACUCCUGGAUGUGGUACCAUAAGUGCCACAUUGGCCUGGUUCAUCAGAGUCAGAUUCUGAUGAUCCAGAUUCACUAUCAUCACAGGUAGCCAUCAGUCCUUUCUUUGUCCUGAAGGUAUUUUCUUGAAGCUUUCUUUUCUAGAGUUGUCUUUUCUUAGCUUGGGGCAUUUAUUCCUGUAAUGACCUGUUUCUUUACAUUCAUAACAGGUAAUAUCUUUGUUAGAUUACCUUUUGAAGUUGAUUCUGAUCGAUCCCUCUGGGUCUUGGUCUUCUGAAGUUGUUGUUCCUUUUUUCCAGAGUUGCUUAACUCUUCUGGUUAGUAGGGAUAAUUCUUCUUCAUCAUCGAGUCUUCUGGUUCAGAGUUGUCAGCAUCUUCAGUUUCUGCCUGGAGAGCUUUGGUUCUGUCAAGUUUGGCUCUUUCAGGUCUGGACUUUAAUGCUACAGACUUGUUCCUUUUCUGAGGCUCAUCUUCCUCUAGUUCUAUCUCAUGGCUUCUGAGAGAACUGACAAGUUCUUCAAGGCUAAUAUUGUUCAGAUCCUUUGACAGCUUCAGAGCAGUAAACAUAGGUCUCCAUUUCUUUGGCAGACUUCUACUAUCUUUUUGACAUGGUCUGCAGUUGUGUAUCCUUUGUCUAGAACCUUGAGACCUGCAAUCAGAGUUGGAAUCUAGAGAACAUUGCUCUAUGGCUUCAUCAUCCUCCAUUUUGAAGGCUUCAUUAUUCGAUAAGCGCCAGAGCUUUGUCUCUUUGACUUGAGAGUUUCCUUCAUGAGUCAUCCUUAGAGAGUCAAGUAUGUCUUUGGCGUGUUUCUCUGUUGGGAUCUUUUCAUAUCGUUGUAAGAUAUAGCAUUUAGGAGUAUGGUUCUGGCCUUGUGAUGAUUCUUGAAAACUCGUUUCUGAUCAUCUGACAUCUUACUCUGGGACUUCAGCUCCAUCCUCUGUGACAGAGGUUUGUAUCCAUCUGUACAAUGUCCCAGAGUUCAGCAUCAUAGCCUAGAAAGAAACUUUCAAUUCUAUCUUUCCAGUAAUCGAUUUUCUCCCAUCAAAGACAGGAGGCUUAGCAUUAUAACUAUCCUUUCAUUUGUGUGGGCAUAGUUUUUCCUUUCUGGAUCUCUCUACACUGUAAGUGUUUGAUUAGAAAUCAAUAACAGAGCCGGAGCUCUGAUACCAAUUGAAGGUGAGAAAACAAGAAAGGGGGGUUUGAAUUGUUGGAAAAUAAGCGCUUUUUCAAAAUGAAAAUCACACAAGGAUUUAUACUGGUUCGCUUAUAACACAAAGCUACUCCAGUCCACCCCGGCCAAGGUGAUUUCGCCUUCAACAAGGACUUAAUCCACUAAUCUUGAAAGAUUGAUUACAAACAACGUCUAAGAGAAAGAUCUCUUAGUCCUCUCAAGUAUACAAGACUACACAGAGUCACUUGAGGAAAUAACAAACAAUAGAUAAAGAUUAUGUAAUCUAAAGUGCUUCUAAGAAAGCAAAUAUUACAAUAGUAAGAACAAAGUGAUUCACGUUAUAAGCAACAGCUUCGUGAAGAUUUAGAGAGCAAGAGUUUUCUUGAGUGUUUGAUGUUUCAGUAUAUUUUCCUUGUAUGUGUUGUGUACUGAAUGUUGAUUUGCAGUCCUUUAUAUAGAUCAGUAGGUAGUAGUUGAAACUGAUGAGUAAUAAAUGAAUUUACGCCAAACAUAAAUAGCUUCUGCCAGGAUAACUUUCUCUCCUUGAAAUGACUACUUACACAUAUAGUACCUUCUUUAUUGAAAUUGGAGAUUAACGUCUCUUUCUGUAUAGGAAACCAUUUGCAAUCCUUUACUUGACUUUAACGUUACUCUUUCAUCAUUAGUAUUUCCAUGAUCAGAGUCUUCGUGUAUCUGAGAAUCUUGGAGUCUUCUAUCUAGCUUCUGAUGAUUUCUUCAGAUAGCCCAAGAGCUUCUGAAGUUUGACAUACUGUUGUUCAGAAUCAGAAUUUCUAGAGCGUACUUCUUGUUCAGAUGCUUCUGAUACUUUGCUGUUUUGCUCAGAGGUUAGACUUCUUGAACGUGUUUCAACUUCAGAUGCUUCUGAUCAUUUGAUAAUUGUAUCUGAUCUGGUUCUGUAUCUGAUGACGUCAUCAGAUUUGGAUUUCUUCCUUCUUUCUUUAGAACCCUGCACACUUAGAAACUUUUCGUUAGGGUACCAUUUUUGGUUUCAUCCUUUGUUAUCAUCAAAAUCAAGGAAUCUGUUGUAGAACAAUUUUUGUUCUUACAUAAUGUGCAUUCAAUUUUCAAGAGGAUUCGUCCAUCUCUAUACAUCCUCCGAAGAAGUUCAACCACUUGUUAUUCUUCGCACACAUCUUGAAGUGUUGUGGAAACUGAGAAAAUAAAAAAAAUUAUAGUGGUUCUUCCUCAUCCACCAAUAACAUGGUAGUCACAAUUUUUCAAAAAAGAAAGAAGAAAAAGCCCGCUAAGUCAAACACCACAAAAAAAUGACUUAGGCAAAAAUCAGGGCAUUACGGUGGACCAAAGGCUUCAAAGAAGCGGUCCAGGAAAAAUUAGGGAUAAAGAAAAACAAAACAAAAAGGUCCUCAAAUUCUCAACAAAAUAAAGCAAAAUAAGGUGACUACCAUUUCAAGAAAAUUAGUCUUGAAUCCUCAUCACACCUUUGAACCCUCUUGGAAGUGGAAUGCGUGUGUUGAAUUAACUGAAUGUAGGAAUUGGAGAUCAUCAAGAAGAAGGGAUGGGUUAAAAUUAAAUUUGAGCGUUAUAUCCUUUUGUCUAAAAAACCGUGAACCAUGCCACAUUACAACCCUUAAAAGACCUAACUGAGGUUGGGUUUAUUCUGAAAGCAUACUACAACAAGGUUGUGUUGAACUGACUCCAAAGGAUCUUUGUGAAUCAUUUGAUUGCACCAUCUUGCAAACUGUGAGUGAAUAGAUCAUCGUUGUGUUCUUAUCAGUGACCCACUCCCUAUAUUUCACCCGUUCGUAUCAAAAAAAUUUGAUUUCAAAUUUUGGCAUAAGCACUGCAUUAAGAUUACCAUUUAUGAACGAACAAUCUUAUUUGCGAGUCAGCACUUAGCAUCAAAGAAAUUCCAACAAUAUAUAGUUGAGGAAUUUGAUAAAGUGAAAGAAGUACAAUCAGGGCAAAAUCACUUUGAGUAUCAGUCAAUCCAAGCCAAUCACUCUAAGGGUUAGUUAGCCAAGAGUAAUUUGCUUCAAGACUCAGACUGGGGCAAGCCACCUCAGAAGCUCAUUGAGUCCAACUAUCCAAGGACAAUCAAUCAGAAGUCUACCAUUCCAGGUUUUGGUUAAUCAGGGUCAGAUCAUUGCGGUAAUCAAAUGUUGUGUCAAGCCAUCUCGAGAUCAUUUUGUGUCAAGUUGUUUCAAACUAAAUUUCGAGGUGAACAUUUUCAAAGACCCAGUAGACUGGGGCAAGAUGAUCCAGAGAGGGACAAACCCCCUUCAUGUUUUUAAGCUGCUCAAACAAAUUCUACCAUACACCAACAACUAUUGAGUUUAAGGCGAGUGCCUGAAAAUUAUGCUAGCACGAUUCAUUAAUCCUCCAAACGGAUCCCGUUGGCUAAGUUGUGGUUGUCAAGCUUGAUAGAAUUCUCCUUUGACAACAUCUAUCACAAAAUAUUUGGUUGAGUUCUCGGUGUUGAGGAAUCAUGACUUCCAUGAAAAGCCUUUACAAACUCCCAGUUCACUCAAGUAUCAACAUUCUCAUAUUAUGAUCAUUCAUAUAUCAUGCAUAAAAAAAAUCCAAAUCAUGCAUAGCCGAAAUGUACUUCGUGCUCAUUUUGCAUUGACCCAUGUCUUGUUGUUGAUCCUAUAUCAUUUGACCUCUAAUUCCAGUUUGUCUUUGGUUCCCUUAAACCAUCAUCCGGUUUUCGCAGUCAUUUUCAAGUCCAACUCAGUUGGCACCUAUCAAAAAAUUUGUCCAUAAGGUUCAAUUCCUUUUUGGAUUAUCCGAUGAAUUUCCGGAUUACUCCUUUGUUUAUUGAUGUAUCUCCAUAACUUGUCUGAUGUAAUUCUAGAUGUUUCCCCACCUAUCUGAUGUAUUCUCGGAUGUGUCUGUAUUCUGAUGUAUUUCCAGAAUUUCCUCGAUGUAUUAUCAGAUGUGUUUAUAUUCUGAUUUAUUUCCAGAAUUUCCUCGAUGUAUUAUCGGAUGUAUCUAUAUUCUGAUAUAUUUCCAGAAUAUCCUUUGUAAUUCUGAUGUAUUUCCAGAAUUCGUUUCUUUUACUCUCCGAUGAAUUCCUGGACAUGUCAUUUUUGUUCUGACGCACUUCCAAAACCCAUAUGUCAUUCCCUGGAAUUAUUUAAAGACUCAUUGGUGUCUCCUAAAAUUCAGUUGUUACUAGGAAUUAUUCCAAUCUCAGUGGUUACUAGAACUUAUUUUAAAUCGAAUUAUCGUUGGCAUCAUUGUCACUCCGUUUCUAAAUACAAUCGUAAUUGGUAUCUGAAGUUUAGUUGUUGCCAACAUCAUUUCAAGUCUAAUUGUUGUUGGCAAAAUCCUUUAAAAGAUGGUUGUAAUCCAUUGCUUACGAUCAAAGUCCAAUUUUUGUUGGCAAAACCCGUUAAGAGAUGGUUGUAAUCCAUUUCUUAAGGUCAAAGUCCAAUUGUUGUUGGCAAAAUCCAUUAAAAGUUGAUUGUAAUCCAUUGCUUACGGUCAAAGUCCAAUUGUUGUUGGCAAAAUCCGUUAAAAGUUGGUUGUAAUCCAUUGUUUACGGUCAAAAGUCCAAUUGUUGUUGGCAAAAUCCGUUAAAAGUUGGUUGUAAUCCAUUGCUUACGGUCAAAAGUCCAAUUGUUGUUGGCAAAAUUCGUUAAAAGCUAGUUAUAAUCCAUUGCUUACAGUUAAAAGUCCAAUUGUUGUUGGCACGUACAUAGAGUUUGAUUACCCUGUCUUUCCUGAUGGUUCCAUGAAAGUCAUGUAUGACUCAUCAUCUUGAGGAAUUCCCAGAAGCUUGGAGGUUUUUCGUGUUAGAAAACUCCAAUGAUGUUGGUUUUGUUUGAGUUUGAUUACCCUGUCUUUCCUGAUGGUUCCAUGAAAGUCAUGUAUGACUCAUCAUCUUGAGGAAUUCCCAGAAGCUUGGAGGUUUUUCGUGUUAGAAAACUCCAAUGAUGUUGGUUUUGUUUGAUUUCUUUGUAAAGAAUCAUCGUAACUUUUUGCGUGGAUGAUCUACUUUUAAGAAGACUCUCGCUUAUCUUUGUUUUGCAUAAGUUCCUUGUUAGAAAUCUCCAAAAUUGUCAGAUGUAUCCUAAAGUGUUCGGUCAUGUAUGAACUUGUUGAUGAAACUUGAUUUGUUUGUUUUCCAAUAUUGUCAGGUCAUGUAUGAACCUGUUGCUGAAGUUUUCUAUGGGUUUUCUAGUGUCGUCAGGUCACGUCUGAACCUGUUAACAAAAUCUCUUUGAAACCUCCUGAAUUGUCAAGUCAUGCAUGAACCUAUGGAUAUACUUUAUUUGAAUUUUCCAGUGUCGUCGGGUCAUGUAUGAACCUGUUGAUAAAACCCCCCUUUGAUUUUUCCCAAGUGUUGUCCAGUCAUGUCUGAACCUGUGGGUGAAACUUUCUUUGAAUAUCCUAAUGUUGAGGUCAUGUAUGAACCUAUUGAUUAAACUUUCCUUGAUUUCGGUAUUAUCAGGUCAUGUCUGAACCUGUUGCUGAAACACUUUGAAUUUUCCAAUAAUGUUAGGUCAGGUAUGAGCGUGUCAAUGGCCCUUUCUUUGUUUGUUUUCCAAUGUCGUCAGGUCAAGCAUGAACCUAUUGUUAAAACUCCCUUUUGAUAUCCCCCGGCAUUAUCAGGUCAUGUUCGAACCUGUUAUUGAAACUCUUUGAAUAUUCCAAUGGACAGGUCAUGUAUAAACCUAUUGAUGGAAUUCUUUGAUUUUUUUCAAUGUUGUCAGGUCAUGUAUGAGACUGUUGAUGGAACCUUUUGAUAUCCCCUAGCAUUGUCAGAUCAUGUUUGAAUAUGUUAUUGAAACUCUUUGAAUAUUCAAAUGUUGUUAGGUCAUGUUUGAACCUGUUUUUGAAAAUUCUUUGAAUAUUUUGGUGUUGCCAAGUCACGUACAAACCUAUUGUUAAAAUCUCUUUGCAUAUUCCCAUUCGUCUUUCCUCCAGCAGGAUUGUUAUCCCCAAUGAAUUUUUACCCUUAUUUUUUGUUUUUGUGGGUCACCUUUAUCAUAUGUCUCCACCAUUCCCCACAGAUCUUUGUUUCAUUCUGCAUUCAUCAUAAAACAUCCUGCUAGGGUUUAUCUUAUGUCUGAUCAUAUUCUUAGCAAAUAAAAAAACAAAAAGAGUCAUAACAUCUCAUCUCAUAUCAUACCAUUUGCAUUUCAGGAUAAAAAUCCGGGUUUUCUUAGUAUUUAACUAUCUCUCACUAUGAUCAUAUGAAGAGUGUCCUGCUUCAUAUUCUCUAGUUAAAGAUACUUAAAUAGGGGCAACUGUCACACCCCGAUUUUGACCCUGAAUCACCAAUUUAACACAUUUAUCAUAGUCAUUGCAUCUACGUGUAUCAUAACAUGCAUUCCAUACCGCAUAAUGCCUCAAAUGUAAAUCGAAAUAAAUUUUCGGAUCUACAGGCAAACCGGUUGAAUCAAUUAUCAAAUGUGUGUCAAAACAGCGGGCGAAAAAGUUUCAAAAUCAAGCUUGCAAAUAUCAGUUUUAUUGAUCUACGUUUCGUGUAAUUUAAUCUGGUGUGCUCAUUUUAUUUUGUCGACUACUUUUUCAGUCGAAUUUUAAAUAGUCUGAGCCUUUUAACCGGUCAAAUUUUAUUUCAAAAUUGGCUCAAACGUUGUAUAUUUCCGAGAGGUUUAUUUCGCACUGAUCAUUUUUGUGCAUUCAGUUUAAUUUUUCGAGUACUUUCGUGCCCGAAUUUUAUUCAUUUUUAUCCCUUUUAAUUUUUGCGUUUUGUCAAUAUGUGCUAAACAAAUAAAUAAGAUUAGUCAUGUUUUCAUUUUAAUUUUAUUAUGUUUAUUUAAUUUAUUUGAGUUUAUUUGUUUUGAAUAAUUUAAAUUCUUUUUAAUUCACAAGGACAUUUAUGACAUUUGUAUUGCAUGAGUAACCCUAAGUUUUGGUAUAAAUAAGAAUGUGGAAGAGGAGGAACGGAGGGCGAAUCCCAAUCAACAUGUGGCGCCCCCUCACAUCCAACAUCAUUCUCAUUUUCAAAUUAGAAAAAUAAAAAUAGAGACAAGGCAAGUUGGAGGGAGAGAACACGUUUUCAACAUACCACCUGCAACAUUUCCUUCUUCUUUUCAAUCACAUCUUGCAUCUUUUCUACAUCACAUAACAUCAUCUCAUUAUUUUUCACCUCUUAAAACUCCAACAUCACCUCACUUUCUCUUUCUCAAUUAGACUUGGAAUCCUCUCUCUCUCAUUUGCAUUGAAUAAGAGAGGGAAAAAAAGUCAUAUUUCAUAUGCUAAGAUCCAACACGGUUUUGAGAGGACCAUUCAUAAUAAAAUUAUCUCUCAUUUUGAAAAGCUAAUACAUUGAUACCACUUGCAACCUAGACACUCUUUCUUCAUUCUUUUGUUUUUUUCCUUACACAGUAGAAGGAAUACAUAUCCGUAUCAACACCAACCUUCAUCCAUUCUUCAACAACACCAUUAAAAGCUUCAAACAUACUCACACUUAUUCCAUGUUAAAUAAUGUGUAGAGAGAAAGAAAACACAACUNNNNNNNNNNNNNNNNNNNNNNNNNNNNNNNNNNNNNNNNNNNNNNNNNNNNNNNNNNNNNNNNNNNNNNNNNNNNNNNNNNNNNNNNNNNNNNNNNNNNNNNNNNNNNNNNNNNNNNNNNNNNNNNNNNNNNNNNNNNNNNNNNNNNNNNNNNNNNNNNUCCAUAUAUACAAUCGAAUAAACUAACAAAAUCGACUUAUAUAUAUUUCUAUAUAUAUAUAUAUAUAUAUAUAUAUAUAUAAUAUAUAUAUAUAUAUAUAUAUUAUAUAUAUAUAUAUUAUUUACGUUUUUUUUUCAUUUUUUAUUUAGAUUUAACUGGAAAAUAUAUAUAUAUAUAUAUAUUAUAUAUUAUAGAUUAUAAAUAAUUAGUUUUUUUGCAAGUAUGUAUAUAUUAUAACUUAUAAAUAAAUAAAAAAUCUGCAGUAUAUAUAUUAUAAAAAUAUAAAAUAAAAUAAAAUCUGCAAGUAUAUAUAUUAUAAAGUUAUAAAUAAUAAAAAAUCAGAAUGAAUGUAUGUAUUGGUUGGUGUGGAUAGAAAUGGUUUAUUUAUGUUAUGAAGUUGUGAGGUGUUUGUGUGUAAAAUUAAGAUGAUAUGGUGGUGGAAGAGGUUGUAGAGAUUUGGAGUUGUGUUGUUUCUUUCUCUCUACACAUUAUUUAACAUGGAAUAGUGUGAGUAUGUUUGAAGCUUUUUUGGUGUUGUUGAAGAAUGGAUAAAGGUGGUGUUGAUACAAAUGUGUAUUCCUUCUACUGUGUAAGGAAAAAACAAAAGAAUGAAGAAUAGUGUCUAGGUUGCAAGUGGUAUCAAUGUAUCAGUUUUUCAAAAUGAGAGAUAAUUUUAUUAUGAAUGGUCCUCUCAAAACCGUGUUGGAUCUUAGCCUAUGAAAUAUGAUUUUUUUCCAUUCUUAUUCAAUGCAAGUGAGAGAGAGAGAGAGUAUUCCAAGUCUAAUUGAGAAGAGAAAGGGAGGUGAUGUUGGAGUUUUAAGAGGUAAAAAUAUGAGUGAUGUUAUGUGAUGUAGAAAAGAUGCAAGAUGUGAUUGAAAGAAGAAGGAAUUGUGCAGGUGGUAUGUUGAAACGUGUUCUCUCCUCCAACUUGCCUUGUCUCUAUUUUAUUUUUCUAUUUGAAAAUGAGAAUGAUGUUGGAUGUGAGGGGGCGCCACAUGUUGAUUGGGAUUCGCCUCCGUUCCUCCUCUUCCACAUUCUUAUUUAUACAAACUUAGGGUUACUCAUGCAAUACAAUGUCAUAAUGUUUGUGAAUUAAAAGAAUUUAAAUUAUUCAAAGGCCUUCUUACAAUAAGCUCUUAAGCAACAUCAACUUAACUUUCAAUAAUUUCAAACCUCUGUAUUUUAAUUAUUUUAAUUUAUUAUUCAAGACAUUUUCAUAAUUAUAAAUUGGAAAAAAAGAUUACCUGGAUGGAAUAUCCAGUCGUAAUCCCGAAUAUUAGGCCCAAGUUGUAAGAGCUUGUAAGCCCUAUGUAUUCGUCUUCUCUUCAAAAUACUUGUAAAUAUUCAAACUUCUUUUCUCAAUAAAAUUGAAAGAAAAAGAUUACCUGGGUGAAAGGUCCAGACGUAGUCCCGAGUAUUAGACCCAAGUUGUAAGAGCUUGCAAGUCAUACAUAUUCGUCUUUCAAGCCCAAAAAUAUAUUCAACCAAUCAAACUCUUUUUUUCUCGCCGCCGUGCGAUCUUCAAAACAUUUUCAUAAACGAAAGACAUCUUGUCUUAAGAUGAUGCAAAUCAACGUUUCAGCCAUAAUUGUUAAGUUGAGAUAAACGAUGUUUUUCCGAAUGUUGAUUUGUAAAUCCAUUCGAUGUGUGGUAUACGUCCGCUCCUCGUCUGUUUUGGGUAAAACAAUGUUUUACCAACAAACAAACAUUUUCUACCUAGAACUACGUAAGCCUUGAGUUCUCUAUUGCACCUCGAGAUACGUAGGAGCAGGAUUUGUAAAUCUUGUCAGGCCCAUUAAAUAAAAAGCUUAGGUUUAGUCCCCUUCGUUGUCAAAAUCCAAAAACAUUCUUCUCUUUCCUACUCUUUAUUUCCCACUUAAUAACUUGAGAAGCCUAACAUUUCAAACUAACACUAACGCGCACAAUAAACCCAAUGGUUCCCGUUGAGUACAACGGACGUGAGGGGUGUUAAUACCUUCCCCUUGCGUAAUCGACUCCCGAACCCUGAUUUGGUUGUGACGACCAUAAUCAUUGUCGUUCUUUCUUGGGUUUUAUCGAUAUUUCCCCUUUCCUUUUUAGGAAUAAAUAAAGUUCGGUGGUGACUCUGUUUAGUCCAUCAUGCGAGCGUGCGAUUGCACUUCGCUUAAGUCGUGUUCUCAUUUUUCGAGGUGCGACAGAUGGCGACUCUGCUGGGGACGACGACUUCCCUAAGUGAGUCAAGCCUAGUUAGGUGAUUUGUGUGCCUUUAUUUUUUUAUUUGUGUAGUUUUUCUUACUUUUGCUAUCUUUAUUUUCAUAUUGAUAUAAUCUGUUACAUUGGUUCCAUUAUGCUUUGAUACUUGGAUACUCUGACAGCAACUUUGAAGAUUUUUUAUUAUUAAUAAAUCAUAUAUUAUAAUUCAUUUUUAAAUACCCACAAUAGACCAUACACAUUAGUCAUUCAUUAAUAAGAUCGAAUUGUCAAAUAAAGUGUUGGUAAAUCAUACAUCAAUGUUCAUAAAAUACAACAAACCAUACAAAUUUUCAAAAUGUUAAUAUGAAAAUACAAAUAAAAAUAUCAUUAUAGAGUAUAUUUAACGUUCAUGUUCCUCCUCUGCCUCCUAUAGUCCAACACAUAUUGUGCAUCUGUUAAGAUUUUCUAUAAAAUGACCCUCUCAUGAAUUUCUUUCUGAAACCCCCCCUAAUUAUGACUUUUCUCCAAAUAACAACAAUACAACACAUUGACAUAUCGGCGAAACAUUCACGACAUGGUCCCACUCGCCUAUUCUUCCUUUAAUAUCUCCUAAUGAGUUGACUUAGGAGGAUCUCCUACCUCUGGUGUCUUGUAAGAAUUAGACACUCUAUAAAAUCAUUGAGUGUAACCUUAUACCAUAUUUCAUGGAUAAGAAGAUACCUCGUGAGGAUCUUUGAUACUCAAUUUAGUAUCCAAGACAAACUUCAGUUUCAAAAUUCCAUUCAAUGUUGUUACCUCCGAUCAUUAAAUCAUCAACCUAGAUUAAUAAGGGUAUUUGCGAGUUUUUUAUUCUAUUGGUUGUUGUCUUGUUUUAAUAUAUAUGUUUUUUGAGAUAAAAGGAGGUAAUCCAUUCUUAAUAACACAAACAUAUAUAGUGUACCCAAGUUUUCUAGGGAGGCCAUAGUUGGUGAUGGAUGAAGAUUGCAAAGAAGAGGUAAGAACGAUAUAUAGGAAGUAGAGAGAGAAAUGAAAUAAAAGAAUGAAAGAAAAAACAUGAUUUUGUUAUCUAAGGAGAUUUGAUGAUAAUGGAGAAAACUCUAUACGACCAAUAGUAAAGAGCUUUUGUGGGUGGGUUGGGUAAAGCGAUAAGUUUGAUGAUAUGCAGAUAAAAUUACCUCUGAGCAUAAUCUUGAAGAUAGAUGGAUGAAGCAAACAUGUGGUGAGAAGUAAUGGAAUAUUAAAUGUGAGACACAUUAAAUAUAAGAAGUGUCUUUCUAAAAACGUAAGUUGUCAAGUUUUAUUGAACUAUUAUGCGAGUAGAUAUUGCAUGCUUCUCUAGCAAGAACCUAUUAAGAGGGACAGAUAAAUUGAAUCAUAGAAAGAGAAAUAAGCAUCAAAGUUACAGAAAUUCUAAACAUCUAUUAGUAAAUAAAAAAUCAAUCAAUCUAGAAUUUAACAAGAGACUGAGUGAAAGAGACAGACGCCUAGAACAGUACCUAUCAUAAAACUUAGCCAGAAAAAUCUUUCUGCAUUAUUUUGAAUGCAAGUGGAGUUUACACAUUAUACAACAAACACACUUGCCAAAUAUUUAUACCACAAUGAGAAAGGAAGUGCAAGUCAGUCCCUCAUUUCCAGCAUCAAUGAUUGCUGCAAACCAAAAUGGAAGGCAACCAACUGUCCUCCAUAUCACUUCAAGCCUCAAGGUAAACAACCAAUCAAAAGAGAGGACCUGAAAUAAAGACCAGCUUAUGAAUGAAUAUAACUAUGAUUUUAUUCAUAUUUAUGGUAAACCAAUGUGUGUGUUGUGUCUGCCGUCUGUGUCAUGUCAGGCGUCUACGUGUCUCUGUUGUGUCUGGCGUGGCGUCUACGUGUUUGUGUUGUGUCUGGCCUCCGUGUCAUGUCUGGCGUCUACGUAUAUGUGUUGUGUCUGGCGUCCGUGUCAUAUCAAGAACGAGUGCUGGAUCGUAAGAUCUUACGCGUCAAGGAUGUCUGAGAGUGAUACGAUCAGAGAAAAAUCAUUUUGGUCUUCAGUGUGGUCACUCAAGGUCGAGCUUUUUGAAGCAAGAUCAUAAAAAAAGUGUUUGGGCCUUUUUUUUUGC
rnacentral:lncRNA from 1 species